rnacentral:lncRNA from 1 species
UGAUGAUGAUCUAGAAGCCCUCCGUGAUGGAUGCCCCCUCCGGCGGAGCUCCGGAACAGGCCCCAAGAUGGGAUCUCGUGGGUACAGAAGGUUGCGGCGGUGGAAUUAGGUUUUUGGCUCUGUAUCUGAUCGUUUGGGGGUACGUAGGUAUAUAUAGGAGGAAGGAGUACGUCGGUGGAGCAACAGGGGGUCCACGAGGGUGGAGGGCGCGCCCUGGGGGGUAGGCGCGCCCCCUACCUCGUGGCCUCCUCUUCUGUUUCUUGACGUAGGGUCCAAGUCUCCUGGAUCAUAAUCUUCCUAAAAAUCACGUUCCCGAAGGUUUCAUUCCGUUUGGACUCCGUUUGGUAUUCCUUUUCUGCAAAACUCUGAAAUAGGCAAAAAACAACAAUUCUGGGCUGGGCCUCCGGUUAAUAGGUUAGUCCCAAAAAUAAUAUAAAAGUGAAUAAUAAAGCCCAAUAAUGUCCAAAACAGUAGAUAAUAUAGCAUGGAGCAAUCAAAAAUUAUAGAUACGUUGGAGACGCAUCAGGCAUCCCCAAGCUUAAUUCCUGCUCGUCCUCGAGUAGGUAAAUGAUAAAAACAGAAUUUUUGAUGCGGAGUGCUACUUGGCAUAAUUUCAAUGUAAUUCUUCUUAACUGUGGUAUGAAUAUUCAGAUCCGAAAGAUUCAAGACAAAAGUUUAAUAUUGACAUAAAAAUAAUAAUACUUCAAGCAUACUAACAAAGCAAUCAAGUCUUCUCAAAAUAACAUGGCCAAAGAAAGUUAUCCCUACAAAAUCAUAUAGUCUGGCUAUGCUCUAUCUUCACCACACAAAGUAUUUAAAUCAUGCACAACCCCGAUGACAAGCCAAGCAAUUGUUUCAUACUUUUGACAUUCUCAAACUUUUUCAAUCUUCACGCAAUACAUGAGCGUGAGCCAUGGAUAUAGCACUAUAUGUGGAAUAGAAUGGUGGUUGUGGAGAAGACAAAAAAAAGGAGAAGAUAGUCUCACAUCAACUAGGCGUAUCAACGGGCUAUGGAGAUGCCCAUCAAUAGAUAUCAAUGUGACUGAGUAGGGAUUGCCAUGCAACGGAUGCACUAGAGCUAUAAGUAUAUGAAAGCUCAACAAAAUAAACUAAGUGGGUGUGCAUCCAACUCGCUUGCUCACGAAGACCUAGGGCAUUUUGAGGAAGCCCAUCAUUGGAAUAUACAAGCCAAGUUCUAUAAUGAAAAUUUCCCACUAGUAUAUGAAAGUGACAAAAUGAGAGACUCUCUAUCAUGAAUAUCAUGGUGCUACUUUGAAGCACAAGUGUGGUAAAAGGAUAGUAACAUCGUCCCUUCUCUCUUUUUCUCUCAUUUUUUUUAUUUGGGCCUUUUCUCCCUUUUUUUAUGGCCUCUUUUUUUUCAUCCCGAGUCUCAUCCCGACUUGUGGGGGAAUCAUAGUCUCCAUCAUCCUUUUCCUCCCUUGGGACAAUGCUCUAAAAAUGAAGAUCAUCAUACUUUUAUUUUCUUACAACUCAACAAUUACAACUCGAUACUUAGAACAAAAUAUGACUCUAUGUGAAUGCCUCUGGCGGUGUACCGGGAUAUGCAAUGAAUCAAGAGUGACAUGUAUGAAAGAAUUAUGAAUGGUGGCUUUUCCACAAAUACGAUGUCAACUACAUGAUCAUGCAAAGCAAUAUGACAAUGAUGGAGCGUGUCAUAAUAAACGGAGCGGUGGAAAGUUGCAUGACAAUAUAUCUCGGAAUGGCUAUGGAAAUGCCAUAAUAGGUAGGUAUGGUGGCUGUUUUGAGGAAGGUAUAUGGUGGGUGUAAGAUACCGGUGAAAAGUGCGCGGUAUUAGAGAGGCUAGCAAUGGUGGAAGGAAGAAAGUGCGUAUAAUCCAUGGACUCAACAUUAGUCAUAAAGAACUCAUAUACUUAUUGCAAAAAUCUACAAGUUAUCAAAGUAAAGUAUUACGCGCAUGCUCCUAGGGGGAUAGAUUGGUAGGAAAAGACCAUCGCUUGUCCCCGACCGCCACUCAUAAGGAAGACAAUCAAUAAAUAAAUCAUGCUCCGACUUCAUCACAUAAUGGUUCACCAUACGUGCAUGCUACGGGAAUCACAAACUUUAACACAAGUGUUUCUCAAAUUCACAACUACUCAACUAGCAUGACUCUAAUAUCACCAUCUUUAUAUCUCAAAACAAUUAUCAAGCAUCAAACUUUUCUUAGCUUUCAACACACUCAUAAGAAAGUUUUUACAAAUCUUGAAUACCAAGCAUAUUAGGAUUAUUUAAGCAAAUUACCAUGCUAUUUAAGACUCUAAAAAUAAUCUAAGUGAAGCAUGAGAGAUCAAUAUUUUCUAUAAAACAAAUCCACCACCGUGCUCUAAAAGAUAUAAGUGAAGUACUAGAGCAAAACUAUAUAACUCAAAAGAUAUAAGCGAAGCACAUAGAGUAUUCUAACAAAUUCCAAAUCAUGUAUGGCUCUCUCAAAAGGUGUGUACAGCAAGGAUGAUGUGGUAAACUAAAAAGAAAAGACUGAAAUCAUACAAGACGCUCCAAGCAAAACACAUAUCAUGUGGUGAAUAAAAAUAUAGCUCCAAGUAAAGUUACCGAUGGAGGUAGACGAAAGAGGGGAUGCCUUCCGGGGCAUCCCAAGCUUUGGCUUUAUGGUGUCCUUAGAUUAUCUUGGGGGUGCCAUGGGCAUCCCCAAGCUUAGGCUCUUGACACUCCUUGUUCCAUAAUCCAUCAAAAUCUUUCACCCAAAACUUGAAAACUUCACAACACAAAACUCAACAGAAAAUCUCGUGAGCUCCGUUAGCGAAAGAAAACAAAAGACCACUUCAAGGUACUGUAAUGAACUCAUUCUUUAUUUAUAUUGGUGUUAAACCUAAUUUAUUCCAACUUAUCUAUGGUUUAUAAUCUAUUUUACUAGCCAUAGAUUCAUCAAAAUAAGCAAACAACACACGAAAAACAGAAUCUGUCAAAAACAGAACAGUCUGUAGUAAUCUGUAACUAACGCAAACUUCUGGAACUCCAAAAAAAUCAUCCAAAAUAGGACGACCUAGGCAAUUUGUUUAUUGAUCAGCAGCAAUUGGAAUCACUAUUUUAUCACGUUCUGGUAAUUUUUAACAAUUGUUUUCGUGAACAGAAAGUUUCUGGAAAUUACAGCAAGAUCAAAUAACUAUCAUCCAAGAAGAUCAUAUAGGUUUAACUCGGCACAAACACUAAUUAAAACAUUAAAACACAUCUAACCAGAGGCUGUAACAAAUAUUUAUUCCUAAACAGAAGCAAAAAGCAAAAAACUAAAAAUAAAAUUGGGUUGCCUCCCAACAAGCGCUAUCGUUUAACGCCCCUAGCUAGCUAGGCAUUGAGAUUUCAAUGAUGCUCACAAGAAAGACAAGAAUUGAAGCACAAAGAGAGCAUCAUAAAACACGUGACAAACACAUCUAAGUCUAACAUACUUCCUAUGCAUAGGCAUCUUAUAGGCAAAAAAAUUAUCAAGGUAAGCAAAAACUAGCAUAUGCAAGGAAGCGGAAACAAACAAUAGCAAUCUCAACAUAACGAAAGGUAAUUUAGCAACAUGAAAAUUUCUACAACCAUAUUUUCCUCUCUCACAAUAAUUAUAUGUAGGAUCAUAAUCAAAUUCAACAAAAUAGCUUAAAAUAUUUUCAACACGAUCCACAUGCAUGCGAAGUUGACACUCUUCCAAAAUAGUGGGAUUAACAUUAACUAAAGUCAUGACCUCUGCAAACCCACUUUUAUCAAAAAUUUCAUAAGAUUGAACAUUCUCCAAAUAUGUGGGAUCUAAAGUUGACACUCUUCCGAACCCACUUUCAAUAAUAUUGCAAACACUAUUAUCAAUCUCAUAUUCAUCAUGGGGCUUAAAUAAAUUUUCAAGAUCAAAAGAAGAAUCACCCCAAUCAUGAUCAUUGCAACAAGUAGUAGACAUAGCAAAACUAGCAUCCCCAAGCUUAGGGUUUUGCAUAUUAUUAGCACAAUUGACAUUAAGAAAAUUUAUAGUAAAAUUAUUGCAAUCAUGAUUUUCAUCAAAGGAACUACCAAGUAUGGGUGCAUUAGCAACGAUCUCAUGUUUAACGUAAGGAACUAUAGCAAAUUCAUCUUCAUAAAUAUUGGCAUCAUGGCCACAAGGAUAGCAAGCAUCAUGUUCAUCAAGGGAUAUUUCAAUCAAAUCAUCGGAAUCAUAAUUAUCUAUAGAUUCGUGCAUAUCAUUAUUUUCUUUAGAAGCAAUGGUCAUUCUUUCAAUAAAUUCUUUGACAUAGACAUUAUGAGCAUAGUUUUCAUAGCAAUAUUCAAGUAUGUCAAGAUUUUCAGAUUCGUAAAGAGUAGUAUCAUACUUUUCAAGCAAAGAAGCAACUUCAAAAGAACCCUUAAAAGCAACAAAUUCUUCAAUUUGUUCAAUAUCAUAGUAGCUAUAAACACCCUUUGCAUAAGAAGAUAAGAUUUCAUUUUCAUUAAACUCACAUAGGUAGGGGAGGUGUUUUUUAGGGUUCUUAGAGCAACAAGUAAUAUCACAAAUUUCACAAAGAUUCCAAGCAUAACACAGCAAUCUGUUUAUUUGAUUCCAUAAGAGUUUCCCUUUUUCAGACAAACGGUGACGCACAAAAUGAGCAUGCUCAUCUAAAGAUUUCCCAUCAACUAGGCUAGUUGGGGUUUCAGCACGAGCGCAUAAGGAUCGAAGAUGAUCCAAGUAGAACACUUUAAGUGGAUCCAUAUCAAUAGAUUUUUAGCAAGCAAAGAUGCAAGCAAAUAGAAGGCACGUGGAAACACAAACAAAAAGGCAUACGGGAAGAAGGCGAAUAAAACGGCAAGGGUGGAGUGGGGGAGAGGAAAACGAGAGGCAAAUGGCAAAUAAUGUAAUGCGAGGGAUAAGAGUUUGUGAUGGGUACUUGGUAUGUCUUAACUUUUGCGUAGACUCCCCGGCAACGGCGCCAGAAAUCCUUCUUGCUACCUCUUGAGCACUGCGUUGGUUUUCCCUUGAAGAGGAAAGGGUGAUGCAGAAAGUAGCGUAAGUAUUUCCCUCAGUUUUUGAGAACCAAGGUAUCAGUCCAGUAGGAGGCUACGCGCGAGUCCCUCGCACCUACACAAAACAAAUAAAUCCUCGCAACCAAAGCGAUAAGGGGUUGUUAAUCCCUUCACGGUCACUUACGAGAGUGAGAUCUGAUAGAUAUGAUAGGAUAAUAUUUUUGGUAUUUUUGUGAUAAAGAUGCAAAGUAAAAUAAAAGCAAAGUAAAAAACAAAGGAAAUAAAUAAGUGUUGGAAGAUUAAUAUGAUGAAGAUAGACCCGGGGGCCAUAGGUUUCACUAGUGGCUUCUCUCAAGAGCAUAAGUAUUUUACGGUGGGUGAACGAAUUACUGUUGAGCAAUUGACAGAAUUGAGCAUAGUUAUGAGAAUAUCUAGGUAUGAUCAUGUAUAUAGGCAUCACGUCCGAAACAAGUAGACCGACUCCUGCCUGCAUCUACUACUAUUACUCCACUCAUUGACCGCUAUCCAGCAUGCAUCUAGAGUAUUAAGUUCAUAAAAACAAAGUAACGCCUUAAGCAAGAUGACAUGAUGUAGAGGGAUAAAUUCAUACAAUAUGAUAAAAAACCAUCUUGUUAUCCUCGAUGGCAACAAUACAAUACGUGCCUUGCUGCCCCUACUGUCACUGGGAAAGGACACCGCAAGAUUGAAGCCAAAGCUAAGCACUUCUCCCAUUGCAAGAAAGAUCAAUCUUGUAGGCCAAACCAAACUGAUAAUUCGAAGACACUUGCAAAGAUAACCAAUCAUACAUAAAACAAUUCAGAGAAGAUUCAAAUAUUGUUCAUAGAUAAACUUGAUCAUAAACCCACAAUUCAUCGGUCUCAACGAACACACCGCAAAAGAAGAUUACAUCGAAUAGAUCUCCACGAGAGAGGGGGAGAACAUUAUAUUGAGAUCCAAAAAGAGAGAAGAAGCCAUCUAGCUACUAACUAUGGACCCGAAGGUCUGAGGUAAACUACUCACACUUCAUCGGAGAGGCUAUGAUGAUGAUGUCGAAGCCCUCCGUGAUGGAUGCCCCCUCCGGCGGAGCUCCGAAACAGGCCCCAAGAUGGGAUCUCGUGGGUACAGAAGGUUGAGGCGGUGGAAUUAGGUUUUUGGCUCCGUAUCUGAUCGUUUGGGGGUACGUAUGUAUAUAUAGGAGGAAGGAGUACGUCCGUGGAGCAACAGGGGGCCCACGAGGGUGGAGGGCGCGCCCUGGGGGGUAGGCGCGCCCCCUACCUCGUGGCCUCCUCUUUUUUUGCUUGACGUAGGGUCCAAGUCUCCUGGAUCAUAAUCUUCCUAAAAAUCACGUUCCUGAAGGUUUCAUUCUGUUUGGACUCCGUUUGAUAUUCCUUUUCUGCGAAACUCUGAAAUAGGCAAAAAACAGCAAUUCUGGGGUGGGCCUCCGGUUAAUAGGUUAGUCCCAAAAAUAAUAUAAAAGUGAAUAAUAAAGCCCAAUGUCCAAAACAGUAGAUAAUAUAGCAUGGAGCAAUCAAAAAUUAUAGAUACGUUGGAGACGUAUCACUCAGCUCCCUUUCUAGCAAUAAUAUGCAAAUCAAAUUCUUGUAGCAAGAGAACCCAUCUGAUAAGUCUAGGUUUAGCAUCUUUCUUUUCCAUAAGAUAUUUAAUAGCAGCAUGAUCAGUGUGAAUAGUUACUUUAGAAUCAACAAUAUAAGGUCUAAACUGAUCACAAGCAAAUACAACUGCUAAAAAUUCUUUUUCAGUAGUAGUAUUACUUUGAGCAUUGUCUAGAGUUUUGCUAGCAUAUUGGAUAACAUUUAAUUUCUUAUCAACUCUUUGCCCUAGAACAGCACCUACAGCAUAAUCACUAGCAUCACACAUAAUUUCACUGGGUAAAUUCCAAUCAGGUGGCUGAACAAUAGGUGCAGAGAUCAAUGAUUUCUUAAGUAUUUCAAAUGCUUCUACACAAUCAUCAUCAAAGACAAAUGGUGUAUCUUUUUGUAAUAAAUUAGUCAAAGGCCAAGAAAUUUUUGAGAAGUCCUUAAUGAACCUCCUAUAAAAACCAGCGUGACCAAGGAAACUUCUUUUACCUUUGAUGUCCUUGGGACAUGGCAUCUUUUCAAUGGCAUCAACCUUGGCUUUAUCAACUUCAAUACCUAUUUCAGAAACUUUAUGCCCCAAGACAAUACCUUCAUUAACCAUAAAGCGGCACUUUUCCUAAUUCAGGACAAGAUUAGUUCCUUCACAUCUCUGCAAAACUCGGUCAAGGUUGCUUAAGCAAUCAUCAAAAGAGGAUCCAUAGACGAAGAAGUCGUCCAUGAAAACCUCACAAAUCUUUUCACAAAAGUCAGAGAAUAUAGCCAUCAUGCAUCUUUGAAAGGUAGCAGGUGCAUUACAUAAACCAAAAGGCAUACGUCUAUAAGCAAAAGUACCAAAAGGGCAAAGUAAAAGUAGUCUUUGAUUGAUCAUUGGCUGACACAGGUAUUUGAGAGAAACCAGAAUAACCAUCUAGAAAGCAAAAAUGUGUAUGUUUGGAUAAUCUUUCUAGCAUUUGAUCGAUAAAAGGUAAGGGGUAAUGAUAUUUUUAGUGGCCUUAUUUAAUUUGCGGAAAUCAAUUACCAUCCUAUAACCUGUAAUAAUUCUUUGCGGGAUCAACUCAUCUUUAUCAUUAGGAACGACAGUAAUACCUCCCUUCUUAGGGACACAAUGGACAUGACUUACCCACUGACUAUCAGCAACGGGAUAAAUUAUACCUACCUCAAGGAGCUUUAGUAUUUCUUUUCUUACCACUUCCUUCAUCUUAGGAUUCAGCCGUCGUUUAUUUUAUGUUGACAUAGAGUGGGAAUGAUGCCCUUAAGAUCAUCAAGAGUAUAUCCAAUAGCAGCACAGUGCUUCCUCAAAGUUUUCAAUAAUCUCUCUUCUUCAUGCUUUCAAAGGUUAGCACUAAUAAUAACAGGAUAUAUCUUUUUCUCAUAAAGAUAAGCAUAUUUAAGAGUAUCCGGUAACGGUUUAAGCUCAAACACAGGAUCAUGCUUGGGUGGAGGAGGAUCCCCUAGGAUUUCAACAGGCAAAUUGUGUUUCAGGAUGGGUUCCUGUUUAAAGAAUACUUCAUCUAUUUCCCUUCUUUCAUUCAUAAACAUAUCAUUUUCAUGGUCUAGCAAAUAUUGUUCUAAAGGAUCACUAGGAGGUACGGCAAUAGAAGCAAGACCAAUUAUUUCAUCCUUACUAGGCAAUUCCUCUUCACGGUGUUGUCUACGAAAUUUAUGGAAAUUAAACUCAUGAGACAUAUCACCCAAACCAAUAGUAACGACAUCCUUUUUGCAGUCUAUCUUAGCAUUAACAGUAUUCAAGAAGGGUCUACCAAAUAUAAUGGGGCAAAAGCUAUCUUGUGGGGAGCCAAGAACAAGAAAAUCAGCAGGAUAUUUAUUUUUCCCACACAAGACUUCAACAUCUCUAACAAUUCCCAUUGGUGAAAUAGUAUCUCUAUUGGCAAGUUUAAUUGUGACAUCAAUAUCUUCUAACUCAGCAGGUGCAAUAUCAUGAUUAAUUUCUUUGUAUAAGUCAAUAGGUAUAGCACUAGCACUGGCACCCAUAUCACAUAAGCCAUGAUAACAAUGAUCUCCUAUUUUAACAAAAAUAACAGGCAUGCCUACCACAGGUCUAUGUUUAUCUUUAGCACAAGGUUUAGCAAUCCUAGCAGUUUCAUCACAGAAAUAAAUAACAUGCCCGUCAAUAUUAUCAGACAAGAGAUCUUUAACAAUAGCAAUAUUAGGUUCAACUUUAAUCUGCUCAGGAGGUGUAUAAGUUCUAAUAUUGCUUUUACGGACCACAGUUGAAGCUUUAGCAUGAUCCUUUAUCCUAACAGGGAAAGGUGGUUUCUCAACAUAAGAAGUAGGAACAAUAGGAUCAUUAUAAGUUAUAGUCUUUUCUUCAACUUCAAUAGGUGCAGCUACUUUUACUUCUAUGGGAGGAUGAUAUUUAAACCACUUCUCCUUAGGGAGAUCAACAUCAGCAGCAAAAGAUUCACAGAAAGAGGCUACUAUCUCAGAGUCAAGUCCAUAUUUAGUGCUAAACUUAUAGAAAACAUCGGUAUCCAUAAAAGAUUUAACACAAUCAAACUUAGGUGUCAUACCUGACUCCUUACCUUCGUCGAGAUCCCAAUCUUCAGAGUUGCGUUUAAUUCUAUCCAAUAAAUCCCAUUUGAAUUCAAUAGUCUUCAUCAUAAAAGAGCCAGCACAAGAAGUAUCGAGCAUGGUGCGAUUGUUAUCAGAAAGCCGAGCAUAAAAACUUUGAAUAAUUAUUUCUCUUGGGAGCUCAUGAUUGGGGCAUAAAUAUAAAAUUGAUUUAAGCCUCCCCCAAGCUUGAGCGAUUGUUUCUCCUUCGUGAGGCCAAAAAUUAUAUAUAUAAUUGCAAUCACGAUGAACAAGAUGCAUAGGAUAAAAUUUCUGAUGAAAUUCCAAUUUCAAUCGUUUGUAGUUCCAUGAUCCCGUAUCAUCACAUAGCCUAUACCAUGUCAAUGCAUCUUCCUUCAAAGAUAAAGGGAAGACCUUCUUCUUAAUAACAUCACCGGGUAUACCUGCAAGCUUAAAUAAUCCACAAACUUCAUCCACAUAUAUUAGGUGCUCAUUAGGAUGCUUUGUUCCAUCUCCUGCAAAAGGAUUAGCUAGCAGUUUUUCUAGCAUACCCAAAGGAAUUUCAAAGUGGACAUUUUCAUCUUCAGUAGGCUCAGUAGGUUGAGGAGCAACUCUUUGCUCUACUGGUCGGGGUGAAGAUACCCCGAACAAGCCCCUCAGAGGAUUACUUUCCAUAGUAACAAGUGACAGUAAAUUUCAGCACACUAUAUAAAAUUUUCCUUACCAAAUUCCACCUACCAAAGGCGCUUCACUCCCCGGCAAUGGCGCCAGAAAAGAGUCUUGAUGACCCACAAGUAUAGGGGAUCUAUCAUAGUCCUUUUGAUAAGUAAGAGUGUCGAACCCAACGAGGAGCAGAAGGAAAUGAUAAGCGGUUUUCAGCAAGGUAUUCUCUGCAAGCACUGAAAUAAUAGGUAAUAGAUAGUUUUGUGAUAAGAUAAUUUGUAAUGAGCAACAAGUAACAAAAGUAAAUAAGGUGCAGCAAGGUGGACCAAUCCUUUUUGUAGCAAAGGACAAGCCUAGACAAACUCUUAUAUGAAGGAAAACGCUCCCGAGGACACAUGGGAAUUAUCGUCAAGCUAGUUUUUAUCACGUUCAUAUGAUUCGCGUUCGGUACUUUGAUAAUUUGAUAUGUGGGUGGACCGGUGCUUGGGUGCUGCCCUUACUUGGACAAGCAUCCCACUUAUUUACCUCUAUUGCAAGCAUCCACAACUACAACAAAAGUAUUAAGGUAAACCUAACCAUAGCAUGAAACAUAUGGAUCCAAAUCAGCCCCUUACGAAGCAACGCAUAAACUAGGGUUUAAGCUUCUGUCACUCUAGCAACCCAUCAUCUACUUAAUACUUCCCAAUGCCUUCCUCUAGGCCCAAUUAAUGGUGAAGUGUUAUGUAGUCGACAUUCACAUAACACCACUAGAGGAUAGACAACAUACAUCUCAUCAAAAUAUCGAACGAAUACCAAAUUCACAUGACUACUAAUAGCAAGACUUCUCCCAUGUCCUCGGGAACAAACGUAACUACUCACAAAGCAUAUUCAUGUUCAUAAUUAGAGGGGUAUUAAUAUGCAUAAAGGAUCUGAACAUAUGAUCUUCCACCAAAUAAACCAACUAGCAUCAACUACAAGGAGUAAUCAACACUACUAGCAACCUACAGGUACCAAUCCCGGACUUAGAGACAAGAAUUGGAUACAAGAGAUGAACUAGGGUUUGAGAGGGCAUGGUGCUGGUGAAGAUGUCGAUGGAGAUUUCCCUCUCCUGAUGAGAGGAGCGUUGGUGAUGAUGAUGGCGAUGAUUUCUCCCUCCCGGAGGGAAGUGUCCCCGGCAAAACAGCUCUGCCGGAGCCCUAGAUUGGUUCCGCCAAGGUUCCGCCUCGUGGCGCAGGAGUCUUGUCCCGAAAGCUUGCUUAUGCUUUUUCUUCGGAUGAAAGACUUCAUAUAGCAGAAGAUGGGCACCGGAGGGCCAACAGGGGGCCCACGAGGCAGGGGGCGCGCCUAGGGGGUAGGGCGCGCCCCCACCCUCGUGGCUAGGUGGGGGCCCCCUGAUGUAUUUCUUCCGCUCAAUAUUUUUUAUUAUUUCCAAAAACAACUUUCGUGGAGUUUCAGGACUUUUGGAGUUGUGCAGAAUAGAUCUAUAAUAUUUGCUCCUUUUCCAGCCCAGAAUUCCAGCUGCCGGCAUUCUCCCUCCUUAUGUAAACCUUGUAAAAUAAGAGAGAAUAGGCAUAAGUAUUGUGACAUAAUGUGUAAUAACAGCUCAUAAUGCAAUAAAUAUCGACAUAAAAGCAUGAUACAAAAUGGACGUAUCAGUCGCCGUCGUACUCGCGCCGGCUGCGGAUUUCUUCACUCCGCCGCCGCCGUAGCUGUCUUCCUCUGCCGAGUUAGGGCGUGGAAGAUCUGAACUGACAAACUUCACUUCUACACUUCCCAGUUCGUCGUGUUCUUCAUCCAGGGUAAUUAAAAGUUACUUUUACUACCUUCUUUGAUUCAAAUGAUUUCUAUAAAAUCUCCAGAGGUGUUUUUCCUCAAAUCCUCACACACUAAAACACCUCACAUGUCAUCUGUUCUUGAUCCGUUUCUCUAAGCAACAUUUUUCUUCAAGAUUCCUCAAUUGUGUGGAAUUUUGAUCUGUACAACUCUGGAACCUAAGACAAUGAAAGCUUAGUGAAAUUCUUCAAGACUCAUCUGGUCAAAUUCCUCAAACUUGUUCUUUAAAAAAAACCUCUGAGAACGCAUAUGACCUCUCCAAAUUCCUCGCAACUAUACUCUGUUCACAGGUACUCAUGUCCACUUUUGAAUCACUAGGUUCUCAUCAACUUAACUCAUUUGCAGCGUUCCUCGAAGAAAAGUUGCACACAUCUUCACAGAAUUUUGUUGUUCAUAUUCCUCAGCUGAAGAAAAUGGCUGAUGGUAAGAAGCCACAGAAGGGAGGAAAAAGACCUGAGGUCAACACAGCGUUUGAAAUCCCUGAUGACAUUUAUGCUGGGUAUUGCACACCCCCUGAGGAGGAUAAAAAUCAUCGCAAGGUGCCCAUUCAAAAGAUAGAGAGGAGAUGGGCAAGAGAAUGGAGGGAGUACAGAUAUGUUACUCCCAAAUACAUGAAGUAAUUCGCUCUAAAUCCUCCAUGCCUAAGACCUCCAUUGGCACCAGUGGCGAUUCUACCGUCCGGGCACCCUGGGCACGUGCCCGGGCUCGAGCGCUGCAAAUUUUACGAGCAGCUGGAUCACAACGUACGAUGUACGAUCCAGAAUACACCAACUUCUGGCUAGUCUGGGCAUCGUUUUUGCCUUUUGGGCUUAGCCACGUCAAACCAGUACGCCAAGGCAGGCCCAUCCCUUAAUUUCCUUAUAUGGGCCACAAUAGGUAGUCAGCUCGUGGUCUCCUGCAAAGGAAAAUAACGUGGAUCAAUCAGGAGGUUGCAUCGCUAGCCUCGCCGGUUCGUCUGUGCGGCACGAUGUGCCCUAGCAACUCCAGGGUUGGAGGCGGCGAUUGGUCAGGUGGACUGGCGGAGGCACGGCGACCGGCAACACCGCAAGAGAUGGUGCAUGGCCGGGCCUCGGCUAUGACCCCAGCGAGCGAUGCUCGGGAUCAAAAUCGAAAGCUCGGGGUCAAAGCCGCAGUCCCUGUGGGGGGAAUUCCACUCCGGCAGCGGCGAAUGGUGGCUCGUCCUAAUCACCAUCCGCACUUCCGCGAGCCCUAGCCACACAUGCAGCACCGGUGAGUGCCCCUAUGAUAUAUCGACAAAUUGUUCGAUUUACCUACAAUUUAUUAUCAAUUAGCAAUUUAAUUGGUAUUGUAUCUAGCAUUUUUAUUUAUUUCUAUGAUCUAUGAAAUAUUGGUGUGUAUAUUGCACAUGGAGUUUACCCGAAUAUAUGGUACUUGUGGUAUUUGAUACACCAAAGUAGAAUUUAGCUUGUGGUGUGCCCAGGCUUUAGCAAUUCGCUAGCUCCGCCCCUGAUUGGCACCUGGCCAAGAAGCUGAUCCCACCAGCCUCAAGCGUGGUGAGGACUAUCCUGAUGAAUGGGCAAAGCGUCAAGCUAAACUGGCCAAAAUGGCAAAAUAAGCAGUGAAGAAAUUCAAUGAAGACUCUGCUGCUACUACCACUGCCGAGGCCUCUGCAAGCAAGCCAAAGAAGGCCAUGGCAAAGAAGCCUGCUCAUAAGCCAAGUGCUUCACCCUCAAUGCCCUCACGGCCAAGUUCCUCAGCAAUGCCCUCACGGACAGAACCUUCAAAGCCCUCACGGCCAACUCCUCACGCUGCUCCUCCAAAGUCCUUAGCUCCUCUGCCAAAGCACCUCAGCUCCUCCAACAAAAUCCUCAGCACCUGUGCAUCUCGCCACGUGCCAAAGGACAAUAGGCAUCUCUAUUGCCUCAGGAGUUUCUGCUAGUUCUUCAGCUGCACCAAAUUCCUCAGCUGGCCCCACUUUGCUGAAGACAAAGGCCACUGCUGGACAAGGCUCUCGACCAAGUCCUCAAAAGAAGCAGGUCGCCUUCCAAGAGCCGUCUGAUGAAGUCCAAGCUGAUGAUGAGGAACUUGCCGAAAUCAUCAGAGAUAGGCAACUUAGAGCCGCUAGAGCCAAAGGCACAAAUGUGCCUCAACUUUUGGAUCCAAAAUUGAUCCUUGACUACAUUGAUCUCUGGCACAAGGACCCCAACGCUCCUAUGCCUGACUUCAAGCUGACUCCUGGCCAAAGUCAUAUGCUGACUGCCUUCAUUCAAGAAGAGAAAUGGAAAUUUGACAAGGCCAGGCAGAUCAAGAAAGCGCAAUACAAGAAGGAGCGCUACCUGAAGAAGAAUGUUGUCUCCAUGUCAACAAAUGAACUUGUGGCUAUUCAAGCUGAGAUCAAAAAACUCAGUGAUGAAUUUGAUGCGUAUCGCGCUGAUUGGCUUGGAGCCAAAGUCCGUUUUAUGAAACUUGCUGAUAAGUUCACUUCCAAUGUUGCUGCCCCAACGCAACAAGAAAUUCCUCAGGCUGAAGCAUCUGCUCAGCCCACUGAAGAACAUGCCAGCACCGCUGAUGACAUUCAGGUUGCUGAAGAAAAUGAGACUACCAGGGCUUAUGACUGCAUUACUGAAGAUAUUGCCAGGGCUUCCACUAGUGUUGUGCCUGAAGAGAAUGUCAGGACAGCUGAAGCUUCAAUGGCUGUUCCUGAAGAAAAUGAAGGAGUCAGGGCAACUGCAUUAGUUGCGCCUGAAGAAAUUCAACCAAAUUCCUCUGCUCCUCCUGCGCCUACCCCAACUCCAAUUCUUCCAUCUGCAUCAGAUGCAAAGAAGACCAAGGCUGCAGAGCGUGCAACGGUGAAGAAAAGGAAGGCAUCAACUUCAUCAGAUUCUUCAGCUCCGAAGAAGAUGAAGCCGCUGACUAGCUCAUUUGACAACCCAAUUGAUGACGUUCCUCUCACAACCAUACCAUCAAAGGCACUAGUUCCUUUUGAUGAAGAUUAUGUGAUUCCAAGUGAAUCCGAUGAAGAGAAUCCUUUUGCUGCUUCGUCAGAGCAGUUGGAUGAAGAAAUUGAAGUGGAUCCAAUCCCUUCACCACCAGCUGUCUCCUCGCCUACGCCUCAGUUUACUGCUGAAGAGGCCGGCGUUGAAGAAAUGGAAGAUGAAGAUGUGGACAUUGGCUGUACCACACCAGUGCUGAAUGAUGACUUCUGGGAAAGUCAGCACCCCAACUCUCCACUGUUCACACCUCUACGGCAAAUUCCUCAGUCCCCUGUUGCUACUGAAGUACAAAUGGGAUCUGAAGAACCUCGUGCAACCCCAUCUGUCCAUGAAGAAAUUCCAGCCACUAGUGCUGAUGAAAAUGUAAAUGAGAUUCAGGCUGUCACUGAAGAAGAAGCUGAAAUUCCUCAGCCUGUGGAACCUGAGAUUGCGAUUCCUGAGGUGGUGAUGCAAUUGACUGACACUCCUCACCCCAAGCCAAAGGAUCCAUUCUCAAAGAAGCAAAUAUUCAAGGCUGAUGAUUUCUUCGGCGAGCAUGUGUUCUUCACUGAUUAUAAUCCCUAUGAUUCUUCUCGUCUUAGAAGGAAGCGUUUCUGGACCGCCAGCCAGGCCAACUUCUAUUCUUCACUGCUCUUCAACAAGGACAAAGUCUUCGACCACGAGCAUAUUCCUCAUGUGGACAUGGAAUCAGUGCCAUGCUUCUCACCAGUCCUUAGUGUGCUUCAUGAUGCAGGCCUCCUGAACUUUUGCUCAGAUAUUGUCGAUUGGAAUGAAGAACUUAUUCUUCAAUUCUACGCAAUGCUGCACAUCACCGGAGAUGCUGACGAUGUGAACUCCUGGGUCUUGGACUGGAUGACCGAAAACACUCACUAUAAGGCACCGGCCUCUGAAUUGCUUCACGCCCUUCCCAUCAGUCCUCCACCUGAAGGAGCUCGUUGUCUGUACCAAGAGCCUGUGCUGACUGCUCACCACAUGCAAGUUCUUAUGAAGCCGCUGAAGCCCGGUCAAGCCCCAAGGACCAAAUUCCUCGUGAGGGAAUUACUCUAUGUGCCAAGAACUGUCUAUCGCAUUCUGACAAAUACAUUGAGUCCGAUCAAAGGCCAUGACUCGAAUGAUGAAGAAGCCAUUGGCAUCAUGAAGAAUCUGCUUUUCAACAUCAAGCAUGGCAUUCCUAUCAAUUAUCAUGAUUUCUUCAUGAGGACUCUGGCAAAUGUUGCACUCUCUCUGUUUGAGCUGAAGCCUUGUGCUCCUUGGAUUAUGAGAUUCCUCAGAACAAGGUCUUCACUCAACUACAAGGCUGAUUUUCAGAAUCACCUCAGCUACUUUCCCCCGAUUGAAGUCCUCAAGCGGACCUAUUCCUCAGCUGAUGAAAAGGACAAGGCACCUGCUGUCAUUGAUGAAGGCAUUCGUCCAUUGGAUGGUCAGUUCCGCAAAGCUGCAUCUUAUUCCACCAAUGAUGAUUCUACCACUCAUGAUUCUGCUGCCAAUGCACCCAAGUUUGCUCCUCAAGCCACAGCUCCAAGAGUGAUGACUGACCAUGAGCUGCUUCUCAGUCUUCACCAGAAGGUGGAUCGAAACCAUAAAUGGGUUAAGCGUCAGUUUGGUUCUAUUCUUCACAACAUGACUGUUACACAUAAUGUAGUGAAGAAAAACCAUUACUACCACCAUGAAGUCUUCGGUCGCACCUGGGCUAUUUUGUCACAUGUAUACUCUGACGAGGAUCUGAAGCAAAUGGGUCUCAAGGAAUAUUUUGACUGGUCUGCACCUCCACCGAAGAAAUACAAGAAGGUCAAGGUUCCUUCCUUGGUGGCCAGCUCAUAUUCCUCAUCGCGUGAAACCGACGAGCAUGAAGACUUGGAUGACACUGCGGCAGGCCCUACUUCGGCAAACGACCCCAACAACGCUGGCGCUCCUCCAUCAUCAUGAUAUUCUUCAGGGGCGUUAGUCCUCAUUUUCAACCCUUUUGGUCCUUCGAUGACAAAGGGGGAGAAAUUUGAGUCAGUCUUCAAAUGGGUCUAUCAUAUAUGGGUGUUUUUGCUAAGUUACAACUCUCGUUCUUCUGAAACUUUGUUGGAUCGAGUUGUAAACUUAAACUCUAUGGUGACCUGUUACUUUUGUUGUGUUCUUCUGCAUGCUUAUUCCUCGUUAAUGUCAAUGCACGCAUGCUGAAUUACAUCAGUCACCAUAUUUUAUCAUGCAUUUCAAAUUCUUCAUAUUCUAUGUUAAAUGCGUGUAUGACUUACAAGAUAUAGGGGGAGAUCUCCAUGAUUCUACUCUUCAAGUGUGCAUUGCUUCAAAAGCAAAUUCCUCACUAUGCACAUCUUCAGGGGGAUUUCUUCUAUAUCUUGCUAUCAAAUUCCUCAAUAUCAGUAUUUACACUUCAUAUGUUUAUCCCCGUUUAAAACUUAACCUAUAUUAUUGUCAUCAAUCACCAAAAAGGGGGAGAUUGUAAGUGCAUCUAGUGCCCCUUAGUGAUUUUGGUGUAUUGAAGACUUAUAGGUUAAGGGACUAAUGCGUUUGUGAGUGUACACAGGUCUACAAGUCUAUGAGGAGUUUGAUAUUUACAGAGAAAUUCGACCCCUAAAAAUGGAGUUCUUCGAUUGAAGACUUUGUAUUUCUGAAGACUUUGAAAAUGAAGAAUUGGUGUAACCCUGAAGACUUGGUAUUCAUUCGAGGAACAUGAAGCGUGAAGACUUUUGUUUUCGUAGUUUCAUUUUCUCUUUCUUGAGUCAUAGGAAACACCGUACUGUUAAAGGGGGUCGAGGAAAUACUAACGAAAAAUUUCCAAGUGAUGCACAACUCAAAAUCCUACACCUACCAAUCCCUUCGAGUGAAGCCAUUGGAAAUCUCAUACAGUUCAGUCAUAUUCUUCAGUGACAGAGACAAAGUUCUUCUGGUCUCUGAGGAAUUUGUUCUAACUGAGGAGUUAGGAAUUCGCCAGUGCGGAUUGCCUACACAGUGACGAACAUGAUAGCCCUGAGGAAUUUGAUACUCAAAUUUCUGACCGUUGCUGUGCUAUGUGCCAGCUGUUCCAAAAUAUCUACCCACCUAACGGUCAUAUCAUUGAAGGGCAUUUAUGUCUUAUCAUGUCGGGCUGCUCCCUAGGCUAUAAAUAGCCGCCCCCUACAACCACUGGCUGGUUGGCUGCUCCGAGAGAAACUGACACUUGUCAUUUGAGAGCAUCCCAUCCUCCGAGGACUUUGAGCGAAAAUCAUCAAGUGAGGAAAACCCAAACCCAAACACCUACAAACCCAAAGUGAUUGAGCAUCACUGAAGAGAUUGAUCCUGCGUGGAUCUGGCGCUUGUUACCUUUGAAGACUGUGCUUCUUCCAGACUGUUAGGCGUCAUGGUCUGAGCAUCCAAGAGGAAAUUGUGGAUCGCCGAGUGACCGAGUUUGUGAAGAUUUGGAAGUCACCUGAAGACUUACCACGAGUGAUUGGACGAGGUCUGUGUGACCUUAGUUCAAGGAGAAUACGGUGAGGACUGUGUGUCCUCAGGUUUAAAUACCUAGCCGCUCCAACCAGAUGUACAACUGAGACAGUAGUUAGAACUGGUCUACCAAAUCAUUAUCUUCACCAAGCCUACUGGUUCUAUUUCCUCAACUCUUUCAUUUCCUCAUUACUGUGUUGUGUAAUUGUUCAUAUCUGUGUUUGAAGACUUUGACUGAAGACUUUCUCAAUUUCCUCAGUUCAAUUUCUUCAGUCUGUUUGUCUUCAUCCUGUGGUAUCCUGUGUUUACGAUUUCUGUACUAUGUGCUUGUUUUCAUUUCAUCAUGAUGACCAUGCUUGUGUUCUGUUAUGUUUACUUCUGAGUACUUAUUCCGCUGCUAGUAGUUCUUCGCUAAGGAAUUUCCUCACCUGCAAAUUCCUCAGUGAAGAAAUUCUUAAAAAUUGCCUAUUCCCCCCUCUAGUCGAUAUAACGCACUUUCAAACAGUCAGAAAUUUGAGCUCUCAAAUUUCUCAGGGCUAUCAUGUUCCUCACUUGUAGGCAAUCCGCACUGAUGAAUUCCUAACUCCUUAGUCAGAACAAAUUCCUCAGAGACCAAAAGAUCUUCGUCUCUGUCACUGAAAAAAUUGACUGAACUGUAUGAGAUUUCCAAAGGCUUCACUCGAAGGAUUGCGUAGGUGUAGGCUUUGAGAUGAGCAUCAUUUGGAAAUUCUUCCUUCGUUUUACCUCGACCCCCUUUAACAGUACGAUGUUUCCUAUGACUCAAGAAAAAGAAAAAGAAACUACGAAAACAAAAGUCUUCACGCUUCAUAAUCCUCGCAUCAAUAUCAAUGUCUUCAAGGACACACCAAUUUCCUCAUUUUCAAAGUCUUCAAGCAAACCAAAGUCUUCAAAUGAAGACAUUCAUAUUAGGGGUCGACUUUCUUCAGAAAUCUCAACUUCUGAGAAACUUAUAGAACCCGUGUACACUCACAAACACAUUAGUCCGUUAACCUAUAAGUCUUCAAUACAUCAAAAUCACUAAGGGGCACUAGAUGCACUUACAAAACUUCAUUAUUUUGAUUUUAUUUUAGUUCCUAUUUCAUUUUCUUUCUUCUUUAAGGCUAGUACUGAUGCCACCAAUUCAUUACUUCUGAGCAAAAUAUUUUUGAAUAUAAUUCCUCUAUUAUAUAAUUAUUCUUGCAUAAUAUAAAAAGCGCAACUUCUAUGUAAAUUGUGUGCAAGUUUUAUUAUUAUUUGUUUUUUUCUUAAUUUCCAUAUUCUUGAAGGGUAAUUCCAGUGCCAGUAAGUUAUUCUCUCUUGGAAAAAUUUAUAAUUUUGAUUUAGUUUUGGUUUUUAAUUUAUUUUGUAUCCUUUUGUAGGAUAAUAGCGAUGCCACUAAUUCCUUUGUUCUGAGAAAACUUUUUUUGUGCAAAAAUUCCAGGAUUAUAUGCUUAUUUUUGCAUAUUAUAAAGAAGUUAAUUUAUGUGUUACUUGGGAAUAAGAAGGCUCGAUAAACUUGAAGUUUUUUCUUAUGGUUGGGUAAUAUUACUUUCCUUUUAAAUUUUGUGUUUGUUUUAAUUUAGGGUUAAUCUAGUUCCAUGAUUCAUUUUCCUUUAUAGAGAAAUGUUUUCUUCGUUGUCUUUUACUGUUCAAAUUUUCUAUCAGAUAUUUAUGGACGUUUGAGGCAAAAGAACAAGAAGAUUACCUGACCGGAACUAUACCUAUGUAGUGUCUCAUUCGUAAAGCAGAGGCAUCAUAAGGUGAGGCGAAAAGGCCUGAUCGUUUUCCUCUGGUAGGGAAACUUAGCCGCAGCCACCAGGAGAGCCGCUCCUGCUUCCCGCGCCGUCUUCCGGCAGCUCUCCUCCUCGGCGACCUUUUGGUCGUCGGUGGUGAGGAGGGUCGCAGGAUCCCGCGCGUGUAGAUUGUUUUAGCUUUAGGUUUUAAGACCAAGAAUCUUAGGGUUUUGGAUCAUUCGAUGUCUUCGCUUCGGUGGCGGCGACGGUGAUGCUAAAUAAAGAAGCUCCGGAUUCUUCUCCGACGAUGCGAUCGUCUCUAUGGUCGGUGAAGGAUCUGGGAACCAGUCUAUUUAAGCGGGGAAGUCGUGGUGGCAGCGGCAUCCUUGUGGUGGACAUGUGUCCUCGGGCUCUGCCGUUGCGACGACGUCUACUCCAACGUCGGCAUGGAGCUUGGGAGGUAGUCGAGGAGCAGAUGGAGAUUGUGGUCUGCAUCGACAACAUCUGGAAGACGGAACAUGUGCUAGGCUCGUGGUUCGUGGAUGGCAUGUAUGGUUUCCUCCUCCAACGUCUUUGUCAUGUGAGGGUGCCAGAUCUGGAGUACGAUGGUGUGUCCGGGGUGUUGCCCCAGUCUGAUUCGUUCAACGGUAAUGGUUUCACCUUUGCGAGCCACCUUGGAGGUCCGCAAAGCUGCAUAUCAGCGAUGGAGCCGCGUCGAGCUCGGGUGAGAAGGUGAUCCGUCAUUUUUUCUGUCGGUGGGUGCUGUGGUGGUUCCAAAGAAAGGUGAUGAGUGUUGGUGUCAAGCUCAGAGACGCUCUGCUGUCUUUCCAGUUUUGUCAUGUCGGUCUUUAUGUAACUUAUACUUUAACCUUUAUGAUAUGGAUGAGACACAUAUUACUCCCUCCGUUUUUAUUUACUCUGCAUAUUAGAGUUGACUGAAGUCAAACUUCGUAAAGUUUGACCAAGUGUAUAGGAAAGAAUAUAAAUAUUUACAAUAACAAAUCUAUAUGAUGCGAAAGUACGUUCAAUAAUAAAUCUAAUGGUAUUGAUUUGUUAUUGUACAUGUUAAUAUUUUUGUCUAUAAACUUUGUCAAAGUUUAUAAAGCUUGACUUUGACCAAAGCUAAUAUGCGGAGUAAAUAAAACGGAGGAAGUACCAUCAAAAAACACAGAGGCAUCAUAAGUAUAAUUAGCAACUAAAUAUAGGCAUCCGUACAUGCACAAUUAAUACAUCAUGCAUGCACCUGUACAUGCUACAUGCAUCAUUGGCCGGGGCAUAAAAGUAACUGAUGAAUUAACCAUCAUGCAUGCUAGUCAAAACCGGCACAUGCAUGCAGCUGGCCAGGCCAUCGGAUUGCCCGCAUCCUGUAGCAUCCUUCCAGUGUAGCACCGUAUCUCUCAUUGAGAAUCUGCUACAUCCUUUCUUUUAUAUCAUCUAUAUCUAUAUGUAGAAUCAUGCAGCCGCCAUCUUCUGAAUAUGUGCAAGUUUUGCAAGUAUAUAAAUUGGUGUGAUUGCACGGAAGGGGUCGAGGUCAUACUAUUUUAGAACGGGACGGAACAUUCCAAGCAACAAAAUCUUUCUAGCUCAACUGGCAUUAGGCUAAUUAGCUGGUGCGCAGGAUGCGUGUUCGAUUCUGCGUACUCCCAAGCAUUUUUUGGAUGCUUUCUUAGAGUUAGUGGGCCGCUGCGGCAGAAUGCCUCUCGAGGCCAAAAACAUCACGUUUUUUUUAACGAACCUAUUACGAUGCCUCGCCCAGUCUAGCGAGGGACGACGGACGAAACCUGUUUGACGGAUGACGACGGACGAAUUUACGGUGAUAAGAAGCAAUACAUCCUUUAUUAUUUGUUUUGUAUUGUAUUUGUAUUUGUAUUUGUAUAUAUAUAGAUACACACAUUACCAAUACGAGUGUCUGUAUCCUCAAAAAAAAAAAACGAGUGGUUGUCCGAUUAGGAUUCGUACGUCCGACCGGGCUUGUAUAAGAUAAAUAGCUCACCACAUCAUAAGGGCCCGUAACCAAAGCCCCAGCCUGCCUCCGCGCGCCUCGCGUUCACAUAUAUACGUCGCCUUCACACCGAGGUCGAGGUUGAGGUGCCACGGUCGGCCGGCGAUCUAUGGCUGCCACCGGAUUCAAUUCCAAAGCGUCGCCGCUGGAGCCACACCCCAUCAGGGCUUUCAUAUCCAAGCGUGAGACCGGCGAGAACUCAGAGUCCACCUUCGAGGCCACCACCACGACCGUGCAGCACGUCCUCAGGAUCAAAGGAUACCCAGCGCUGAGCGAGAUCUACCCAAACGGCAAAGGCUUCAGGUCGGACUCCUUCCCCGUGGGAGGCACGAGCUGGCACAUCGACUUCUUCCCCAAUGGCGACAGCCCGGAGACAGCCGGCUUCGUGUCCGUUUUCGCCGUUCUCGAUCGCACCGCCACCGAGGUCUCCACCAUGGCCAAGGUCGGGUUCGACCUGCUCGACCAGGCCACCGGAGAGCCCGCGCCGCGCUACGCUAGGGCCGGCAACAUCCACGAUUUUACCCAGCUGGGUGAAUACUGGGGCUUUGGCGACUUCAUCAAGCGGGAAGAGCUCGACAAGGACAAGGACUUGCUCAAGGACGGCACUGCCCUGUCCGUCAGGUGCAACGUCAUGGUCCUGGAUUUCCUGGCAGCCCCCGCCAUGCCGCCGCCACCGGACUGGCCACUGCACAUGCGUGACCUCCUGCACAGCGGGCAGGGCGCGGACGUGAGGUUCCUGGUCGGCGAGGAGACUUUCGCCGCGCACCGGUGCCUGCUGGCGGCGCGGUCGGCGGUGUUCAAGGCGGAGCUCUACGGCCCAAUGAUGGAGGGCGCCACCCACAACAUACGGAUCGACGGCAUGAGAGCCGAGGUGUUCAACAACUUGCUGCAUUUCGCAUAUACCGACUCGCUGCAGCAAUCGGACCAAGACGACGACGUGGUGGUGGCGAUGGCCCAGCAUCUCAUGGAGGCUGCGGACAGGUAUGCCAUGGAGAGACUCAAGCUGCUCUGCGAGGACGUGCUACGCCGGAAAAUCAGCGUGGCGACGGCGGCAACCACUCUUGCCUUGGCUGAGCAGCAUGGCUGCCACAGGCUAAAGGAGGCGUGCUUUGAGCUCAUCCUCAAGUCUCCCACCACACUAGAUCAAGCCAUGACACCAGAUGACUUGGAUCAUCUCUCCAAAACCUGCCCUUCUCUUUUGAAUGAGUUGACCUCCAAGCAUGCCGCCAUUUAUUCUAAUCUCAACAAUGAAAAGGCGGAGAAAUCGCUUCCUUCGUCAAAUAGAAAAAGGAGAAGAGCACCGACACCAAGUUUGGGGGCGGCCACCGUUCGCCACACCCGCCGGCGCCCCGCUCCAACACCCAGCGCCAACCAGCUCCCUGCUCGCCGUCUUCUUGGUUGAGGAGGAGGAGAUGCGGGGCACACGGCGGAAGAGGAGGACAAGGAGACGGCAGGCGCACACAUCAACCAAAUUUCAAGGAACCGGUCUCUGCCCCAUGCAUGCAUCAACGCGUCGCUUCUACACUUGUACUGCUCUGUCUUUUCUUGCCCCUCAACCUAAACUAGAGCGUGACAUGAGUUAAAUCUUCUUUGUUUAUUUUGUAUGCAGUCGGUUGGCUUGUUGUGCGUGAUCGUCAAUUUUUUUUAUUCAUCAUACAAUAGCAGUGUCAAUCAUGUUUAAACAUCUUCGUAAGAUGCCGAGGAAGUUUCAUAAAUAAUUGAUGAGUGCGAGGUUUAUUUUAGAAUUUUUCCCCAAUAUAAUUGAGCUCAAAUUCUUGCCCAUUUCGUAUUUUUUACAUUGGGAUGACGUGUAAGUGGGUAUUCAUGUUCGUCUGUGCCUUUUGUUUGUACGUGUCAAGCAGCUAUACCUAAGCACAUUUCUCGCACUUUGGCUAUUCUCCCCAUCUCUAAUGUCCAUGCAUGUGAUUCACCCUUCUAGUGCUAACACAGGACGCUAUUCCAGCAAACGAGAACUUGAUCGAGCCUUUGUCUUUCUGCUAAUUUUAUCGAAAAAGGGUUUUCUCCCGCUUUGUAUACAAAGCAACCAACCGAGACAACCAACGAUAGGUGCUGGAGCGGAAGCAGCACAGUCUACUAAUUUUUAAUCGCCCGCUCGCAAAAAAUAGUUCAGCAGGCGUGAACACAACAGACACAAUAACAGUUUCAGCUACAUUCUACAUAAGCAAAACACAUGAAAGAUAGCCAUGGACGCAUCAUCACAUUGGAUUAAUAACACGCUCCUUCAGCCUACAGGCUGCCCUAAACCAAACGGAACAGGUGGAGCCACUCAUGGGCCGUUCUCAAAGGCACAGAAACUAAGUUAUCACACGCACAGUCUGAGCAAAAAUUCAGUAACCACCGGACUAUCAAGAAAGCACUGCCGGACCUUCAUACUUAUAACCACAGGAUUGGUAUGAAACAACAAUAAGUAAAAAUAACCCAUAUAUAAACUUCUCAUUCGUGUCGGGAUGAAUGCCACAAGACCGCCAUCUGCAUUAAUGAAGGUGUCUGACACCACACGCGAAUGAUUUAUUCACCGAGAUGGAGGUAGUACUAUUCUUUCACAACUGGAGGCUCGCUAGCCGGCCAGUGGUAGCAUGGUAUCAGUGACAAGAACAAAGUCGAUGUCAUGAUGUUAAGGUAGUUAGAAAGAAGCCCAGUCCCACUAUAUAUCGUGAUGCAGAUUUCAUGGGAGGUAUAAAUGUAACUAAUGGCAUCACCGACUGAUGCAUCUCUUUUGCUGCUUCAAUGUACAUUUUUGUUUUGUUAAUUUUGGCAAUGAAUGCCAAAUAUGAAGUUGCAUCAGUUUUGCCAACAGGUACGCACUGAAUGUGCAAUGUUGAGAACAACAGUAAUUGAACAAAAAAUGAUAACCGCAUUAUAUAAUUGCACAGACUGUAAUCAACAAAAUAUAUUUCAUCAACUUCAAGUACGCUGACUAACCGGUUCAUCCCGCUUUUUCUUGGACGCGCCUGAGCUUUGUGUAACAGUCAUCAUGUAAUUCAACAUAUAAGAUUAUAAUCUACCUUUAGCAGUAUCUUUUUGAAUGUCAAACAAUGUUAACAUAUUGUCACCAGAGUUCUACAGUUCUCCUUCCCGCUUUCUUCUAGACAUCUAAUCAUAUUUGCCACAUAGGCCAGCUGGUCAACAGUUGGUUCAUUAUCAUGAUCGUCAUAGUUCAUCACUUCUUCGGUUUGACCGUCAAAGAAAAAUGAUUUUUGGCGACAUUUCCAGUUUCAUCACCAGGGCUUAUGUCACUGAAUAGUGCAAUUUUUUUUAGCGGGCCACUAUCGGCAAGGGUGGGAAGAAGGACAAGUGGCAACACAGAUGGUAGGCCAUGUGUUGAUAUAAAGGACGUGGACCUAAUGGGGUCUUGAGUCAUGAUUAUUGGGUUAGGGGCGUGUGGUGUUUAUUUCUCCUCUUGCAACACACCAGCUCUUUUACUAGUUGAAUUCAAAGAUAGAGAUCGAAUAUGUUUAAACUAUUUCAUAUUAAUCUUGUAUUUGAAGCCUCGACCCCUUAUGUUCUCCACAUAUAUGCCCCGCAUAGGGUCAAAUAGAUACAACAUAAAUAUUAGGGUUUCGGUGAUUUUCCACUACAGGAAAACAGUUGUUGCCUUGUGUUUCACCAUACGCCGAGUGUAAUUUUUCGACCACUCGGCUUGUAAAUAUAUCAAUGUAAGCCAAUUUCAAAUCCUAAAGCACACGGUGAAGGCUAGGCUCUCGGUUUACACAGUUGUAAGCUGAGCAGCCCCACAAACACUCGCCGUAGACAAGGCUCUCGGCAUACUCCGACAAAAACACUCGCUUAUACGCUACCAUCAGCAAACUACCCUGCCACAUGGAUGUGCUCUCGGCACCUCACGUCUCCAUGACGGCGCGCGGUAUAAUCCGACUGCCCUCUGCUGCACUGUUCUUCAUCAAGACUCCAUGUUACAGCUGGUACGUACGCAUGGUUUGGACAUAGUAAUUAACAACUCAUGUGCUCCACCAAAGCAUGUGAAAGUGAUUGAUUGUUAUGCCGCAUUUUUCAUGAAUCUUGUUGGCUUCCUGUACUUGCAUUACAUGGUGAACCUUAAUUUUGCAGCGAAGCUGAUAUAUAUGAAUAUAUCCCGGCCGGUGGUGUGAUUCUUACUGUAGUUACAUAAUUCAAGAAGAGUGCAAAUCGAGAUGGCAUUGUCGUGAUCAACUGCGCACUGUCCAAGAGUGUCAGGAUCUCACCGUUAUUCUUCAGUUUUAUCAGGCUUUCGACUCAUACCAGCAACAAGCAACGAGCUUAGUAAGGCAAUCGGGCGCAACAAGCAACGAGCAUAGUAAGGUGAUGGGAUGGUCCAGAGAUGCUAUCUGUUUUGAGUUGAUCCAGCAUCUCAUACGUUGAUAUGUAAUUUUGGUGUUUACCUUUGCUCAAGGCUUAAGUGGGAUGAAUGUAAUCAUAGACUUAAUCUCAAACUCUUCACUCGGGACUUGAUUAUUAAGAAGUAUAUAAUCUAGCAAAAACCUAGCUUGCAUGGAAAUAUAUUAUGGAGUACUUUUUUGUCUUGAUGAAGCUGAACAAAUCUUUGCACCUUUUUCGUUGAAUAGGCAACUUUUAAGCCGUGGUUAUGAUUAAAGAUGUCGUCUUGGGUAAGGUAAUUUAUUCUUUCUUUAGCCACCUGGUUUUCAAAUGGACACAUGUACUACAUACUACAUUACAUAAUUAUAUGAUGCAACUAUUUAUAUUGUCAUCGCACCUCAUGUCAUUAGAUGGUGGUAUUAUCCAAAAUGGCAACAUUUUUUUAUCAGCGUGUUAUUCAACUCACCAGAUCGAGUGCAGUAUUCUCACACCACCACCAUCAUGAUGGAAUGGCACAAUCGCAUCUAUGAACAGAAUUAAUGAUUGAUAAUACUGACACUUUCUUAAUUUCUUGGGUCUUCACGGUACUUAGUAUAACACACUUUCAAAUUACUUUAUUUAGUCGUAUGUUUGUGGUCUUACUUUGUUGUACAUUCCCAAUUACUUCGCUCAGUCACCUUAUAGCAGGAUCGUUGAAGGCAUCUCUUAAAAUAAGCAAAACAGACACUUCACGAAGUUGGUGCUUUAGUCCAUAUUUCUAUUUCAUUGAAUCACAAAUCCCGUUGAUAAAAUGUGUUUGUAUCUUAUGUUAAUAUUCUUUGUUUCAAAGGACUUAAAUUCAAAGAGAUUUACUGAAAUACAGCAUGGUGCUACAUGAGUUAUCUGCUUGAACAAAGUUGGGUGCAAAGACAAUGUGGGAUUUUUUUUUACAUUUAUAAGUAUUUAGAGGGACUCCAUGCAAAUCUAUGCUAAUGUACACUUGCAUGCUGCUUGAUCUGAACAAGAUUUACCCAAACUUUGGUUCUGAUUGAAAACUAGGAAGUGGCUUGGGAUUCACGUCAAUUAGUGUUUGGAUAGGAGCAUAUAGAAGUACACGAUUAGUAAACACGAUGGCAAAAUUGCACUUUUUUUUCGCGCAUGCUAAAACUUUGGUUCUGAUUAGUGAAGCAAGUUAUCAUGAUGUGCAUGCGACGGACCAAUUUCUGAAGCUGACAGUAUAGAAGCAUGAGUCCCUUAAACCAAUGAUCCAAGUGAUCUAAAACUUUCCCAGAUUAUUAGAAUAUGUAUUCUUCAACUUUUGACCAAAACUUCUUAUUCUUUUGGAUCUUUGAAGUUUCUGUCAAAUUCAUUAAAACUUUGAAGUUGAACGUUUCAAAGCAUAGAUCUCUCAAACCAAUGGUCCAAGCGAUAUGGAGCUUUUUGCCGGAAUGGGCGUAUAUAAUUAUUCUACGAUUUCUGGAUUUUAUUUCAAAAUAUUACUGAAAUUUGAUAUUUCUAUACAAGUUUCACCACCUCACAUCAAGUUUCGUUAGUAUUGAUUCCUUCAACUCUUCACUGUACGGACUCAAACCUUGGGACCAAAUGUUGCAAGGAUACAUAUACUCUUUCACAUUUCUAUAGUACGUGCCAACUACUACCUAGGCACCUGAAUUCUCAUUAUCCUCUACUUCGCACUACCUGUGAGAUAUGUUUUUUUGUCUUCCAAGGCAGAGGUGAUCAGGCUCUAUAAUGGAUUCGAACAUUGAUUCUUUUUUGUCAUUGUGAGACAAAUGCAACAACUUCAGCCAUUUUUAUAGGCUGCCAAGCUCUGCUACUCCCUCAAAAAAAAAAACUUACUCCCCCCUAAAGAAAUAUAAGAGCGUUUAGAUAACUAAAGUAGUGAUCUAAACGCUCUUAUAUUUCUUUAUAGAGGGAGUACAAAAAACACACCUAGCAAGACACCACCAGCCAAAGCCAUCUCUUAAGCACACGGUGAGACUAGGAAUCUAUACACGCCUGCGAAGGAGGUCCCAAAUGAGAGCAACUUAGGAACAAUGGCAAGAUACUCGAAUCAAGCAUGCCCAGUCAUCAUACUGAUCGUGACUAUAACAUGAACAAUAGCAUUAUUACUUAUUCAACAAUUCAUAUAUUCUGCACUUUUCUACUCACAAUUACAGCUAACCAUAACACAUCCGCAUACAACAGGAUGAAUUGACGGCCUACAUAUCACGACACAUCUUUCUUGAAGCCGUCCCGUCUAGCCGCCAACUUAGAGAUACGCAGAUACGACCACUGGGACGGACGCGGUGGCAAAAUAGAAGCAUGUAUUGUCAUCACACUCCAAUGUUAACGAUGCGACUUGAACACAGGUCAGCUAGACAAGACAUUGGAUGCAUCAGAAGUAAACGCCGCCCAAGCAGCUUUGGAAUACAUUUGUGCUCAUUACAACAUCAGUAUCAAUACCAUGUACUCGAAGUCACAAAACAACGUAUUCUCUCAACACAAGACAUGGCACAUACCAAACUAUGGCAAUUCAACAUGACCCGUCAGCAAAUAACUCCCCAGCAAGAUGAGUUCACAAGGCAAACUAGAGUUUUGGCAUGACAUAUACCAUUGUGCAUGUAUCCUCAACGUUACAUACACCGGCACCAAACCAUCAGUGGGCCGCAUCGAACAAUUUGCAAAGGCCCUCUACUACUUCAUCACAAGCACGAAUCCGACAAGGGGCUCAAAAUAAAAUGUGUAGACCAGAAAUAAAAGUAGAAUGAUGUAGGCCAGAAAUGAAUGUACGACGUUUAGUCUUGUUAGAAAAGAGUCAGAAUGUACUUCCUGUUAUCUAUGAUGCACCACACAGUGACAAAAAUGUAUCAUUUCAGGUUUCCGUCUACUCAUUACUUCCUUUUUUGGGAAUAAAACCUUAUCCACAUAGUUUUUUUAACUUUAAUUUGAAGUUCACUACAUACAACAAAGACACAAUAUAGAAACACUACAUGUUGACGGGGCAUGGCGUGCCGCCGUGCGGGUAUGCCUAGUGUUAAUAAAGUGUUCAAAACAUGUACAUCAUGUAUUUGAAAAAUGCCCAACGUGUGUUGGAAAAAUGUGUCAAGUGUGCUCUAAACAUGCACAUUGUUUAAUGAGAAAAAGUAGACAUGUGUUGGAAAAUAAGAAACUGAUAAAACUGACAAUAAAACAAAAAUAAAAGCAAAGAAAAUAAAAAAAUAAAAAUAAACAAAGAGAACCAAACUAUAGUGAAAUAAGAAAGGAAAACCCAAAACAAUGAGGAAAUAUGGGCACGGCUAUGUCUCGCUCGUAAGGACACAGUAGAAGCGUCGCCUGAAAGGAGCACGUGGUGGGUUGGCCUAGUAUCUAUGUGGAUCCUCUCGCUGCAUCACCCGAUUUUUAUUUCCUCUCUUUUUAAUUUAAUAUUUUAAAGCAUAUAGUUUUGAAACUUGAAUUUACUGAAGAAAUUGAAACCAAAAAUUUGAAAAAAAUUAACAUAGAAUAAAAUAAUUGUUAGCAAAUUUUUUAAAAUGCAUAGUAUAGAAUUAUUUAUAACUUAAAAAUGUUCAUGACAAAUGGAAAAUGUUCCUAUUUUUCAAAAAUACAUGCCAAAUUUUUUAAAAAACAUUCUACAAUGCAAAUAAAUUUUUCGUACCAUUAAAAAUUAUAUGUGAUAUUUUACGGCAAUAUUCCCGCAUUUCUCAAAAAUAUUUGUGACAUUUAAUUUCUUUUAUUUACAAUGUAAAAACAAUAGCCGCAUUGGUUCAAACGAUGUUUAUUUCAAUUAAAAAAUGUGCAUGGCGUUUAAGUAAAUAUCCACGUGUUUCAAUAAAAUGUUUGUAAACUUUAAAAAAAAAUACUUAUACUAUGUGAAAGAAUGUUGAUGUAGUUUAUACAAAUGUUUAUUUCCGUUAACUGUACAACAUGUAUUUCGAAAAUGGCACCGUGCAUUCAAAAAAGUGUAGCGAAGAAAGAAAUAAAGAUAAAAAAGCAAUAAGAACACAAAGAAAACCAAAGUAUAAUGAAGGAAAAAAGAAAAGAAGAAGAGAAAACCGUUGAAAAAAACAUACAAAAAAUCAAGAAAAAAUAUAAAGAAAACAGAAAAGGAAAAAAACUAACAUAGCCGGUCGAGGGAACCUGCAGCGACCACUUGAAGUGGCAGCGACUAACCGCGCUAAAGAAGGAAGGGAGGAAGAAGAUGAAUAGUGUUGGUCAGUUGGAUGAAGAUCUCACAGUCCAGAUGAAAAGUGAAUGAUGCAAUACUUUUUUUCAGGUGCAUGACAAAUAGACACUCCCAUUUUUCUAUACUUGUACAUACAAUAUACACUAUAUAUACUUAUUUUUUGAGCAAAAAUAAUGGGUAUUUGGUUGAAUAGCCUUGAAUUGAGGUGGGGCAGCCCCUGGUUAUGCCUUUUGCGCACGGCUAAAUUAUUCCGAUAGAAAAUCAAUGCAUGUGUUUCUCUUUCUUCCUUCUUGGAGCAGGUUCAAUUUCCAAUUAUACUGGUAUGCAUUCUGUUAGUUAAACCCUGAUUGAAGCUAAACCGGUUCUGUUCUUUCCGUAUGAAAUAAGAUGUAUGGCCGUGAUCUGUGCGCGCCGUGCAUGAAUAGGUCUGGGAGAUGGCCGCGGUGAGCACGCCCACCUCGUGAACGUGGGAUGGCACGUUCGAUGCGAGCGGGGCCAUGGCGUGCUGAUCAGCCAAGUUUGUUAGCUCAAACAAAAUAAGAGGCAACGAUAAACAGAAAAGCAGUAACGUUGUGCGCUGUGCGAAACAUCUUGCCCACCUGAGUUCAGAGAGAGAGAGAGAGAGAGNNNNNNNNNNNNNNNNNNNNNNNNNNNNNNNNNNNNNNNNNNNNNNNNNNNNNNNNNNNNNNNNNNNNNNNNNNNNNNNNNNNNNNNNNNNNNNNNNNNNNNNNNNNNNNNNNNNNNNNNNNNNNNNNNNNNNNNNNNNNNNNNNNNNNNNNNNNNNNNNNNNNNNNNNNNNNNNNNNNNNNNNNNNNNNNNNNNNNNNNNNNNNNNNNNNNNNNNNNNNNNNNNNNNNNNNNNNNNNNNNNNNNNNNNNNNNNNNNNNNNNNNNNNNNNNNNNNNNNNNNNNNNNNNNNNNNNNNNNNNNNNNNNNNNNNNNNNNNNNNNNNNNNNNNNNNNNNNNNNNNNNNNNNNNNNNUGUGGUGGCCGCCGGCCGACACAUCCUAGAUUAUUCCUCGUUCGGCCCAAAAUAUUGCUCGCUGCAUCUCAAAUGUAAGUCCUAUUUUUUCCGUCUCAAGCCAACUUAACUUACAUUUUGGGAUAGAUAGAUCACUUUUCUGCUUCGGUACACCUCCUUAUAAACACAUCCAAGUAGACAUAAGGAGUGCAGACAAAGAUCAAACUGACAUCCUUGUCUUCAUGAAGAACCAUGCUUAUAUAAAUUCGUCACCACUCACCAGUAAAUGACGAUCAUAUUUACAUGCAGGCAAACACGCAAUACCUGUACACACUCAUACCUCGUCCGGACCAAGAACGACGAACCUGGCCGAAAGAACAGACCUCUCGAUCGAACCUAUUAUUCUCGUAGUGCGAACAUGUAGCACGAAGACGACGCCGAUUGAUACCGGACGCCUCAGUUCAUGAUAUAACAUAACUACUACUCCCUCCAUUCCAAAUUACUCGUCGUGGGUGGUUACCACGACGAAUAAUUUGGAACGGAGGGAGUAGCUACGAAAGCCGGGCAUGCAUGCAUGCACGGACUACGUACAUAACCACGUAAUGAUCGACCUACCGAUUACGGCGAACCGGUAGUAUUGUAUGGCGCCCGGCCCUGGUGACCAUGACCGGGGCCGGUGCUAUGGCCGGGAGUCGUCUCUUUAUCCAUGGCCUCAACCGCAGGGAAGCUACUGCCGCCGCCGCUUCCCUCAGAGAGGGUCCCGCUCGGAACCGUGGUUGCCGCUGCAACCCUCGCACAGUGAACUACCCUCGGCAUGGUGGUGGAGUGCGCGACCAGGAGGAGGGUGAUGGCCAUGGCGGCAAAGGCUGAAGCAGAUGAUGAUUUGUUGGCCAUAUUGAAAGCCACACUAAGCCACCACUAGAGGUUCUUGGUCUGUGAGUCGAGUCUUGACGAGGCAGAGGCGUCCAUUUGUGGCCUUAUAUAGGCGCCUGGUCAAGUGGUGAUUACGUUUUGGUGUUGGUGACGCAAAAGUGUUGCACAUGCAUGCAAGCACACGAUGCUUCUUUUCAUGAGACGAUAAAUAUAUACAACUCAAUCUGAUGUUCCAUCUUAUUUAACAAAGUGAUGGUCCUAUAUUCUAGGAGGCAGUAUUAGAAACCACAAGCGUGAAACGGAAAAAGGUGCCUGUCUUGUGCACAGCACAAUAUACUGCCACAAAGAAUGCCGCAUAGAUAUGGAAAUAUUCUGUCCAAGGUUUCCCUCAGAUCGAGCGCGUGGUGUUGUCACCUGUACCUAACCUUCUCUUUCGAAUCUUGUACUCCCACUUGGACGUUGUUUAUCAUCAAAAUUAAAGCUCAUGGUCCCUUUAGAAUGUAAAGCCAUGCCUCCGGAAUCAUUAAAGAACUUCCAUAUGUCACACUCUCGUGUGCCCAUGAAUCACCUGACCAUUAAUUCUCGACCGAAUAAUACAUUAAGAACAACAACUCUAUUUUGUUUUUGUUUUUCUCUACUUUAUCUAUGUGGCAAAUGGAUCCCGGGGUUUUACAUAAGUUCUCAUCAUAAUUUCAAGUGAUCUACACCAUUUCAUCAUUUUGUCUCUACGGCAUCACUAAGCCAUACUACAUUACUCAGUUAUACCUAAAAUGUACUAGGGUGACAAGGAUAUGGUAUUACCAACUACUCCACCAACUAUUCAUGGUUGCCUUAGAGUGUAGAUCCAUGCCUCGGAAAUCGUUAAGGGCUCCUGAACACUACCGCGUGCCAAUGUCAAUUGCAGUUUGAAUGAGUGAUAUAGGACACUAAAUUAGAUAAAGGUGAUACUUAUUUUGCAGAACAGCAAGCACAUACGUACACUGCCACCAUCCCACCACCCACACAGUGGCAAUUGAAGACAUGACUCACUGAGCUUCAAGAUUAGUGAUGUCAACUAUCAAAGGGAGCAUCCAGUACCACAUGGUUCAAAACGCACGCAGGGUUCAUCUUCAUCACCCCAAAAUACAUCAAUUCCAGUUUACAUAUUCAAAAGACACACAGAGUUCAUCAUCAUCAUCACACAGUUGUCCGCCUAAUAAGGAUUAGACGCCCAAGAAGAAAGCCAAAUUAGAAUGUAGUCGCUUGGUAUGUGUUAUGCAUGGUCGCUCUUUGCUGUCUAGUUCAUCCACCAGAUCGCUAUAGUUGAAUGGAGACAUAGUUCAUCUUCAUCACCACACAUUUCUCCACUCCUACCGGCCUACCUCUCUGUUUCAGCAGCUAUCACCUCUUUUUUUUUGAGACAAAGCUAGCUAUCACCUAACUACAUGGCAGCUCACACCGAUCUGGGCCAAGGAAGCGUGGAUUGGGGCCAUCUUUGUCUUAGGGCCUGGCCCUUGGCGGCCUCCUCUUCUCGUCAGUCAAAGGUACAAAAAAUAAAAAUCAUAAAAAAUAGAAGUCAUUUGCUCUAACCCAAAGCAUAAACAAAGACAUGUGUAGUCUCUCAAACAAGAACUUUACUAUAUAUAAAAAAUAAAGCGCUUCUCUGAACCUGUCUUCCUCGGUGGUAGGUGUAUUUGUGUUGUGGCUCUUCCCCUCCAGCUCCAGAAAUUAAAGGAGGGUGGCACAGAAGCGUGGAGGACGCAAAAUACUGCGCAGACUUCAUCACUGGGAAAGUGCCAAAGUGGCAAGUGUUGGGUGCUGCAGGGGCUUUGAAAGUGGUAAGUGCGGGAAGCACACGACCACGUUGGGCUGGCUAUGAUGUGUUUAUACUUUUGGGAUGGAUUACUAACCUGGCCAGAAUUCUGUUCGUGCCAUGUCCACACCAAACAAACGAAAAAGCAUGGAUGGAGACACUUCGCUGUAAAAAGGAAAAAAAAUGGGCAUGAAGACACACCACAACUUGUUCUGCACCAUUCUCAGGAAAAAAAAUGUGCUGCAGCAGCCGGCGCGAGGCGACCAAUUGUUUCUUGCUUAGCAUCCUAUGCAUGUAGGAGUAUCAGCUAGCAUACACUGCACUGGGAGCAAUCGCUAUGGCUGAUCACACGCUCCCAAUCGUGUGGACUGGUUUAAAAUUAUGCGCUUGCUAUUGAUCAGAUGCCUAGAAUUUUUUUCAGGCCUCAAUCAACAGCUUAGAGGGUGAGAUAGGGAAGUCAUAGCUGGCUGUGUCGUUGCCGGCGAGCUUGAGCCAAGACCUUGUUGGGAGGCGGAGAUGAUGUGUCCGGCAGCGGCUUGUCGUGCUGUUUCUGUUGGAGGAGAGCAAGGGGUUGGCUGGCUUGUGUUUGGUUCCAUGUCGAUCGGAUUAUAUGACGCCCGACCUCGAUACGGGGACGCAUCAGUGUCGCCGCUGAAGCAGUGGAAGGGAGUGACUUAUUCGAGUCGGAAGAGUUAGGAUUUAGGCUGGAGGGGGGUUUGUGCAAGAGGAGGAAGAAGGGUGCGACCGGAGGGGGUUCCCAUGGGAGGAGAAAGAAGGUAUGACACAGUCGGAUUCUGAUCAUUGGUGCAGAAAAAAAGUGAUGGGAAGCAAAAAAAAAAAAAACUAGUUGCCUGUGAAAUGGCGAACCCUUUAAAAUAAAUUUAAAGUGCAAACACCACGACUCACUCGUGCAGGCCUGGUCAUCGUUUUGGCACUCGCUUGAUGGGUGUCAAACAACCUUUUUUCCCUUCCAUAGAGAAAUGGCUAGAAGCAACUCUGGCAGUGUUGUCAACAUCGCAGCCUUCAAAGAUUGUUUACUUUGUGAAAGCCAUAGCUGCAGGUAGAAUAAUUGGAGAAAGGUAGACAAAUAUACUGGAAAUAGAAGUAUUUGUCUUCUUAUGCUCUCUUAUGCAAAACUUCCACUUGCUUGUAUCAACAGAAAAAGGGUUAAGUUUUGCACGUGAAAAAAACUGAGUCAUUCAUUAUCAAAACUAAUUUCCGGUUCAUGUGCAACCAGCAAUGCAAGUACACCAUGUGAUGCAUUAGAGAAUAAAAUAUCAACAUCUUCAAUACCUUAAUUGUUUGAAAAUACUUUUCAUGAUGGAUCACAUUAUAUAAUUUUGGUGUUGUAGAUAUUGAUAUAUUUUUCUAGAAACUUAGUCAAACAGGUACAUGUUUGACUUUUGAAAAAAUUAAUAAACCUUAUAUUUUGAAAUCGGAGGGAGUAUUUAUAGAUCCUAUGUGAAUGUCAACAGAAGGUCAUCAGUAUAUUAGAGCUUUCAAGAAAUAUGUACCGGAAGUUGUCAAACUUGUGUACCUGAACUUAUUUGAUCCAAAUAAGAAUCCUGUAUGUUGUCCCUCCUGAGUACAUGUUUUGGAGCAAGUGCUGGUUGGACGGGACAAGCGGAAGAAUGGUGUCUCAUCCACUGCAAGGCCGACGGCGGAUCCCGGUGGCAUGGCGCUGCGGAGGUUCGGCGACGGGCGUGCGUGGACGGAUACGUGCAGCAUGGUGGAAUUGUCUGGUGUCGUGGUGGCGUCGACGGCAGGCCAGGCAAGGUCGAUGGGUCAGUUACUGCUCUAGAGAUGGACUGGUGAAAGAUGGCGGCGACAGCCUCUGUGAGUGCGUCGGUCCGGUAUGGACCCAGUCCUGGCGUGUGGCUGGGCUGGGGCAUCCGGCUUUAUAUGUUAGGGUUUGGUGCGAUGUCCGUCUGGUAUUAAUAAUUGGAUCCCGCACCAAUGCACAAGAAGUUUAAGUUUUAAUCGUUAAAACUUACGAAUUUGCAUAUGAAAAUUUUAAUUUUCUCGGUCACGAGUAUCAAGUUUGAGAGUUGAAACUCUAGGGAGCUUUUUUUUGCCGGUUGCAGGUACUAAAGCCAUGAUUUUAUAGAUACUAGCUAGAUAGAUAGAUAGUCACGUCCAUUAUAGAUACCUGCCCCGCCGCUGUAUAGUCACGUCCAUUAUAGAUACUAGAUAGAUAGGUAGAUAGAGUAGAAGAUAGAUAGAUAGAAUAGAUAGAAGAUAGAUAGAUAGAACAGGUGGCCCAUAAGCCACUGGUGCAUCCGGUGCACGAUUCUACAGGAUAUUUUCGUUCUCUGUUGCAUGUGCCCAUUAGUUUCUACUCUCACAUAUAUGUACCUUGUGCAUGUCCUACCACCAUUUCUCCCAACCCAGAACAGAAUAGAACAAAGCUAGCAGUCACUCAUAGGUAGCCACCAUGGACGUGGCCUCGCUGCUGCUCCCCUUGGUCCUGGCGCUGGUGGCGAUCCCGAUCUCGCUCGCACUACUCGACUGGCUGCGCCUUCCGCCAGGCCCGUGUCCGUGGCCGGUGGUGGGCAACCUGCGCCAGAUCAAGCCCGUGCGGUGCCGCUGUUUCCAGGAGUGGGCGGAGCGGUACGGGCCUAUCUUCUCCGUGUGGUUCGGCUCCUCCCUCACCGUCGUCGUCUCCACGCCGGAGCUGGCCAAGGAGGUGCUCAAGGAGCACGACCAGCAGCUCGCCAACUGCACCCGGAACCGCUCCACCCAGCGCUUCAGCCGCAACGGCCAGGACCUCGUCUGGGCCGACUACGGCCCGCACUACAUCAAGGUGCGCAAGCUGUGCAAUCUCGAGCUCUUCACGCAGAAGCGACUCGAGGCGCUCCGCCCCAUCCGGGAGGACGAGGUCACUGCCAUGGUCUCGUCCGUCCACCGCGCCGCCACCGGCCCCGGUAAGCAAAGCAAGCAGCCGAGAUUUCAUGUUCUUUCUCACCUCCGAACACUGAUAUUACUUAUGCCAUGCAUUAUACUCCCUCUGUCCUAUAAUAUAAGAGCGUUUUUGACUACUGGUGCAGUAUCAAAAACGCUCUUAUAUUAUGGGACUAGUGUCAAAAACACUCUUAUAUUAUAGGACAGAUGGAGUAUAUGGUUGCUGCUGCAAAUGGUCGACGAAUUGCUUUCUCCUGUUAGACUCAUGUUGGGAUGGGAGUUCGUUGGAUUAGAAAUGUUUAACUGUUGUGUACCUUUCUUAGUGUCAAGCUUGCAUGAAAAGAAGAAAAAGAGCACUGCCAUGCGCAACGAUUUUGGAUCUGAUUUCAGUACCACAAACAGUACGAGCCAUCCAUCGAAGCGUCGUACCAAGGCUGGAUGUCGAAGCAUUGUACGCAGUGAUUCUGACAGAAAAAGCCUUCAUAGCAAGAUUUUAUAAGAUUCAUACCAUAAUUCUAAUUGCAACAUUUGUAGCGAAAUACAACAAGAUUCAUAACUACUGAUUUAAAUAGCACUCUGUACCGUUUUGAGCAAUGUCUUGCUAAAUGAAAUCAAUGUACAAUAUAUCGUUUGCUACACCGCGAUAGAUUCGCUAUAGCAGAUUUUAAAGGAUGCACUAUUUUGUCGUAGAACACUAUUUUUUUUCCUUGUUAAUACAACAUAAUUUUACUUGCAAAGGUCAUAGUAAAAUACUAUAAGAUUCAUAGCAAUAUCCUAUUGAGUUGAGUUGUAAAUUAAUUGUUCCAAUAUUUUUAGGUAAUGAAGGAAAGCCACUGGUUGUGAGGAGUCACCUUGCCAUGGUGUCUUUCAACAAUAUAACAAGGCUAGUUUUUGGGAAGCGGUUUAUGAAUGCAAAUGGUGACAUUAACGAAGAAGGGCAGGAGUUCAAGAGUAUUGUCAACAACGGUAUCAAAAUUGGUGCAUCUCUCUCUAUUGUUGAAUAUGUUUGGUACUUGAGAUGGCUGUUUCCACUUAAUGAGGAGCUUUACAAGACCCACAAUGAGAGAAGGGAUCAGCUGACCAAGAAGAUCAUAGAAGAGCAUGAGGUAGCAAGCAUCAUUUCGUGGAUGCACUGUUGACUCUCAGAGAACAGUAUGAGCUUAGUGAUGACACAGUUUUCGGACUUCUAUGGGUAUGAUGGAUGCCCCUUCAAAAUUUAAUUAACAUAUCUUCAUACAGUACAUUUUGAUUUUAGUGUCAUAAGAUGAGAUGCUGUGCUAACUUUUAAUGUGGAAUAAAAUAUCAAUGCCUUGUCAGUGCUCCCAUUAUUUGCAUAAAUGCUGCAUUCCCUACCUUUUUAUUGCGUUGAUUGAUUUUUGGGAGAAGGGAAAGUUUAGCCAAAUUUACUAGAUAUACGUUUGGUGAGAUGCCACUCUCUCAAGGUUGGUGUAAAAUGCUAUCUCAAAAACAUCAACAACUCAAAAAAAAGGUUGCUGUAAGAUGAUGGGAUUGGAAAAUGCAUGUUUAUUUUCUCUUUAUAAAUAUUCCCUCCUUCCCAUAUUAAUUAUUGCACAAACAAAUGUAUCUAACACUGAUAUACGUCUAGAUACAUUCGGCUGAGCAACAAUUAAUACAAUGCCAAACUUGUUCAUACUGGUAAACCAGUGUAAUCUUUGUCACUGGAUGUCUCCUCGUAUAUUCCUAUAUUGCACAUGUCAAACUUGUUCAUACUGCUAAAUCAACAUCGAAGAAGUACUCCCUUCGUCCAAAAAAGCUUGUCCCAAGCUUUUCUCUCAAAUGGAUGUAUCUAGCACCAAGUUAGUGCUAGACACAUUCAUUUGAGGGACAAGCUUUUUCGGAAGGAGUACACGAUAUCUGCUAUGUACUAAAGUUGCACCCUGAUAAUCUGAUUGGCCCUCUUGUGAUUUCUUUAGUGGUUACCACCCCAAGAUUUGUUCCUCGUGCUCAGGACAUCAUCACUACUGGAAUGGACACGACAGUCAUAUCAGCCGAGUGGGCAAUGGCAGAGCUGGUUAGGUAUCCCAGGGUGCAGAGGAAGCUACAAGAGGAGUUGGACAGUGUGAUUGGCCGUGACCGGGUCAUGUCCGAGACUGACUUCCAAAACCUGCCGUACCUGCUAGCCGUCGUCAAGGAGUCCCUCCGGUUGCACCCGGCAACGCCGCCCAUGCUGCCCCACAAGGCCAGCACAAGCGUCAAGGUCGGCGGCGCCGAUGUCACGGUGAAUGUGUGGGCGAUCGCUCGCAAUCCCGAUGUCUGGAGCAACCCGCUGGAGUACAGGCCGGAGCGUUUCCUGGAGAAGAGCAUUGACAUCAAGGGUGGUGACUUCAGGGUGCUCCCCUUCGGCGCGGGCCGGAGGGCGUGUCCUGGCGCGCAGCUGGGAAUCAACCUCGUGGCCUCCAUGAUCGGGCACCUUCUGCCCAUUUCGAGUGGUCUCUGCCAGAAGGUACCAUGCCGGAGGAUGUUGACAUGAUGGAGUCCCCCGGAAUCGUCACAUUCAUGAGCAUGCCGCUGCAGGCUGUCGCCAAGCCGCGCCUGGACAAGGAGGAGUUGUACAAUAGGGUCCCGGUUGAAAUGUGAGCAAGGUUUUGAAUUCUGAAUGAUUUUUUUUCUCAUGGGGGACAGAGAUUCCAGGUUACCACGUAACCAUGAAAUACCAGACAAAUUUCAGGCGAAAUUUAAAUCAUAUUUUGAAUUCAAAAUUAUGUACCACUUAUAUACAUUAUUAUUGAACUAAAUAUAUUCAGAAACUGUCUGGUUAGGUCCGCAUGACCGAGGGCCAAACCAGCGGCCUAUAUAUAUGGUUGGACUCGAUAUGGAAGACCCUAGUUACCACUACACCAUCGCUAUUUAGGUGUGAUAUGUUUCAGUUCCUGCCUAUCUAACUACACAUCGACAGUUUAAAUUAAUUUUUUUUGAAAGUUCUACUAUUUGUUUUACUCGGUAUAUGGGUUUCUCAUGGGGCAGCGAAAUUUGUCGUUAGCGGGUGGUUUGUCAAAAAAAAAUCCUUGGAUGUGAGCAGCUUGGAAAGUUUUUUUAAGGAGCGGCAUGGACUGUUACACCGUUGAGGAUUUGUCCCUCCUUGAAAAAAGGUGUUUGGUUGAGCUCAUGUUAUUGUAAACUGGGUGUUAACUUUCCUUUGAAAUCGUAAAGUUAUAGUUUGAGAUUGUUCAAACUUCUUGAUGGCUCUAGGCAAAGACGCGCCAAGUGGCAACCCCCUUGGCUCUCGGAAAACUGUUUGCCCAGUGCCCGAUGGAUGGUUCUCGACGAAAUUGAGUUUUCUUGAGAGGUGUACGCCGAGUACUCUUUGCCGAGAACAAUUAUUGGCAAAGCCUUUGCCAAGUGUUUCUGGCACUCGGCGUAGAGUGAAUUUCCAGUAGUGUUUGUUCUACUUUGAUUAUGUACUUUGGUGUGUAUUUGUAUAGGAUUUUGAUUUGUACUAAUGAAAAAAAUUAGACAAUGUAUCUGUCCACCUAUUACCUAAUGCUAUCCACGUAAAUGAUGGUUGAAUAUCGUUUUCUUGAUGAAACUUGGCACUGUGUUCACAUUUUAGGUCCUCUUAGGGCAUCUCCAAAGUUGUAUGUCAAACUGGUCGUAACUGUGUGGUCCGGACAGUUUGAACCCUCCAACGUUGUCCUCCAAACUCCGCGGACCGGUCCAAAUGUCUGAAUUCUCACAAAAUGGAAGCAAACAGGUAGGAGGUUUGCAGGCGUCCGGACCUAUGUCACGCACGCUACUAACUGCCCGGACCCACAUAGCCAGUGACAGAUCGAAUAACUUUGGUAGUGGGCAGAUUCGACUGGGUCUAUAUUGCAUCAUCGACCGGUACUUCUGUGUUAAAGACGACAAGGGCAAGGGCACAACCACCGGCGCUAAAGCCCAAACCGCCCAAUAACGUGUCAGCCUCUUAGGAAUCCCCUACCAAGUUGCCUCAGGAAAAAAAAUGAAAUCCCCUACCGAGUCCAUCGUCAUUCUCCUCUAAAUCCCCGUUGCUGAGCCGCCCCAACCCGCUCCGUGCCACCGCACCACGCUGUGGUCCUUCGUCUGGCACUGCACCGCUUCUGCAUGACACCAGCCACUUCUGUCGGCACCCAGUCCCGCGACACGUCGGUGCUGCACAGCCGCCCACUCGGUUCAGCUGUGCAGUGCGCCUCCCGCUGCUGUGCGCCGUCUUUCAAGAAGCAGCCAGAGGAGCAAGCGUUGCAGCUAGAAGCAGGCGUCACAACAUUUGUUCCGACACCAUACUCUACAGCGCAUCAACUAUCAAAUUACACUUGCGCAGUGGCAGAACCAGAACUUUUGUGGAGCCUGGGCAAGUUAAGCCUAAGUGUACAACCUAGAAAAUCACAAUUCGAAUAUUCGGAUACACAUCAUAUAAGAUAGCACCAAACUUCUGAACCACAAAACCACAUUAAUAAUGAAGUGAAAACAUGAAUGUAAUAGUCGCAAAAAAUGUAAUUUUAAAAUGAACUAAUAUAUAAUAUAUCAAUAUCCGUUUCAUAGACCAAAUAAAGUUGAGUCUUGACAAGAAAAGAUUUAUAACCAGCCUUGCAUAGAGACAAACUCGGCAUGUUGCCAACAAAAAUAAAGCUAUCCAUACCAGAUGUCAUUGUGCAAUUUCUUCCACCACGAAAGCAUCUCGCACUUGUUGAUUUUUGCGAAAAGAAAGACAUAUAUCUAUAUUUGGUUUUGUUCUCGUCAAUCUACUAGGAAAACCAAGAUUGAUAAAAAUCCAAUCUUUUCUGUACCCCUACAGGUACCUCAAAGAAGGAUAGGAGGAACAUCGCCAUGCUCAUGACUACCGAGUUGAUAAGGACCAACCGCCCCCAUAAUAUAAGAGCUUUCCCUUCCAUCAACUCAACUUCUUUUCAAAUCGAUCUUCAAUACAUUUCCACUCUUUAUUAGUGAGUUUACGAUGGUGUAUUUGGAUGCCCAAAUAGGUAAAUGGCAAAGAACCUAGCUCGCAACCAAACAACUGUUUAUAACUAUCAUGUUCAUCUUUGGCAUGCCCAAAACAGAAUAAUCCAGUUUUGCUGAAAUUAAUUUUGAGCCCGGACAUUUGUUCAAAAAGGCACGAAACUAACUUCAUAUUCCUUGCCUUAGUUGGAUCAUGUUCCAUAAAGAUAAUGGUGUCAUCUGCAUAUUGUAGAAUGGAUACCCCACCGUCCACCAGAUGUGGGAUAAGACCCCCUACCUGGCUGCCUUCUUUCGCUUUUUUUAUAAGAACGGCCAACAUUAAAAAGGAUACGAGACAUCGGAUCUCCUUGUCUCAGUCCUUUCUGCAUUUGAAAGUAAUGGCCUAUAUCAUCAUUAACCUUACUUCCAACGCUGCCUUCCUGUACAAAGGAUUCGACCUGCUUCCGCCAGGUUGCAUUGAACCCUUUCAUACGCAAAGCUUGCUGUAAAAAUGACCACUUCACUUUAUCAUAAGCCUUUUCGAAAUCCACUUUAAAGACCACUCCAUCGAGUUUCUUUGAAUGGAUUUCAUGUAAGGUUUCAUGUAGGACAACCACACGCUCGAGUAUAUGCCGUCCAGGGAUGAAGGCUAUUUGAGUCGCCUGAACCACAAACUGAGCUAUCUGUGUCAAACGGUUCGUACCACUUUAGUAAAAAAAUUGAAGCUUACAUUAAGCAGACAUAUCGGUCGGAACUGCUCAAUCCGAAUCGCUUCCUUCUUUGGUAACAACGUGAUUGUUCCAAAGUUCAAUUUAAAUAGUUGCAAUUGGCCAUUAAACAGAUCAUGGAACAUAGGCAUCAAGUCACCCUUAAUAAAAUCCCAACAUCUCUUAUAGAACUCAACUGGGAAGCCAUCUGGACCAGGUGCUUUGUUAUUUUUCAUUUGCGAAAUCGCCUCAAACACUUCCUUCUCAGAGAACGGGGCCAUGAGCACCUCAUUCUUAGCAUCUCCCAGUUGUGUUAUGUUAUCCACUGCACUCUCAUUGAGUGCGACGCAGUUCUCAACUGGGGCCCGAACAAUUUUUUUAUAGAAGUUUAAAAUAUACAUCUUAAGGUUCUCAUGACCGACAAUUAUGCCUUCAUACUGUUCAAGCUGAAUGAUUUUCUUUUUUCUAUGUUUCCCAUUGGCAAGCAUAUGGAAAAAUUGUGUAUUUAUCCCCUCGAAUCACCCGACACGCUUUAGCCCUAAGUGCCCAUUUGAUCUCUUCUUCUCGAAGAAGCUUUGCCAAACAGACCUCAGCUUCUCUUUUAGCCACUCGCUCAUCAGUGUCUAACGAGUGACUCUCAACUUUUAUAUCAAGAUCAUUAAUGAUGUUAAGCAGUCUCUCUUUCUGCUGCUUAUAAAUACCACUAUCGUUCUUGGCCCAGCCGCUCAAAAACUGUUGAAUGUGUCUAAUCUUAAAUUGCUAUCUUUCGACAUUGGACUCACCCCUUUGCUCUGACUCCCAAUACUUUACUAUCAUCUAAAGGAACCCUUCUCUCUCGAACCACGCUGUUUCGAAGGAGAAGGUAUGUUUGUUUCCCUGGUGAGUUGCCUCACCAGAGUCAACAAGCAGGGGUGUACGGUCAGAAAUUCCUCUUAGUAACGCUUGCACCGUCACGAAAGGGAAUUUUUGUUCCCACUCAACACUCGUGAGAACUCUAUCCAACUUUUCAUAUGUUGGAUUCAGAAGAUUAUUAGCCCAAGUGAAUUGCCUACCCGUGAGUUCAAUCUCUCACAGGUCCAUGCUUUCUAUAAUCGGAUUAAACAUGAAUGACCAUCUACCAUCGAAAUUGUCAUUAUUUUCUUCUCCUCUUCUUCUAUUGAUAUUGAAGUCUCCACCCACUAAAAUGGGUAAGGUAUCCCCUCCACAGAUCCUUACUAGAUCUGCAAGGAAGUCAGGUUUGAGCUCUGGCUGUGCCGCUCCAUACACCACCACAAUUGCCCAUCUGAAACCAUCAACUUUCGAUCGCACAUGAAACUUGAUGGCAAACUUACCCAUAAACACCUUCAUCACCACCUCUAGAGAUUCACAGUUGACUUCGAGCAAGAUCCCGCCAGACCUUCCCCGAUGUGGCAAACAGUGCAAAUCAAAGUCUAGACCACUAUAAAUCGUGGCCAGAAACUGCGAGGUGAAAUUAUCGCGUCCUAUCUCGAGCAACGCAAUAAGAUCAAGCUUAUAGUCCCGGGAAGCCUCCGCCAAAAACCUACGCUUAGCCGCAAGACCUCUACUAUUCUAGUAUAUCCCUUUCAUGGAUCGUCAUGAAAUUUCUUCUUGAAUUUGAUUCUCGCACUCCGACGCAUAGUAGAAAGGUCGUAUACCUUCUUCUUUCGUGUGCGUUUGGGCUAAUCAGUCCCAAUCCCACAGUUCGCAUGACUGGGGUUGUCACUAGGCCCUUCGUUUGGAUGAAGAAGAGCCGCAUGCUCCUCCUCCUCCUCCAAGGUCUCCGAGUCAAGAAUACUCGCAGCAACUCGUGAACACCCAACUCAUUAAUCUCACUCUCUUCCAUUGGUUUAACAGCCGCAAUGUUUUUAAGCAUAUGCAUCGUUCUAUCAGCCUCUAAAUCAAGCAACUCAUUAAUUGACGUAGCCACCUCGCGACCAUUACCCCCCAAAGAUACGCCCAAUUUAUCGGCUCUGUUCACUAUAUCAUGUUCGGAAAAAUACAGAACAGAAAAACUGGUAUUAAACUGACAUACCUGUAGUGUGCUCGAUAUCCCGUAGUUUGGCAGUCCGCAUGGCACGCCCCAUCUGUAGGUCAUCUACGUCAGGUUGGGCCUGAAUACGUGUGCUCGACCGCCUACGGGAAGAAGUUGGAUCCGGGAUCCCACCAAAGCCCACCACCUCAUCGGUGGAGCGCACCACCGGUCGUCCACCUGGCGACACCCCAAGCGGCACCUCUAGUGCGCCCGGUACCGGUGCCACGGGAGCACUCCCGGGCCUCACCGUAGCAAUCGCCUCCCGCGACACGUAGGGCAAAAUUGUGGACAUCAGUACAGUCAAGGUAGUCGCCACGUCGGCAGGUGGCCCCAAAUCCGAGGCCGCCUGCCUCGGGCUCGUAUCCCCCGUCGGUGUCGUCACUGCCAUCUGUCCCUCCUGCUCCACCAUAGUUGUUGUCUCCUGCGACAACUGCGAUAGAGUGGUAGGCCCCUGGACGGUCGAACUAGUCGUCACAUCUGAAAUCGAGUGAAGAGCCAAGACCGCCUGCCUCAUGCUCCUCCCCCUAACUGGCGUUGAGACCACCACCUGCCCCAUGCCCCUCGUGGAAUCUGAAGUACGCACAGGCGACAUCGGUGGUAAUUCUGGCUCCACCGGAUCAUCAACCUCCAUCCGGCCCCUCCAGAGACGGCCUGGCGCCGAAGCCGCCCCAAAGGAACCGAAACGCAAUCCCACCAUAGGCGUCGAAAAAGUCUCUGACCCCUUACCCAACGGGGCCUUGGACGACUGAUUCAUCGCACCAGUGGACGAAGGUCCAUCCCCACGCUUAUCGUGGUCCAUAAGAUCAUCCUGCUGCCCCUGGCUACCGUCGGCGCCACCAUCAUCAACCUUACCUUUAUCCGUGUCCUCUACCAUCAGGUACCCCUCAAUCAUAAUCUUAAGAUGAUAGAUGAGUCCCUCAUAAAACCAUGACAAGUAAGCUGGAACCGCGUCCAAAUCAAUCACACCAACACGCAACCUCGCUAUGCCAUGGCAGCGAGUGAAUGGCAUAUCAACUUCCAUGGUUUUCCCAAUUAGUGAUCCAAGACUAAGUCUCCAGGAACUCAUAAAGCGGCUCAGGUGGAACCCCAUAAAAUCGAGUCCAAAUCUGUAUCAACGGACGUCCAACUGGCUCGUUCCACUUCCACUCCUCAAUCUCAAGUAAGCAUGAACUACCGGGCACCUUGCACAUUCCAAAUUGAUUAAUCUUCUCAAGAUCAGCUUUCGUAUGAUAGUCUACCUUAUAUGGCUGCUCCUCAAUCUUGACCAAUGACCACUGGUAAGAUGCUGAAACUAACCUCCGAAGCUGCUGAACCACUUGGUCCUCAGACAUGGUACCGUGCUUGACACGAAUAAGGCCCGUCCUAGCAUUCUCAAGAUGUGGUCUGCACGAUUCUCAAAGAACAUAAGGUCAGGGUCGCAUACCCCAUACAUAGUCACCACAGGCUUAGGAGCCGAAAGAAGGGGGCAAUCGGCCUCAUGCUUCGGCCUCAAACAAAUGUCACAUAACUCUUUAGAGCAUCCCGCGGCAUAGUGACCUGGCUCCCCACAUUUAAAACAGUACAACUUCUCUCUUUUCCGCUGCCCUUUGGUGUUCUGACACAUCGCUACCCUUGUCAAUGCAAGCACCUGUAGCCUCUGUUGGUGCCUUCACACUCUCGGGAGGUACAGCCGCCAAAGCCCUCACCACCGUGAUAGCUUCGCCGACGACUCAGUUGGUACCACAAGUUGAGUCAUCGUGGGCGGUGCGGUCAUGGUCGUUGGCGGAUCAUGCUUCACGCUUCACGAAGGUACGAGGCUUCUCUUGGCUGUCUAGUUGCUGAUGCCUGGAUGUCAUGGUAGGACAUCUGGGGCUGGAUGGAAUCUAAGACUACUUGCUCUGUUUUAUUGGUUUCCUUUCAUGCAAUGAAAUGAAAUCGGGGGCAUGCCCAUCAAUUCAAAAAAAAAAAACGCCUAGGAGGAGGCUCCUGCCUUCGUGGAUGUCGCAGGUUGCGUCCUCCACCCAUGCCUCCACCACCACGGCCCCCACGGAGCACCAUCCCCCCUUGUCGAGGAGCAUAGCGUUGUGGCCCUGCCGGACCAUGGACAAAGCCUCCCGUCGGCCCUUGAAAUUCCCGGCCGCCGUGGUCACUCCCGGUGUUGCCGCGCCCUCCGGCGGAGGACGAGCCAUAGAAGGAGUUGUGUGCAGCGGCAACGAACCCAUCUUGCUGAUUCCCCCAGAACUGUCUACCCGCACCUCCGGCGUUCCUGCCAUAAACUCCUCCACCGCCGUAGCCACGCCCCUGCCCUGGUUCCCGCCGCGGCCAGGAACAACAGCGCCGGCCGUCCGGGUACCCGAGUUGGCGACAACAGCCUGUGUUUUGAAUUUUGGCGCUAAAAAAUAGACUUCACCCAUCUCGGCCUGGGGCAGAAAAUAUCUUUUGACGAAAAACUAGAAUUUGGUAAAAUUUCAGACAUUUUUUGGUAAAAAUUUGGUCAAAUUUGCCGAAAUUUUUGAAAGCCUGGGGCGAAAAAAAUUCACAAACCGAAAAUCAAAACCUUGGCAGCAGCUUGCACGUUUUGAUCUUGCAAGUUGUGCGGCGGCGGCUGUGCUUGGUUGCCGUGGCCUGAAGCCAUGACGACGAUCGCGUAGGAGCGCAGAUCCCCUGCCGCCGUAUGAACCCACGUCCUCGAUGCUCGCUGUAUCCCACUGCAAAGAACUCACAGAUGUGAUCCGAAGUCGUCGGAGACCGCCCUUCAUCGUCAUAGGCAUCCUCCUCGGAGUCCGCCAGCGCCCAGAAUUUCCCCCCUACGCGCCGGGGAGGUAACGUCGCCCUCAUCCCCUCAUCUGUACGAGACGAGACUACGAGGUAACCCAGCGAAAAUCCUUCCCACCUUUCCUCCAUCCCCUUCCUCAGGUCCCUCGUCGUCGCCGACGUCCCCACGCCAAGGACGACAUGGGGUCGCUCACAGUCUUCACCAACGAGCAUAGGUUGCGCUAUCAUCCUCUCCCAUCUUCUUUCCUGUAGGUGUUUCUGACAGAUCGACCGAUUUGCGGAUGCAGAGUUCCUUUCACCAUUGACCUGCCUGUGGAUCCCCCUCCCUGCAGCAGCCCAUGGAAGAUGUCGCGGUGGUGGGCGAGCUGAGCAGGUUGGAGUACCAGCACGGCGCCACAACAAUUUGCCGUCCUUCCGGAUGGAGGACCUUCCCGUGGUAAUAAGUGGUAACUUCCAUUCCGUCAUUUUAAUUCCUCUGUCUCCCCCCAUUCCAUUACAGCAAGGGAAAUAAAGUGUUUACUGAUAUGGACCUCUUGGGCAACAAAUGUUUGAUCUUUGGCGUGAUGUUUGUUGUGCUCUGCUCUCCACGGAUCUGAAACUCUUGGGCAAAAUGUUUGAUCUUCUGUUCAAAUUGUUGCCUAGGGGUUUCAACGAUUGCUCACUUCAUGAGCUUUUUUUAGCUGCAAAAUGACAAUUGUAGUAAAAACACUAAACCUUUAUUUGUUUGCUGAACACUGAACCUUUAUUUGUUUGCUCAACACCCAACACUGAAUAUAUACAUAUAGUACUCCUAUAGGCCAUGGACACUAAGCCUUGAUUCUACUGAAAGCACAAUGACAAUGACAAUACACUGCAAAAACACUGAUCAGUAAAUCCCAGUUCAGUAGUGAAACACUGAACCUUUAUUCUAGUGAAACACUGCAAAAACAGGAUUUGCUGAACCUUUAUUUAUUUGCUGAUUCAAAUAGCCAGCAGAAACUUUAUUUGCUGAAACCACAAUUUUGAGCGUGAACGGCAGGUGCUCUGCCUUUGCAUUAUAGAAGAGGGAAAAUGGUCCAGUUAAUAGGGAAACCGGACCCGAAAACCAUACAACGCGCGGUUAAUAUGGGAAACCGGCAAAAAACCCCACCCAACAACUCAUGGCACAUCAUCUGUGCCGGAAACAAGAGCCCCCAGACCUAGGAACGGAGGCCAUGCCUUAUAUCCAACAAAGACGAACUCCGCAAACACCCACACAAUGGCAGCACACCGAAGUGCACCCUGGCAACAGAAGUGGUCAAGCAUUGGCCUGAACUAAUGCGCGCACCGCCUCGAUCACCUUGGGCGUGUGUUCCUUCUUGUACAUCUGCAGAUAGUGUUGCAUCUUCUCAUUCAGGUCUUCCUCAGAUGCUUUUCCUUUGCUCUUGAGUGUUGGAACCUCUCCAAAGGCCUCCGCCCGCCUAUACUCCGCGCGCUUGGCUACAGGAAUGUCGCAAUCUUUGUUUUUCUUGUCCAAACGGCAGCUUCGUCGCUCAAAGAGAGAAGGGGCAGCCUCUCCCACCUGCAAAACUUGCGGCGAGCUCGACACAGUGAGAGCAAGCUCUUCGAGGAACUCCCCCCACGGAGAGGAGGCUCUCCCAAGAGGCUCAUCUGCACCCAUCUGGAUCAGCUCCUUUGAAGGCUUCCCGGUGCAAGGAGCACUGGAAACCUUCGGCUCCUCCAGUGUCGACAUCCCGGGUAGGACAGAAGCCAAGUCAGGAGGAUCAUCCUCGAGCAUGACCUUUUCCAAGGCAGGCUGAUCAUCAACGGACUGAGCCUUCUCACUCAACUCAGCUGAGCAGCCAGCCACAACAAGCGCACUGCAAUCCUCACCAACGGCCACAGCAGGAGGAGCAGAUUCAACAUUGGCAAGGUCUUGGCUGCCCCCGAUAGCUUCCAUAGGUUCCCAUAGGCUUGAGACUUGAGCAGUCCAACUCUCCACAGCAGCAACCAAGUCUUGAAGAGGCUUGAACAACACCUCAAGACGAGCAGCGAACAAGGCCUGUAACUCAGCGCCGAGCGCCUCCGCCUGAGCUGCAAGGAGAGGCCGCAAGGGCUCCAAAACAGCAGGAGGCACGCCGGGGACAGCCGCCGGCACGACACCAUCAGUCGCAGGGUUGUCUUGAUGAGAAACCACCGAAGCCCAAGUGCGACCAGGUCGAUGAAGUGGGGCUGGAGGCGAUCCGCUGCAGGGGGAGGCCGCUGACGAGGCCCGGUAGGCGCGAGGGGGGACGGCGAGGUUCUGAACCGGCAGGAUGCCGUGCCAAGCACUCCCGCUCGCGAUGGCCGGAGUGGCCACAUCCCAAGCACCGGACAGGGCCACGGCAGCCCGCGACGAAGUGGUCCGACGCCAAGCACCGAAAGCAGAGGCCGAAAGUCCUCUGCUUGAAAGUGCGAGGCAGUCCAGCAUCCUUCCUGGGAGGGGGAGCAGCCACCUUCUCCAGGCUCGGGCGGCGCCGUCUCCCAACCUCCACCCAAGCCGGGGCGGUCGGGGCCAGAGCGGCGGGCGCCGGGGUCGGAGCCGCAGGGGCCGGAGCGGCCAGGUCCGGGGCGGNNNNNNNNNNNNNNNNNNNNNNNNNNNNNNNNNNNNNNNNNNNNNNNNNNNNNNNNNNNNNNNNNNNNNNNNNNNNNNNNNNNNNNNNNNNNNNNNNNNNNNNNNNNNNNNNNNNNNNNNNNNNNNNNNNNNNNNNNNNNNNNNNNNNNNNNNNNNNNNNNNNNNNNNNNNNNNNNNNNNNNNNNNNNNNNNNNNNNNNNNNNNNNNNNNNNNNNNNNNNNNNNNNNNNNNNNNNNNNNNNNNNNNNNNNNNNNNNNNNNNNNNNNNNNNNNNNNNNNNNNNNNNNNNNNNNNNNNNNNNNNNNNNNNNNNNNNNNNNNNNNNNNNNNNNNNNNNNNNNNNNNNNNNNNNNNNNNNNNNNNNNNNNNNNNNNNNNNNNNNNNNNNNNNNNNNNNNNNNNNNNNNNNNNNNNNNNNNNNNNNNNNNNNNNNNNNNNNNNNNNNNNNNNNNNNNNNNNNNNNNNNNNNNNNNNNNNNNNNNNNNNNNNNNNNNNNNNNNNNNNNNNNNNNNNNNNNNNNNNNNNNNNNNNNNNNNNNNNNNNNNNNNNNNNNNNNNNNNNNNNNNNNNNNNNNNNNNNNNNNNNNNNNNNNNNNNNNNNNNNNNNNNNNNAGAACGACCGCCGAAGAGGAGCGCGGGUCGGGAUCUGGGUCAGGGCCUUCAUCCCCGGCCGGGCUGGGAGGGGGAGGGGGAGGGGCGGCGGCGGGGGAGGCGGCGGGGGCUACGGGGGCCAUGGGCGAGGGCGGCGGAGGGGGCUGCGUAGUGGCGGCGGCGGCGGCGGCCGCCAGCGGAGUCGGGGAUGAAACCACAAUGAAAAUGUCAAUUCUUGUGGUUCUGAAGAACCUCUACUGGCUAUAUAUAUGUCAAGUAGGUUGUACUGCUCUUGGACAUGCCUUUGGUUCUGAAACUGUCAAAAAUAGUGCAAAAUUCAAGGAGUGUUGUGCUUUUGGUCAUUAGUCCCGGUUUAUUUCCAUAUUCCUUUGGUUGACAAGAGUACUCCUAGGCUACUCAUGUCUGCUCAUGAAAGUCAAUGGAGUGACUUAAUCUUGACAGUCAACGGAGUGGAAUUCAUGAUCUAGAUUAUUAUUUCCGUAGUGGAAUUCAUGAGCUGACUAUUUAAAAUGGCUGCAGAUCAGGUCAGUUAACAUGCAAUAGGGAAAAUGGAGGAUUAUUUAAGUGAAGAUGAGUUCAUUGUCGAGUGUAUACUGUAUUUUGUAGGUGAGUGGCAAGGAAGAUACAUCCCUUAAGCUAUUAUGCGCUUUGCAGUGCUAUAAAAUCAUUUUCUGUAAAUGGACCCCUUUAUGUUUUCAUAGAACUAAUAAUUUUCUUUUUGCUUCCAAUACAUGAGGAAGUUUACGUAGAUUUAACUUCUAUGUUUUGUGUAUCGACAUAUUUACGUAUAUUCCUUUAUUUUUUUGCCAAAAGGGAUGGGGGCAGCAACGUGCGCCAGCGAUGAUUUAGUAAGGCUAUAUAGUCACUAGUGUACCUCUAGAGCGUAUGCAUGCGUGUCAGAUUAUUAUAGGACUUUUCUUUUUACAAUUCCUAUUAAACAACUUGUAAUCUAGGAUUACAAAAUUUUAACCUGGCAACAAAGGAAACAUUUUUCUAACAUUUUGGCAGUACACACAUGUGCGGUUUGGAAACUAAUUCGUUUAAAUUGACAAGUAAAUACCUUGGAAUGUAACAACUAAUUAAGCUUUUAUUUCCAAUUGAGUACAUUUGGCAACUAAACAUGUUUAAACUUUUGUCAACUAAACACUUUGCAAUCUCACGACUAAGCAUGUUUUAAUCUGAAAACUAAGUACUUGUAAUCUCGCAACUAAUUAAUUUCAAAUUUACGACUCCCUCCGCUUCAAAUUACUCGUCGUGGUUUUAGUUCGACGAGUAAUUUGGAACGGAGGGAGUAGUUGUAAUAUGGCAUCUGUGAAUAGUAAUGAUCUCUAGCAUGGUGCUAGCGCAUACUGCUCUUUUUUGUUCCUACUUGAGAUACAUAAAUGUCUACAUACGCUCCUGUUUUUCUACUUUUUCAUGAUGCUUCGCAUGCAUGUGCUGCCAGCCUGGUUUUUAUUUAUUUACUAAUGUAUGCAUGGGGCGGAACUUCACAGGGGCACGCGAAGUAGUUGAAUCCCGCACGAAUGCACAUGAAGCUUUAAGUUUUAAUCGUUAAAACUUCGAUUUUGCAUAUGAAAUUUUUUAUUUUCUCGGUCGCAAGUAUCAAGUUUGAGAGUUAAAACUCUAAGCUACUUUUUUUUGCCGGUUGUAGGUACUAAGGUCAUGAUUUUAUAGAUACAAGAUAGAUAGAUAGUCACGUCCAUUAUAGAUACCUGCCCCGCCGCUGUAUAGUCACGUCCAUUAUAGAUACUCGCGACCAGUUUGGCUAAAGGGGUAGGUAGAUAGAUGAGAAGAUAGCACAAAUGGCCUAUAAAAGGAUAUUUUCGUUCUCUGUUUCAUGCCCAUUAGUUUCUACUCUCACAUACAGUGUACCUUGUGCAUGCCCUACCACCAUUUCUCCCAACCCAUAACAGAACUGAACAAAGCUAGCAGUCACUCAUAGGUAGCCACCAUGGACGCGGCCUCGGUGCUUCUCCCCAUCGUCCUGGCGCUGGUGGCGAUCCCGAUCUUGCUGGCGCUACUCGACUGGCUGCGCCUCCCGCCGGGCCCGUGCCCAUGGCCGGUGGUGGGCAACCUACGCCAGAUCAAGCACGUGCGGUGCCGCUGCUUCCAGGAGUGGGCGGAGUGGUACGGGCCAAUCUUCUCCGUGUGGUUCGGCUCCUCCCUCACCGUCGUCGUCUCCACGCCGGAGCUGGCCAAGGAAGUGCUCAAGGAGCACGACCAGCAGCUCGCCAACCGCACCCGGAACCGCUCCACCCAGCGCUUCAGCCGCAACGGCCAGGACCUCGUCUGGGCCGACUACGGCCCGCACUACAUCAAGGUGCGCAAGCUGUGCAAUCUCGAGCUCUUCACACAGAAGCGGCUCGAGGCGCUGCGCCCCAUCCGGGAGGACGAGGUCACUGCCAUGGUCGCGUCUGUCCACCGCGCCGCCAUCGGCCCCGGUAAGCAAAGCAAGCAACCGAGAUCGCACCUUUUUUAUGUUCACUUAUGCCAUGCAUUAUUGUUGCUGCUGCAAAUAAACUGGUGCGUCGAGUGGUUGACGAAUUGCUUUCUCCUGUUAGUCUCGUGUUGGGAUGGGAGUUUGCCGGAUUAGCAAAAUGUUUAACUGUUGUGUACCUUUCUUAGUGUCAAGCUUGCAUCGAAAAGAAAAAGAACCCCGCAAAAAAAGAAAAAGAAAAAGAAAAAGAGCACUGUUAUGUGACGUUUUGGAUCCGAUUUCAGUACAACAAACAAUACGAGCCAUCCAUCGAAGCGUCGUGCCAAGGCCGGAUGCCAAAGCAUUGUACACACUGAUUCUGACAAGAAAAAGCAUUCAUAGCAACAUUUUAUAAGAUUCAUACCAUAAUUCUAAUUGCAACAUUCAUAGAAUAUGUUAUAAGAUUCAUUCAACAAAAUACAACAAGAUUUGCUAAAUGAAAUCAGUGUACAAUAUAUCGUUCGCUAUAGCGCGUUAUAGAUUCGCUAUAGUAGCAGAUUUUAAAGGAUGCGCUAUUUUGUCGUAGCACACUAUUUUUACCCUUGUUAAUAACACAAUUCUAAUUGCAAAGUUCAUAGCAAAAUAGUAUAAGAUUCAUAGCAAUAUCCUAUUGAGUUGAGUUGUAAAUUAAUUGUUCAAAUGUUUUUAGGUAAUGAAGGAAAGCCAUUAGUUGUGAGGAGUCACCUUGCUAUGGUGUCUUUCAACAAUAUAACACGGCUAGUUUUUGGGAAGCGGUUCAUGAAUGCAAAUGGUGACAUUAACGAAGAAGGGCAGGAGUUCAAGAGUAUUGUCAACAACGGGAUAAAAAUAGGUGCAUCUCUCUCUAUUGCUGAAUAUGUUUGGUACUUGAGAUGGCUGUUUCCACUUAAUGAGGAGCUUUACAAGACCCACAAUGAGAGAAGGGAUCACCUGACCAAGAAGAUCAUAGAAGAGCAUGCGAAGGCCCUUAAGGAAAGUGGUGGCAAGCAUCAUUUCGUGCAUGCACUGUUGACUCUCAGAGAACAGUAUGACCUUAGUGAUGACACAGUUUUCGGACUUCUAUGGGUAUGAUGGAUGCCCCUUUAUAUUUAAUUAAUAUAUCUUCAUACAGUACAUUUUGAUUUUAGUGUCAUAAGAUGAGUUGUCGUGCUAAUUUUUAAUGUGGAAUACAGUAAAAUAUCAAUGCCUUGGCAGUGCUCCCAUUAUUUGCAUAAAUGUUGAAUUCCCUACCUUUUUAUUGCAUUGAUUGAUUUUUGGGAGAAGGGAAAGUUUAGCCAAAUUUACUAGUUAUACGUUUGGUGAUAUGCCACUCUCUCAAGGUUGGUGUAAGAUGCUGGGAUUGGAAAAUGCAUGUUUAUUUUCUCGUUAUAAAUAAGGUAAUGCUUUGCAAAAAUACAAAAGUGAACAUGGCUCCACACGCACCCAUGUGAAUAGUAAAUUCAAAAAUAAUAUAAGAAAAAAAAUUAUUUUUUUGAAAUUUCGGGGUAUGACACUUAGUCAACCAUUCUAAUCGCGUGUGAAGUUUCGUGAUCUAUUGACACCUAUGGUAUUCUUAGUGAAGAAAAUACAAUUAGGACCAUACAAUUCAUCAAACAGUGUUUUUUAAUAUAGCUUCGAUUUUGUCAAUUUUGCCAAGAUUACCAUGGAUGUGAUUUCUUCGUGAAACUUCAUACGCGAGUAUACCGGUUAACUAUGUAUAUUUUAAAAAAAGUUCAGAUUUUUUUUGAUUUUUUCUAAUUUUUUGAAUUUACUAUUCAUAAGGGGUGCGCGUGGAACCAUGUUUACCAAAUCCGCGUCCAAUGCUUUGUUGUUAAAUACUAAUUCAUCACCAACUAUUUCCUCCUUCCCAUGUUAAUUGUUGUGCUCAAACGAAUGGAUUUAGCACUGAUAUACGUCUAGGUACAUUCGGCUGAGCGACAGUUAAUAUGAGAGGGAGGGAAUGGUAUUUAGCCAAAAAAAAAUCAGACUGUGCCUCUUUAUAUUCCUAUCUUGCAAAUGCCAAACUUGUUCAUACUGGUAAACCAGUGUAAUCUUUGUCCCUGGAUGCCUCCUCGUAUAUUCGUAUAUUGCACAUGUCAAACUUGUUCAUACUGCUAAAUCAACAUCAAAGCAGUACACCAUAUCUGCUAUGUACUGAAGUUGCACCCUGAUAAUCCGUUGAGGGGGCCCUCUUGUGAUUUCUUUAGUGCUUACCACCCCAAGAUUUGUUCCUUGUGUUCAGGACAUCAUCACUACUGGCAUGGAUACAACAGUCAUAUCAGUCGAGUGGGCAAUGGCAGAGCUGGUCAGGUAUCCCAGGGUGCAGAAGAAGCUGCAAGAGGAGUUGGACAGUGUCAUCGGCCGUGACCGCGUCAUGUCCGAGACCGACUUCCAAAAACUGCCGUACUUGCUAGCCGUCGUCAAGGUCGGCGCCUACAACAUCCCAAAGGGCGCUGAUGUCACGGUGAAUGUGUGGGCGAUCGCUCGCAAUCCCGAUGUGUGGAGCAACCCGCUGGAGUACAGGCCGGAGCGUUUCCUGGAGGAGAGCAUUGACAUCAAGGGUGGUGACUUCAGGGUGCUCCCCUUCGGCGCGGGCCGGAGGGUGUGUCCUGGUGCGCAGCUGGGAAUCAACCUCGUGGCCUCCAUGAUCGGGCACCUUCUGCACCAUUUCGAGUGGUCUCUGCCAGAAGGCACCAUGCCGGAGGAUGUUGACAUGAUGGAGUCCCCCGGAAUCGUCACGUUCAUGAGCACGCCGCUGCAGGCUGUCGCCAAGCCGCGCCUGGACAAGGAGGAGUUGUACAACAGGGUCCCGGUUGAGAUGUGAGCAAGGUUUUGAAUUUUGAAUGAUUUUUUUUCUCAUGGGGGACCAAGAUUCCAGGUUACCAUGGUAACCAUGAAAUACCAGACAAAUUACAGGUGAAAUUAAAUAAAAUUUGAAUUCAAAAUUAUGUACCACUUAUAUACAUUAUUAUUGAACUUAAUAUAUUCAGAAACUGUCUGGUUAGGUCCACAUGACCGAGGGUCAAACCAGCGGCCUAUAUAUAAGGUUGGACUCGAUAUGGAAGACCCUAGUUACCACUGCUAUCCAUGUAACUACACAUCGACAGUUUAAAUUAUUAUUUUUUGAAAGUUCUAGUAUUUGUUUUACUCGGUAUAUGGGUUUCUCAUGGGGCAGCGAAAUUUGCCGUUAGCAGUUGGUUUGUAAAAAAUAAAAAACCUUGGAUGUGAGCAGCUUGGAAUGUUUUUGUAAGGAGCGUGGAGCGGCAUGGAAUGUUGGAUCCGGCUUGCCUGCUCCCUUCCCAUGCUCCCAUCUGUGCUCCCACUUCAUCCUACGGCUGUUUUUUUCUUUUUUCUUCCUAAUCUAAUCACCCCCCUGAUUUUAAUUUGGUAGGCCUAGGCCUUGUUUUGUUCCAAUCAAAUCAAGCCACGUACGCAGGAGCACGGAUGGGCGCACAUGCGGGGCGCAGGAAAGUCUUGUCCUGGAAUGUUACACCAUUGGGGAUUAGUCCCUCCUUGAAAAAAGGAGCUUGAUUGAGCUCAUGUUAUUGUAAAGAGUUAAAUACACUAUAGAUGCCUUAACUUGUCCGUUGUGCUCAGUUUAGUGCCUAAAUUUGUAAAAUACAUAAAAGUGGUGCUAUAACUUGUCACAUGGUGCAUAUACGGUGCCUCCGCCCGUAUGCCGCUGUAUGUGCUGCCCGCAUGGCGUUCACUCUGUGCAUUUGAAAACCGAACCGAAAAACCAUACCGAAAAUAAACCGAACCGAACCAAAUUUAUGGUUUUUAUGGUUUCUGGUUUCGGUAUGGUAUGAACUUUUCAUAUUGAUUUGAACUUUGGUUUUUAUGGUAUAUACCGAAAAACCGAACGGUUAACCGAAUAAACCAAAGUAAAAAAUAAUUUUAUAUUUCUUGUGAUGAACAACCAUACAAGUUGUCAUUUUUCUUGUACAUGAGUCAAGUUCACUACUAAGCAUGUAAUUUUUUCUUGCAAUAUAGUUAUUUUUCUCUUUUUAAAAUGCUAAGCACGUCCAUAACCAUCAAUAGAUGAAUCAAUGCAUGCAUAUAUACUUAUAUAUAUAGUUAUAUACUAUUUGUGUAAAACAGUAUGUGUUUUGAGUCAUAAAUUUGCAAAUUAUUAUUGUGUCAUUUUCAAAUUCGUGUUAACUUUGGUUAUUAUGGUAUAUACCGAAACCAUACCGAAAUAAUUUGAUAUAUACCGAAACCGAACCGUAUUUUAAUUUCAUACCAUAUUUACCGAAGUAUUAAUACCAUAUAAACCGAAUAAACCGAACGCACAGAGUGACAUGGCGUGACGGCUGGUGGCUGCCCCACACGUCAGUGGGUGUGAGUGUUGCCUGCACUAGGUCAGAUGAGCGCGUAUUUUUUAUUUAGGAAAACCCCUGAGGUUUUAAUUAAAGCUCGCAAAAGCUAUCACUUUGUAUUGCUACUAAAAAGAAAAAAGCAAACCGGGCCACUCCGUGGAAAUCCAACCUGUGACCUCCAGGAUAAAUAGCAAGCAUGCUAACCACCGGGAGAAUUAGUACUUCGUGUACAACUUAUAGCUCGAAACUUCAAUAGAUCAAUUCUAUCUAUUGCUAUGCAAUUUCCAUUUACAUUAUUUACUGUUUUUAAGUUAACAUUAGUUUUUAUGAUGUGUAAAUUUUUCCUAUAUAAAAAUACAAUAAUUUUCAAUAUGUGAUUUGUCUAUUUAAAUAUUUAUUCUAUUUUUAUUAUUGUGUAGUUCGAAGAGGUAAACACGAACUUUUUAUAAAAAAAUAUGUGUAUUUAAUCAGUUCAAUGUGUACUAUAAAAUAUUGUGUACAUCUUUUUAAAAUGUGUUCAAUGUGUACUAAAUCUCAAUGUGUAAAAACAAUAAAUACUAUAAAUAUGUUAAAACAUGUCAAACAUGUUUGUAAAAAUGUAAGAAUAAAUUUACACAAUAAAUUUUUUAAUACAUGUUGAAUAUUGUUUUGAGAUAGAUUUUUUCUAUUUUCUGAAUGCAUGACGAACAUUUUGCAAAAACACAUCUACAAUUUCUUAAUACACACGAGAAUUUUUUAAAAAUACGUUUGAUAGUUUUUUUCUAAAUGCACUAACACUUUCUUUAAGUUUAUGGCAGCUGUAAUAUUUUCUUACAUUUCCUUUUUCAAACCGGAAAAGCAAUAUAAAAAAAUGAACAUCAAAUUGGAAAAUAAAUAAAAAGAAACCUUUCUGCGGGCCCAUAAGAGCGCCAUAUACAUUACAAUAAAAUUAAGACAAAUGUUUGAAGAGGUAAAGAGCAACGUGACAAAUAGACGUCUAGCUCAUACAUAGGAAUUUAUUUCGUCCGGUAUCCUUAUUCAGAGACGUGAUACACACACACACACACACACACACACACACACACACACACAUAGUGAUGCUAUUUAUCACUCAGGGUGCAGAAUAAGUUAUUCUUCACCCGAGGUAAUCUUACGAUCACUUCAUAGUUAAAUUAAAUUUGGAAUUCAAAUAGUUACAUUCUUAUUGAUUCACUAUGUAAAAUUUGGUAUAAGAAAAUAAAAAUAUAGGUCAUAAGACAAGAAAAUUUGGAGUUUAUUUAUAUUUACACUAUGUUUUUACGUUUGUAAUUAUACAUAACAUAAAAUAUUUUUUACGGCGAUUAUAUAUUUUCUUACGGUCUCUUUUUAUGUUAGAAAUAAGACAAAACUUACGGAACGUAAAAUUACAGUGCAUUGGUGGUAAAAUAGAUGGGGGUGAAGAAUAACUAUUCCUCACCCGGCGUGACGAAUAGUCAAUCCCUAUAUAUAUAUAUAUAUAUAUAUAUAUAUAUAUAUAUAUAUAUACUCAUAAAUAAGACAAAUACAUGUAGAGAUACUCAGGUGUGGUUACGUUUCUCCGGGGCGCCCUCGAAGCCGAUGCAGGAUGCUCGUGUCGUUGCUAGCUUGGGAAUUUUGGUCGGAAAACCGGAGAGACUAGAUAUGGCCUUCACCCGAGCUCACGGAGUGGCCCGAUUGCUGGUGAGUAUUCUGGACAUUGAGUUUGUGCCUGAUGUGGUUAAGUGGAUGUAUAAGGGCCAGAUUUUUAACCUUGACAUUGAGUUUGAGGAUAACGAUCUUUUUGCUGAGGCCAUUAAUGGGACUGAUGUGGAUAUACACGAGGGAGAUGACAGUUCAGGUGAUAAGGAGGCGCCAGUGUAUGAGGCUGGACGAGAGGUGGCCAACGGUUCCGCGCCCGUUCCUUAGAAGUCUGGGGAUGGGGCGGCACCCUCACCUUCUGUUCCUAUAAGUUCCCUGAGAUUUGGGUCGUUUGAGCCAGCUUCUGCUCCUCCCAGACUCUAGAGUGAGCGGGUGGAGUCCGAUGAUGUGUUGGAGCGUUCGCUGCCGGCACUGGAUUUUGAUGCUGCUGUGAGUCCCGUGCUCGAUGCUCCUGUGACGGCCUUGGUCGAGGGAGGGGGAAGGAGUUCGGGCAGGAGGCCCCUCUUUCCCCCUCUCUGUUUACUGACGCACCUCAGGCGACGGUGCCGAUGCUGUUGGCCACGCCUAGGGGAGGGGGCUCGAGCCACGUAGCUUCGGCUCCUUCCUCUCCUCUGGCGGCGACAGAGCCGCCGAGGACGGUGGUGCCUUUGGGAGGGGGCCCGGGACAGGUGGCCUCGGCUCCCUCUUCUCCACCUGCGGCGAUGAGGCUGGGGGGAGUCCGGGGCAGGUGGCCUCGACUCCCUCCUCUCCUCUGGCGACUAGGGUGGCCGCGCCUCCGGUGGCGCCCACCACGCCCACCAGCCAGAGGUCCGGAAGGGCAGGGGAGCACGGUAGGAGGCCCUUUUGCUUCCCGCUUCCGGCGCACCGGUGACCCCAGGCCUCGAUUUGAGGGCGAUGACGACCGCUUCCCGGGAGGAGGUCAUUGCUUUUGGAGGGAUUCCGGAUCCGGUUUCCGAGGGCCGACGGAUGAGCUGUCAUCUCCAGGAUCUUCCGGAGGUUGAUGACAUGCAGCAGCGGUGCGCCAUGAGGGUGGCCAAGCUUCGUGGCAUUGAGGCCACUACUGGUAUGUCGGUCAACACCUCUAAUUCUAUUUUGCAUUUUUCUAAUGAUGAGAUUAUUAAUAAUGCAAAUCAUUUAGGAGUUUCACUAGGGAGUAAUGAUAGUGAAAUCUCUAACUCUGAUAAUGAUAUGCUGGAUUUGGAAGCGGAACGCGCUAUUGAAAUGAUUCGUAACUUAGCUGCAGUUAGACCUAUAAAUGAUUAUGAGAUAGAUGCUUUGGGGCUCAGGGUACUCGAUAAUCUCUGUGUGGAUCUUGCACCAUCCCAUCCUGAGUCAGAGGAAGAGAAUGAUACUUAUGCUGACGCAGUAGUUAGGUCCAUGGAGCCCGGUUGUGAGGACCGGGUGGAGGAUCAAAACAAGCCUAAACGUAAGUGGAAGCGAAAGAUCUAUCCUGCGUCGACGGUGCGUAGGAGUGCUAGGAUCCGUACUACUAAAAAAAUUCAUGAUGAAAUAUGAAAGGAAUCUUUUGGAAUAGCAAAGGUCUGAAAGACUUGGCUAAACGAAGGUUUCUUGCAGAUGCGUCUAUCGAGCAUAGGUUGGAUUUUAUUGCUCUCUCGGAAACAGGUAAAGAUAAUUUCGCACCCCAGUUUCUUAGUACGUUAUUGGGUGGUGUCGAUUUUGGUUGGCAUUGCUUGCCUCCGAGAGGAAGAUCGGGUGGGAUCUUACUUGGAGUUAGAUGCGAUUCGCUUGAAGUUCGAAGUGUCGUGGAUGAGCUGUCGUCUCCAGGAUCUUCCGGAGGUUGAUGACAUGCAGCAGCGGUGCGCCAUGAGGGCGGCCAAGCUUCGUGGCAUUGAGGCCACUACUGGUAUGUCGGUCAACACCUCUAAUUCUAUUUUGCAUUUUUCUAAUGAUGAGAUUAUUAAUAAUGCAAAUCAUUUAGGAGUUUCACUAGGGAGUAAUGAUAGUGAAAUCUAACUCUGUUAAUGAUAUGCUGGAUUUGGAAGCGGAACGCGCUAUUGAAAUGAUUCGUAACUUAGCUGCAGUUAGACCUAUGAAUGAUUCUGAGAUAGAUGCUUUGGGGCUCAGGGUACUCGAUAAUCUCUGUGCGGAUCUUGCACCAUCCCAUCCUGAGUCAGAGGAAGAGAAUGAUACUUAUGCUGACGCAGUAGUUAGGUCCAUGGAGCCCGGUUGUGAGGACCGGGUGGAGGAUCAAAACAAGCCUAAACGUAAGUGGAAGCGGAAGAUCUAUCCUGCGUCGGCGGUGCGUAGGAGUGCUAGGAUCCGUACUACUAAAAAAUUUCAUGAUGAAAUAUGAAAGGAAUCUUUUGGAAUAGCAGAGGUCUGAAAGACUUGGCUAAACGAAGGUUUCUUGCAGAUGCGUCUAUCGAGCAUAGGUUGGAUUUUAUUGCUCUCUCGGAAACAGGUAGAGAUAAUUUCGCACCCCAGUUUCUUAGUACCUUAUUGGGUGGUGUCGAUUUUGAUUGGCAUUGCUUGCCUCCGAGAGGAAGAUCGGGUGGGAUCUUACUUGGAGUUAGAUGCGAUUCGCUCGAAGUCCGAAGUGUCGUGAUGGGAGACUUUGCAGUUAAGUUCUGGGUUAGAUCGAAGGAUGAUGGGUUUAAUUGGGCUCUAGUGGCGGUUUAUGGUGUUGCACAGCCCGAACUUAAACCAGAGUUUUUGGCAGACCUUGUUCGCAUUUGCGGUUCCGAGCAGCUUCCAAUCCUGGUUGGGGUGACUUUAACAUAAUUAGAAGAAGAGAGGAAAAGAACAAUGAUAAUUUCGACGGUAGGUGGUCAUUCAUGUUUAAUACCAUUAUUGAAAGCUUGGAUCUGCGAGAGAUAGAGCUUUCGGGUAGAAAGUUUACCUGGCUAAUAAUUUGCCAAAUCCGACGUUUGAGAAGUUGGAUCGAGUCCUUGCGAGCGUCGAAUGGGAACAGAAAUUUCCUUUGGUUACGGUCCAGGCGCUUUCACGCGGUAUUUCCGACCACACGCCUCUGUUCGUGGACUCUGGCGAGGCCACUCGCAUGGGAAACAAAAAUUCCUUUUUGUUUGAAAUGGCUUGGCUUGAACGAGAGGGCUUCUUGGAUCUGGUAGCCAGGGAAUGGGCUAAGGAUACAGGAGGAAGGACGGCGAUUGAGCGCUGGCAGAAUAAGAUAAGGCACUUGAGAAGUUUCUUGCGUGGGUGGGCUAAGCAUCUUAGUGGGAUAUAUAAGGCUGAAAAGGAGAGGCUCCUUACACUUAUUCAGUCCCUGGAUCUCAGAGCCGAGUCCACAAUUCUUCAAGCCACAGAGCUUCAUGCAAAUCUUGAGGCGGAGAUGAGGUUGAAAGAGCUUCUCCGUGAGGAGGAAUUGAAAUAGGCGCUGCGGGCUAAGGUUCACAAAGUCGUCCAGGGGGACGCAAACACUCAAUUCUUUCACAUGAUCGCUAAUGGCAAGCAUAGAAAGAAGAGAAUCUUUCAGCUUGAACAGGAUGAAGGGACGAUUUUAGGACAGGAGAACUUAAAGCUUUACAUUACUGAAUAAUACAAGCAGUUAUUUGGGCCUCCGGAGGACAAUAGUGUAUCCCUGGGAUGAGUCUCGGAUUGAGGAUGUUCCUCAACUUGCUGCUGAUGAGAAUGAGAUUUUAACCGUCCCAUUUUCGGAGAAAGAGGUGUUUGAAGCUAUUUCUCAAAUGAAAAAUAAUAAGGCUCCUGGGCCGGAUGGCUUUUCGGUGGAGUUUUAUAAAAAGUGCUGGCAUACUAUUAAGGGGGAUUUGUUACCGAUGUUCCAUGAUUUAUUCUCUGGGCAGCUUCAGCUAUUUCACCUGAAUUUUCGAACGAUAACCCUGCUUCCUAAGAAAACAGAGGCUGUGAGGAUUGAGCAGUUCAGGCCAAUCUGUCUUCUUAAUGUUAGUUUCAAAAUUUUCACCAAGGUUGGGACGAAUAGGCUCACGCAGAUUGCGCACUCUGUGGUGCAGCACUCCCAAAUUGCUUUCAUGCCGGACAGAAACAUCCUUGAAGAGGUUGUCGUCCUUCAUGAAACGCUCCAGGAAAUCCAUACGAAAAAACUUGAUGGAGUGGUUUUCAAGGUGGAUUUCGAGAAGGCGUACGAUAAAGUCAAGUGGUCGUUACUUCAACAGGCCUUACGCAUGAAAGGUUUCGAUGAAGCCUGGCGACGCCAGGUAGAAUCUUUCACACAAAAAGGGAGUGUUGGAAUUAAAGUGAAUGACGACAUAGGUCAUUAUUUCCAGACACAUAAGGGCCUGCGACAAGGUGACCCAAUGUCUCCUAUUUUGUUCAACAUUGUAGUUGAUAUGUUGGAAAUUUUAAUAGGAAGGGCUAAGGAGGCUAGCCAGGUGGGUGGUCUGGUGCCUCACCUAGUGGAUGGAGGUGUUUCUAUCCUACAGUACGCUGAUGAUACGAUCAUCUUUAUGGAGCAUGACUUGGCGAAAGCGAGAAAUAUGAAGCUGGUGUUAUGCUUAUUUGAAUAAUUGACCGGGUUAAAGAUUAACUUUCAUAAAAGUGAAUUGUUCUGUUUUGGAAGAGCCAAAGACGAACAAGAGGCUUAUAUGCAAUUGUUUGGAUGCGAAUUGGGGACUUUACCAUUUACGUAUUUAGGUAUACCAAUUCACCAUCGUAAGCUGACAAACAGAGAAUGGAAGUGUAUCGAGCAUCGAUUUGAGAAGAAACUGAGUUGCUGGAAGGGCAAGCUCAUGUCAUAUGGAGGCCGAUUAAUUCUUAUUAAUUCGGUUCUCACGAGUAUGCCUAUGUUUCUCUUAUCUUUUUUCGAGGUUCUAGUUGGAGUGAGGAAAAGGCUGGACUUCUAUCGAUCCCGUUUCUUCUGGCAGAGUGAUGAGCUAAAAAGAAAGUACAAACUUGCCAAACGGGAUAUCAUUUGUCGACCAAAAGACCAAGGGGGUCUUGGGAUUGAAAACCUUGAAGUCAAGAACAGAUGUCUUCUCAGUAAGUGGCUGUAUAAGUUAUCUGUAUCUCCAAUCCAAAACAUUGUCCCAGGUGACAGCGAGGCCGCUGCAUUCGCCUUUUUGGAAAGGGCUCAUGAGAGUUAAAGCAGCCUUUUUCAAUAGGACAAAGUUUAUUGUCGGAAAUGGUGCUAGCACGCGAUUCUAGGAGGAUACUUGGCUAGGAGAGACACCCCUUGCGCUUCAAUACCCGUCUCUUUAUAGUAUUGUUCAACGACGCGAGGCUUACGUUGCAACAGUACUCCAGUCCGUCCCCCUUAAUAUUCAAUUCAGAAGGACGAUAGUUGGCAAUCGUUGGGAAGCGUGGCUUCAUUUAGUGAGUAGACUGAUGGAGGUUCAGCUGUCUCAACAACCCGAUAAGUUGCGCUGGAACCUUACUAGGACUGGAGAGUUUACAGUUAAAUCAAUGUAUCUUGAUGUUAUCAAUUCUAGCUCCAUUCCUAGUUCCAAAUAUGUCUGGAAAGUCAAGGUUCCGUUGAAAAUCAAAGUGUUUAUGUGGUUUGUACAUAAACAAGUCAUCUUAACUAAAGACAAUCUGGCAAAGCAUAACUGGACAGGACAUACUAGGUGUAGCUUCUGUGAUCGGGAUGAAACUAUCAAACACCUCUUUCUGGAUUGCUCGUUGGCUAAGGUUCUAUGGCGAACGGUGCACAUAGCUUUUAAUAUUACUCCUUCGAGCUCUGUCAGCUCGUUAUUUGGAACGUGGCUUAACGGGAUAGAGUUCGAAACGGCCUGCCACAUUUGCGUAGGAGUAUGUGCUUUAUUGUGGGCUGUGUGGAAUUGCAGAAAUGAUUUCAUCUUUAACGGAACAUCAAAUAUUCAUUUUUUGCAGGUUAUCUUCCGGGCCACCGCUUUGAUCCGUAUGUGGUCGCUACUCACUCCGACGGAGGCCAAGGAGCGUUUGGUUACUAGAUCUAUCCGGUGGGAGAUGGUAGCACGGGAUAUAUUCAACCGGUUUGGAUGGCGGUCAUGUAAUAGGAUAGGCAAUUAGUUUUCCUAUCUUUUUUGUGCCAGCCGGUUGUGGCUUUUGUGGCCGUUUUUAUUGGCUCUUUGUGAGCUUUCAUUUACUUUUUCGAGACUGCAAGACCUUGUUGAACUUUUUUGAUUUAUAAAGGUGGCCGUAUGCAUCAUUCUGAUGCAGAGGCCGGGGAGCCCCCCCCUUUCGAAAAAAAAUAAUGUAGAGAUGACUCAACUUUUUCUUUUUAUUUUUUUAUUAUUUUUGCCGGUGUCUUUUUUUUGCGAGAAAACUUCCAAUCUAUUCAUCUUCAAUCGUGGUAAUACAACGAACACCAGAAAUAACAAAAAAUACAUCUAGAUCCAUAGAUCACCUAGCGACGACUAUAAGCACUGAAGCGAGCCGAAGGCGCGCCACCGUCAUCGCUCCUCCCUCGUUGGAGCCGGGCAAAACUUGUUGUAGUAUACAAUCGGAAAGUCGUCAUGCUAAGGCCCCAUAGGACCAGCGCAACAGAACAGUAACCGCCGCCGAUGAAGAGUAGCGUAAAUCGAAAGGAUCUAACCUGAAGAAACAGAAACGUAGAGGAACUAUGACCAGAUCCAAGCAAAUCUAUAAAUAAGAAUUUAUCUCUAUAUUCCACAAAGAAGUCAUUGGCCUAGUGGCUACCAUAAGUGUACACUUGUGUGCUAGGUAUUGGGUUCGAAUCCCCCAUGCGCACCCUUUUCUUUCUUCCUUAUUACUUUAGCAUAUUUAAAUAUAGGGAUUUUUUUGAGAAAUUUAGUUGAAGUACAUGGAGUUUUCUGUAAAACAAGUUUCUCCUCUCAUAGUCAUUGACAUGUGGGCCAAGGCCACGUUGGCACACCAUGUUGGCAAUGCAUACGCUCGGAUACAACCAGAGGGACUGUAUUUGAACGCUCGGACAAGUUACCGCACCCGUUUUGUGUAUUUUACAAGUUUAGGCACCAAAGUGACCGCGUCGAACAAGUUGAGGCACCCGCAGUGUAUUUAACUCUAUUGUAAACUGGGUGUUAACUUUCCAUUGAAAUCGUAAAGUUACAGUCUGAGAUUAUUCAAACCUCUUGAUGGAUCUCGGCAAAGACGCGCCACGUGGCAACCGCCAUCUCCGUCUCGUCUCCAUGAAGACACUUUAUUUUGCGGAGAUGCCCCCCUUGGCUCUUUGAAAACUGUUUGCCCAGUGCCCGAUGGAUGGUUCCCCACGAAAUUGAGUUUGCUUGAGAGGUGUACGCCGAGUACUCUUUGCCGAGAACAAUUCUCGGCAAAGCCUUUGCCAAGUGUUUCUGGCACUCGGCGUAGAGUGAAUUUUCAGUAGUGUUUGUUCUACUUUGAUUAUGUACUUUGGUGUGUAUUCAUAUAGAAUUUUGACUUUUACUAAUAAAAAAAUUAGACAAUGUAUUUCUCCACCUAUUACCUAAUGUUAUCCAUGUAAUGAUGGUUGAAUAUCGUUUUCUUGAGUGACACUUGGCACUGUGUUCACAUUUUAGGUCCUCUUAGGGCAUCUCCAACGUUGUAUGUCAAACUGGUCGUAACUAUGCGGUCCAGACAGUUUGAACCCUCCAACUUUGUCCUCCAAAUGUCUGCGGACUGUCCAAAUGUCUAAAUUCUCACAAAAUGGAAGCAAACAGGUAGGAGGUUUGCAGGCAUCAGGACCUAUGUCACGUACGCUACUUACUGCCCGGACCCACAUAGCCAGUGACAGAUCGAAUAACUUCAGCAGUGGGCAGAUUCGACUGGGUCCAUAUUGCGUCUUUGACCGGUACUUCUGUGUUAAAGACGACAAGGGCAAGGGCACAACAACCAGCACUGAAGCCCAAACCGCCCAAUAACGUGUCAGCCUCUUAGGAAUCCCCUAUCGAGUUGCCUCAGGAAAAAAAAUGAAUCCCCUACCAAGUCCAUCGCCGUUCUCCUCUAAAUCCCCGUUGCCGAGCUGCCGCAGCCCGCUCCGUGCCACCGCACCAUGCUGUGCUCCUUCUUCUAACACUGCACCGCCUCUGCGUGACACCCCACUUCGCGUCGGCGCCCAGUCCGCGGCACGUCGGUGCUGCGCAGCCGCCCACCCAGUUCAGCUGUGCAUUGCAUCUCCCGCUGCUGCGCGGCCUCUUGCAAGAAGCGGCCAGAGGAGCAAGCAUUGCAGCUAGAAGCGGCCGGUGCAACAUUUGUUCUGACACCAAUGGUGAUAUCAGCGCAUCAACCAUCAAAUUGCACUUGCGCUUUAGUUGUGCAUAUAUUUAAUGUAUUCCUGGUGCUUUUCGUACUGCCAUACGACCCUUCCCAGCGCUCCACGGUGGACAGGUGCUAAGCACGCCACAUAAGCAAAAAAAAUGACAUGGCACAAAAAUUAAGGAGAGAGAGCACUUUGGUGACCCCAGAAAGAACCAAUGCCAAGCGCGUGAACCUAGGCAAACCACUUAAAUGAAACAACUUGACUAAUGGAUGAAAGACUUUAGGUGCUAACUCAUCAAAUAAAAUGUGCUUAGCAACUACAAGUUAAGCACCUAUGCAUUGGGGAGUUGAGUUGCUAAGGUAAUUAAUGCACUUAGCACCUCAUCUAAGCACCUUUGCAUUGGAGGAGGUCUACUCUACAUCCUGCAGAGAUGAACAAUAUUCAUAUUCAGGGCCUUGACAAUGAGGUUAUUGCUUUAAAUUCAGUGCUGGGCUCAAUGCUUUGGCAGGAAUUAAAAUAACAAUUUCAUAUUCUACACUUCAUUUCUACAACUACAUCUUAAAUGCUACAACUCUUUUUUGGAAAAGUAUAUGCACAAGUACUCACUUGCACAAAGAUUUACAUUCAUAUUGUUUUGCUCAUAUUUGUAGGUGUCUCUUGUUAUUCAUGGGUUGUGUUGUGGCAUCUAGUAGUUUUGAAGACAGUUUUUUUUAUGUUUUUCAUGUAUUUAGUACUGAAUUUCAUGAGUUUUGCCUGAGUAGACUUGCUCAAUUGCAUUUGUAAAGAAAAAAAUAGACCUUAAAACGUCCCAAAAUAAGUGACUCAAUUUUGCACUAACUUCUAAAGUUAGUGCAAAAUUGAGUCACUUAUUUUGGGACGGAUGAAGUAUAAAUGUGUAACUCACAAAUGACGGUCAUAUAUACAUGCAAGCAAAACACUCAGUGGGAAGAAACAGAAAAGAGGGAUCGUAUCGUCAUGAACAACCAUACAUAAAUUUCGUCACCCGUAAAUGACGAUCAUAUUUACAUGCAAGCAAACACGCAAUACCUGUACACACUCAUACCUCGUCCGGACCAAGAACGACGAAGCUGGCCGAAAGAGCAGACCUCUCAAUCGAACCUAUUAUUCUCGUAGUGCAAACACGUAGCACGAAGACGACGCCGGUCGACACCUCCGUUCAUGAUAUACCAUAACUAGCUACGAAAGCUGGGCAUGCAUGCAUGCACAUACUACGUAGCCACGCAACCGACCGACCGAAGAAUUACGGCGGACCCGUAGUAUUGUCUGGCCCAUCGCCCAGGUGACCAUGACCGGGGCCGGGGCUAUGGCCGGGAGUCGUCUCCUUGUCCAUGGGCUCGACGGCAGGAAAGCUGCCGCCGUCGCUUCCCCCGGCGACCCUCCCCGGAGUCGUGGUUGCCGCUGCAACCCUCGCGCAGUGAACUAACCCCGGCAUGGAGAUGGAGUGUGCGACCAGGAGGAGGAGGGCAAUGGCCAUGGCGGCAAAGGUCGAAGCAGACGACGAUUUGUUGGCCAUAUUGAACUUGCUAAGACUAGUCGCUUCUAGGUUCUUCUUGGUCUGUGAGUGAGUCAAGUGUUGAGAGGGUGGAGGCGUUCAUUCCGCGCCUUAUAUAGCCGUCUGGUGAAGUGGUGAUUACGGAAGCAUAUUAGUUUUUGUUAGUGACGAUGCAAAAGUGUUAGCACAUGCAUGCAAGCACAGCGAUGCUUCUUUUCAUGAGACGAUAAACAUAUACAACUCAAUCAGAUGCUCCACCUUAUUUAACAAAGUGAUGGUCCAGUAUUCUUGGCGCCAGUAUUAGGAACCACAAACGCGAAACGGCAAAAAAGAUGGGCCUAUCUGAUAAAUCGUGGAGACAGCACACUAUACUGUCACAAAGAAUGCCGCAUAGAUGUGGUAAUAUUCCGUCCAAGGUUUCCCUCAGAUCGAUCGGUGGUGUCACUUCUACCUAACUAGGGGUGGAUUAACGAGCUGCUCGGCUCGUUAAGCUCAAGCUCAUUACGCUAGUGCUCGUUAAGACUUGUCUUGUUAAGCUCGUUAACGAGCAAAAAGUCAUGCUCGGCUCGUUCAUUAAAAGCUUGUUAAGAACGCGAGCGCUUGUUAACAGACUACAAUGUGUUAUGGUCUAUGGGACAAGAGUGUGCUUGUAAAUUUUAUGAAGGAAUAUGGUGACUAUAAGAGGAGGUGUGCUAGUUUGUUGCCUGCUAUGGGUUGGAUUGAGUUGAUUAUAUUGAAUAGAUGGGUUGACGUGCCACAAAAAUGUGUUUACGGAAAUAGAAUUAUCUAUUGUGUUGCACUAAUGAGCUUAACGAGCUACUCAUGAAACUAGUUAGCUCGUUCGUUAAGCUUGUUAAGUUUAACGAGCUAAAAUCAAUGCUUGGCUCUGUUCAUUAAGAAGCAAGUUAUGAGCUUAACGAGCCGAACUACCGAGUGCUCAUUAAUCUCGCGAGCUUUGAGCUUUUCGUCCAGCCUUAUACCUAACCCUCUCUUUUGAAUCCAGUACUCCCACUUCACUGAUGUUUUUACUCCUCUAACCGGUUAUAGGGCAUCGGUUAGAAAUGCCCUAAGUCGCUACUAAAGGUUCUUGAUCAGUGUUGACGCGGCAGAGGCGUCCGUUCGUCGCCUUAUAUAGCCACCUGGUGAAGUGGUGAUUACGUUUUGGUGUUGGUGACGCAAAAGUGUUGGCACAUGCAUGCAACGACACGAUGCUUCUUUUCAUGAGACGAUAAAUAUAUAAAACUCAAUCAGAUGUUCCAUGUUAUUUAACAAAGUGAUGGUCCUAUAUUCAUGGAAGCAGUAUUAGAAACCACAAGAGUGAAACGGAAAAAGAUGCCUAUGUUGUGGAGAUAGCACAAUAUACUGUCACAAAGAAUGCCGCAUAGAUGUGGUAGUAUUCUGUCCAAGGUUUCCCUCAGAUCGAUCGGUGUUGUCACGUGUACCUAACCCUCUCUUUCGAACCUUGUACUCCCACUUGGACAUUCUUUAUCAUCGUAAUAAGAUUUCAUGGUUGCUUUUGGAAUGUAAAGCCAAUAAGCCAUGCUAGCUGAAUCGUCAAGGAACUCCCAGAUGUCACACUCUCGUCUGCCCAUGAAUCACUUGACCAUUAAUUCUCGAUCGAAUCUUACUUCAAGAACAACAACUCUAUUUUGUUUUUUUAUUUUCUCUACUUUAUUUACGUGGCAAAUGGACCCCAAGGUUUUACAUAAGUUCUCAUCAUAAUUUCAAGUGAUCCACACCAUUUUAUCAUUUUGUCCCUACAACAUCACGAAGCCAUACUACAUUACUUAAUUAUACCUAAAAUGUACUAGCUAGGGUGACAAGGAUAUGGUAUUACCAACUACUCCACCAACUAUUCAUGGUGUAGACGCACCAAGAUCCCCCUAAAAGGAAAUAAGAUCAUAUUCCAAAGAGAUAAGAUCAAGAUCACUAAAAAGGGGAUAGCGAUGGGUGGGGCCCCUUUGACCCACGACCCUAGGGGCUUGGAGGGCAGGCCACCAGCCCCCCUGCCUAUAUAAAGGUGGGAGGCAUAGGGGGCAUCAGCCCUUCCACCCCUUGGCGCCUCUCCCUCCCGUUACUCCUCCUCUGUGUAGCGCUUGGCGAAGCCCUGCUGGUGUUCUGCUGCCACCACCACCACCACGCCGUCGUGCUGGCCUAGAUCUCAACUACCUCUCCACCCUCUCUUGCUGGAUCAAGAAGGAGCAGACGUCACCGAGCCGUACAUGUGCACAUCUCGGAGGUGUCGUCCGUUCGGCGUUGGAUCGGAUUGGAUCUCGAAGGGAGUACGACUACGCCAACCACGAUCUCUAGAUCGUUAAUGCUUUCGUUCAACAAGGGUAUGUAGACACCUCUCCCUCUCGUUGCUAGCUUCUACAUAGAUUAGAUCUUGAGUGUUUCGUAGGAAAAAAAUUGUUUUGCAUGCAACGUUCCCCAUCACCCCGGGCCUCACAGGUUUUUUCUCCGGUGAUCCUUCACCACCGCCGUGCUGCCUCCCCCGCCCCCACACUAAGAUAGAUGAUGGGGUAGCCUACUCAGCGAGCUUCUUCCUCCCCUCCGGCGAGGUUUCUUCCUACCCUCUGGCAGUUUCUUCCUUCAACCAAAAUCGACUGACCCAAAUUCAAAAUUCAGGCAAUUGACAUGUAGCUAUUGUGUUUAUCAUUUUGUCCCUACAACAUCACUAAGCCAUACUAAAUUACUUAAUUUGUACCUAAAAUGUUCUAGCUAGGGUGACAAGGAUAUGGUAUUACCAACUACUCCACCAACUAUUCAUGGUUGCCUUAGACUAUAGAUCCGUGCCUCCGAAAUCGUUAAGGGCUCCUAAUUAAACACUACCGCAUGCCAAUGUCAAUUGUAGUUUGAACAAGUGAUAUAAGACACUAAGUUAGAUAAAGGUGACACUUCAUUAUUUUGCAGAACAUCAAGCACAUACGUACACUGCCACCAGCCCAUCACCCGCACAGUGGCAAUUGAAGACAUAACUCACUGAGCUUCAAGAUUAGUGAUGUCAACUAUCAAUGGGAGCAUCCAGUACCACUGCAAGUACCACAUGGUUUGGAACGCACGCGGGGUUCAUCUUCAUCACCACACAAUACUUAAACUCCAGUAUACAUAUUCAAAAGACACAUAGAGUUCAUCUUCAUCAUCACAUAGUUAUCCGUCCAAUAAGGAUUAGGCGCCCAAGAAGCUAGCAAAAUUAGAUUGCAGUCGCUCGAUAUGUGUUAAGGUCGCUCUUUUCUAUCUAGUUCAUCCACCGAGUCACUAUAGUUGCUUGUCAGAACGGACACAUAGUUCAUCUUUGGGUGCUAACUCCCUGUUUCAAGUUUCAACAACUGUCACGUAAGUAAAUGGCAGGUCACCCCCGAUCUCAGCCAAGGAUGUGUGGGUUGGGGUCAUCUUUCUCUUGGGGCCUGACCCUUGGGGCCCCCUCUUCUCAUCAGUCAAAGGUACAAAAUAUAAAAUUCAUAAAAAGUAGAAGUCAUUUGCUUUAAUCCAAAGCAUAAAGAAAUAUAUGUGUAAUCUUUCGAACAAGAAGUUUACUAUAUCUAAAAAAUAAAGCGCUUCUCUGAACCCGCCUUCCUUAGUAGUAGACAUAUUUGUGUUGUCGCUCUGACAUGUAGCAUAGCCGCUAACAACAUCUCUUGUGCAUGGUACCGUGACUACCCACAAAAAUUAAACGAUUGCCACAAACGUCACACCAUCUACAACGCCGCAAGGUUUGUGAUUGAGGAAAAAUCGUCGGUGCUGGUUUUUGCCUUUAGCCCUGGUGCAGUUAUUUUACCUCUCGAGUUCUGGAUCGAGCUCCCCCCCUUGACGCUUGUCCAUGUCAAAUCUUUGCAAGAUCUGAACGUCUCAGAUUAGUAACCGUGCGUGAGGCAUGCACCAUGCAUCUGCGGAGGCGCCCAAGAAGCUAGACAGAUGAGGAGUUUGGUACAGAAGCUUGGUGGGGAAGAAAUUAAAGGAGGGUAGCACAGAAGCGUGGACGCAAAACUGUGCAGACUUCAUCAUCACUGGGAAAGUGCCAAGUGGUAAGUGCUGGGCGCUGCAGGGGCUUUGAAAGUUCGAGGAAGGGCGGGAAGCACGCCACCACGUUGGGCUGGGUAUGCUGUGUUUGUGCCAUGCCCUUUUUCUUGGGCCCGAGGUUGGGUGUGUACGUAGCAGGCUGGGCUUCUAUCCACAGCAAACAAACGAAAAAGCAUGGAUGAAGACACUUCGCUUCGCUAUAUAAAAAAAAAUGGGCAUGAAGACACACCACAACUUAUGCAGCACCGUUCUUAGAAGAGAAAAAACGUGCUACAGUAUCAGCUAGAAUGCCAAAUGUUUGUUGCCUGUACAUGCUUGGCAUCCUAUGCAUGUACUAGUACAUCAGCUAGCGUACCCUGCACCAGGAGCCAUCGCUACGACAACGGAAUAGCUAGCAAUCAGCUUGUCCAACACGAUCAGUCGUGUGCAAUUGCUUAAAAUUGCUCGCUUGCUACUGAUCAGACGCCUAGAAUUUUUCCAGGCCUUGAUCACAUUCCGCGCAGCUCUGCAGGUUGACUGGAUCGGGGUGGGAGGAUUAGCGUGGGUGUUUGUGCGGCAGGAGGAAGAAUGUGCGGCGUCGGAGGGGAUUUCUGCGGGAGGAGGAAGAAGGUGUGGCGCAGUCGGACUCUGAUUGGAGGUGAAGAAAAAUGACCGAAAGCAAAAGAAAUAAAAUAACGCCAAUCACCUGUGAAAUAGUGAGUCCCUUAAAAUUGAAAUUGAAGCGCAUGCAUCUGCAGCAAGAAACUUAAACGCGGUUUAUUUUGCCGGCAACCGCCAUUUUGGAGAACUCACGGGAGAAUAUCGACUUUUGCUUUUUUAAUAAGAUGGCCGCAUGCAUCUUUCUGAUGCAGAGGCCGGGGGAUAACCUCCUUUUCGAAAAAAACCGGGAGAAUAUCGACUCCGCCCGGUAACAUGACCACGACCCUCCGAUCCGAUGUGAAUAGUUUUUCCAGCCAGAUCGCUUUCCGGGCGAACUAGAAAAUCAAGUGAGGCAAGAUGUGAGAAGUGAGCCGCGAAUAUUGACUCCGCCGGGUAACAUGCAUGACGACGAGCUAAGGCUAGGAAAUUCAUUCUGUGAAACCGACGUGUUUGUCAUGUGGUACUAAAUAGUAAAUACAAACCAAUACAGAAUUGUAGGCCUACGUUAGCCACCAGAAAUGUAUGUAAUCCAGCUUGGAUAGUUCCUGAACUGGAGGGUGUCCGGCCGUGUGGAAACACCUUAUCUAGGCGGGCGGCUUUGGGUUUUGGCAUGUGCGCCAGAUCGUUCGGCGUUUUAGACGAAGUUGACACUUCACCCGAUCAUCAUCAGGUCCGAACUAUAAGAACCGUUUCCUCCAUGGCCAUGGAGAACAUCGUCAUCACACACACACACACACACACACACACACACACACACACUCUUCACAAGUUCCCACUAUUUCCUGUCCCUCUUGAGUUGAGUCUCUCCCGGCCGGCCUUUCCCCUCCUGCCUGAUGGCCCAGGUAAGUUUGAGAGUGUUUCACCAUCGAUUCGUUCAGUUUUUAGCAUGUCAGUCGAUCCUGCCGUCGGUGAAAUCCAAGAGUAUUGGGAGCGAGACCAUACUCUUGGGGAAAUGUUUGUUCACUGCUUCCUUGAUUGUGCUGCUUACAGAAGGUGGUGCUGAGGAUUCCCACCAUGACCGACGACAAGACCAAGCAGAAAGCCAUGGAGGCCGUCGCCGACAUCUACGGUACGUAAGCGCACCCCAUGAAUCUUCCUGCCGUUGCUUCUUCAUUUGAUCUCGCUUGGCGGUUUGAAUCUCACAAAGGAAGCGGGCAGAAAAAUCUCCUCCCAUGCUUCCCGGCUCCCGGCCGUUCAUCGUCAGUUCAUCUUUUCAUCUUGUGGCAUUUCUGGAACCACAGCUUUCUACAGGUCCACCAAUGAACCAUAGCUGAAUUUCGUAAGGAUGCAUGAAUUAUUGCUAGGCGAUAAUGCGAUAUUCGAUCGCGACGCCUCAUCAGACGUGGCCGGCCAAGUAAGUCAGUCUGUAGGGCCAUAAGCUACAUGCAUGCCUGUACGAUAGUACGAAAAUGGCUUUACUCUUGUGUUUGUUUGAUGAGCCAAGUUGGUAGAACUACACAUGGGUCCUUUCCUCCUCCGUCCUACGUGUGAGUGAGUGGACAUGACUCGAUAUGGCGUCGGUCGGAUCCUCGCACAAAAGAUCAAAAUCCUCACACUAUAAUAUGCUUGUAAUCAUAGUGCAGAUGCAAAUUAAUAAAUGGCUUCUAAAAGAAAUAGAGAUUUAAUCAAUCAAUCAACAUGAUUUCUAUUGCUUAAUUUUUUAUUGCUUAAUCAAUGGGCAUAGUUUUGUUGCAUCUAAUCAUAGUCCAGAACAGAUGCAAGCAAUCAACCAGCAUGAAAGAACUCAUUCCUUCUUUCUUUUUUUCCUACUCGUGGUUGGUUGCAGGUAUCGACUCGAUAGCCGCAGACCUCAAGGACAACAAGAUGACCGUCAUCGGUGCUAUGGACACGGUGGCCAUCGCCAAGAGGCUCAAGAAGCUCGGCAAGAUCGACAUCGUCUCGGUCGGGCCGGCAAAGGAGGAGAAGAAGCCGGCGCCGGCUGCGGAGAAGAAGGGCGAGGUUAAGAAGGAUGACAAGAAAGAGGAGAAGAAAGACGACAAGAAGUGAAAGCAACCCAUUGCAGAAGGAGAAGCCCAACAUCACCACGCAAACGGCAACAGCAACAAAAAGUCUUUGACAUCUGAGGCUCUGAUGGAGUGCUAGACAGCUAAUUAUAAUCUCCACUGGGAAAUGAGAUCGCUUUGCGUACUGUACUGGUAUAGUGCACUACAGACAUCAAGUCAAAUCAAAUAUCAGAUCAGUGUGUGUGUACAUGUGACUCUGGGUUCGCCUGAUUGGUGAUGACAUGAAUCCUACUCUAUCAGCCAACUUCAGGCAAUUUUUGACUACAUUGCAUGAUCUCAGUUUUUUAGCUGUUUGAACCUGAGCUGGCCUGUGACAGAGACUGGUUAUCUGCCACCUUCUGAUGGGAAAGAGGCCAAGAGUUUCAGUCGUUGCAAUGGCGCGGCAAAAAAAAGGAAGCAGUGUCAGUGUGGCCUUACCCCUAACUCCAAGUUGCCGCAGGCCCAAGUAUAUCCCGCUUUGCUCACAGUCUUUGAUCUGUCACCAUUACUACUCCUCGAGGUAGGGAGCUCCAGCGGUCUCAACGGGCAAAAAAAGGAGACGCUGGCUGUUUGUUCUGCUUCUAGUUUUGGGUAAGGAAAAAUUAGCUGAUUUUAAUUUUGUUUGUACGAUCUGCGAUAUGUUCAUAAAUACUAAAUGAAGUAUUUCACUAGUGAAAAAUAUUCCAUAGAAUCACAAUAAAAUGACAUAUACAUAAACCAUUUUUCAAUAUACUUGAAAAUGCUCAUGAAUUUCAAAACUAAUGUUCAUGAGUAUGAAAAAUAAGUUAAUGUAUUAACUGUACAAUAUUUUUUUAAAUAAGACAAUGAAAAAUUCAAACAGAAAAUAAAUUUUCAGCAAGGGUGGAUUUGGGUCAGAUAUUUUGUAUUAGCAUGCAAAUAAUCAAAUUAGUUGAAGAAACACAUGUGUAUUUGUAGAAAAAUCUUUGCCAAUUUUUGAAAAUUUGAAAUAUGUUUUGAUUUUUUCUUCUUUUUUGGAAAACGAGCACUGGUAGAAAAAGAGGCUUCCAUACGCCCCCAUUAGUCCCCAAAACAAUCGAACCGCGACAAAAGGGGUCUUUAGUCGCGGUUCGGGAGGAGACCCGCGACCAACUAUCUGGGCCCAGCGCGCUCGGUCAACAGCUGGCGGACGGGAGGGGCUUUAGUCCCGGUUGGCCUGGCCAACCGGGACUAAAGGUCCCCGAAGGCCUUUAGUUGCGGUUGGCCAGGCCAACCGGGACUAAAGGCCCAUCCCUAUAUAUAGGACUCAGCUCACUUCACUUCACUCGGCUCACUUCACAAUUUUCAGAAGGGGGUGGUGGGUUUGCUUUUGGUUCCUCCUAUGCACACAAGGUGUUCCAUGAAAUGCCCGAGAGCCUGAAACAAACAUGAUAUGAAGUGUCCGAGCCACACUUGAGCUUUCUCAUUUAUUUUUCCUCCGCGAUCGCGGUUAGCAACUUGAACCUUUCAUGUGUCAUUGAUAAAAUAUGCAUGUGUGUAGUUCAUUGUUUAAUUUGUAUUAUUUCUAGCUAGUUAGUUUAACAAAUGCAUGAUGGUUAAUUAUAUACUUUAUAUAAUAAUAAUGCAGAUGAAUCGGCAAUGGAUGUACGGUCCCCGACUCUCCGGCGAGUUCACUACGGGUUUGAAAGAUUUCCUCGUAGUGGCAAAUGCGAACAAGCAGCAAGGUUUUAUUAUCUGUCCAUGUGCUGUCUGUAAGAAUCAGAAGGGUUACUCCUCCUCAAGAGACGUUCACAUGCACCUGCUUCGGCACGGUUUCAUGCCAAGCUAUAAUUGUUGGACCAAGCAUGGAGAAAGAGGGGUUAGAAUGGAAGAAGAUGAAGAAGGGGAUGAUAUCGAUGACAACUAUCAUGAUCAUUUCGGUGAUACUUUCGGAGGAUGAUGCUGAAGGUGGGGAAGGGUUAGGUGAAGGUGAAGAAGAGGCACAUGAUGAGCCCGCUGAUGAUCUUGGUCGGACCAUUGCUGAUGCACGGAGACGCUGCGAAACUGACAAGGAGAGGGAGAAUUUGGAUCGCAUGUUAGAGGAUCACAAAAAGUCGUUGUAUCCAGGAUGCGAUAAUAGUCUGAAAAAGCUGGGCUGCACACUGGAUUUGCUAAAAUGGAAGGCACAUGAAGGUGUAGGUGACUCAUCAUUUGAAAAUUUGCUGAAAAUGUUGAAGAAUAUGUUUCCGAAGAAUAACGAGUUGCCCGCCAGUACGUACGAAGCAAAGAAGGUUGUCUGCCCUCUAGGUUUAGAGGUUCUGAAGAUACAUGCAUGCAUUAACGACUGCAUCCUCUACCGCGGUGAAUACGAGAAUUUGAAUGAAUGCCCUGUAUGCACUGCAUUGCGUUAUAAGAUCAGAGGCGAUGACCCUGGUGACGAUGUUGAGGGCGAGAAACCCAGGAAGAGGGUUCCCGCCAAGGUGAUGUGGUAUGCUCCUAUAAUACCACGGUUGAAAUGUCUGUUCAUGAACAAAAAGCAUGCCAAGUCGUUGCGAUGGCACAAAGAGGACCGUAAGUCCGACGGGGAGUUGAGACACCCCGCUGAUGGAACGCAAUGGAGAAAGAUCGACAGAGUGUUCAAAGAUUUUGCAGCUGACGCAAGGAAUAUAAGAUUUGGUCUAAGUACUGAUGGCAUGAAUCCUUUUGGCGAGCAGAGCUCCAGCCAUAGCACCUGGCCCGUGACUCUAUGCAUCUACAACCUUCCUCCUUGGUUGUGCAUGAAGCGGAAGUUCAUUAUGAUGCCAAUUCUCAUCCAAGGCCCUAAGCAACCUGGCAACGACAUCGAUGUGUACCUAAGGCCAUUAGUUGAAGAACUUUUACAGUUGUGGGCCAGACCUGGUGUACGUGUCUGGGAUGAGCACAAAGGAGAGGAAUUUGACCUACGAGCGUUGCUUUUUGUAACCAUCAACGAUUGGCCUGCUCUCAGUAACCUUUCGGGACAGACAAAUAAGGGAUACAAUGCAUGCACGCACUGCUUACAUGAGACUGAAAGUGUACGUUUGGUUAAUUGUAAGAAGAACGUGUACCUGGGUCAUCGUCGAUUUCUUCCCCGAAAUCAUAACGUAAGAAAGAAAGGCAAGCAUUUCAACGGCAAGGCAGAUCACCGGCCGAAGCCUGCGGAACGUACUGGUGCUGAGAUAUUUGAUAUGGUCAAGGAUUUGAAAGUCAUCUUUGGAAAGGGUCCUGGCGGACAAUCAGUUCCGCGGGGAGUUGACGGGCACGCACCCAUGUGGAAGAAGAAAUCUAUAUUUUGAGAGCUAGAAUAUUGGAAAGUCCUAGAUGUCCGCUCUGCAAUCGACGUGAUGCAUGUUACGAAGAAUAUUUGCGUGAACCUGCUAAGCUUCUUGGGCGUGUAUGGGAAGACAAAUGAUACAAAGGAAGCACGGCAGGACCAGCAACUUUUGAAAGACCCAGAUGACCGGCAUCCGAAAUGGUUUCAAGGUCGUGCCAGCUACGCUCUUACCAAAGAAGAGAAGGUCAUUUUUUUGAAUGCCUGAGCAGUAUGAAGGUCCCGUCUGGCUUCUCGUCGAAUAUAAAGGGAAUAAUAAACAUGGCGGAGAAAAAGUUCCAAAACCUGAAGUCUCACGACUGCCACGUGAUUAUGACGCAAUUGCUUCCGAUUGCUUUGAGGGGGCUCCUACCGGAAAAUGUUCGAGUAGCCAUUGUGAAGCUAUGUGCAUUCCUCAAUGCAAUCUCUCAGAAGGUAAUCAAUCCAGAAGAUCUACCACGGUUACAGAACGAUGUGGUCCAAUGCCUUGUCAGUUUCGAGUUGGUGUUCCCACCAUCCUUCUUCGAUAUUAUGACGCACCUCCUGGUCCACCUAGUCGAAGAGAUUUCCAUUCUCGGUCCUGUAUUUCUACACAAUAUGUUCCCCUUUGAGAGGUUCAUGUGAGUAUUAAAGAAAUAUGUUCGUAACCGUGCUAGGCCAGAAGGAAGCAUCGUCAAGGGCUAUGGAAAUGAGGAGGUAAUUGAGUUCUGUAUUGACUAUGUUCCUGACCUUAAGCCGAUUGGUAUUCCUCAAUCGCGGCACGAGGGGAGACUAAGUGGAAAAGGCAAGAUCGGAAGGGAAUCCACGAUAUGUAUGGACGGUCAUUCUAUGACUGAAGCACACCACACAGUUCUGCAAAAUUCCAGCUUGGUGGCUCCGUACUUCGAGCAACACAAGAAUAUUUUACGCUCGGACAACCCGGGGAAGCCUGAAUCCUGGAUUAGAAAGGCCCACAUGGAGACUUUCGGCAGUUGGUUGCGAAAACAUUUAAUGAAUGACAAUGAUGUUGGAGAUCAGCUGUACAUGUUGGCCAAGAAACCAUCUUCGACUAUAACGACUUUCCAAGGGUACGAGAUAAAUGGGAAUACAUUUUACACCAUCGCCCAAGAUAAAAAGAGCACCAACCAAAACAGUGGUGUCCGCUUUGAUGCAGCAACCGAGAAUGGGCAAAACGUCACAUAUUAUGGUUACAUAGAGGAGAUAUGGGAACUUGACUAUGGACCCUCCUUUAAGGUCUCUUUGUUCCGGUGCAAAUGGUUCAAGCUAACAGGAGGUGGGGUAAAGGUGGACGAGUAAUACGGAAUGACAAUGGUGGAUUUCAACAAUCUUGGUUACCUUGACGAACCAUUCGUCCUUGCCAAAGAUGUCGCUCAGGUUUUUUACUUGAAGGACAUGAGUAGCAAACCGAGGAAACGGAAAGAUAACAAAACGAUCAGUACAUCAUGCGAUGAUCCAAAGCGCCACAUUGUUCUUUCAGGGAAAAGAAACAUCGUGGGAGUGGAGGACAAGACAGACAUGUCAGAAGAUUAUAAUAUGUUUGGUGAAAUUCCGCCCUUCAAAGUGAACACUGACCCAAGCAUUAAGUUAAAUGAUGAGGAUGCUCCAUGGAUACGGCACAAUCGUAAGCAACAAGGGACACAAGGGAAGAAUUGAUGUGUAAUAAUUUAUUGUACCAAACUUUGUAUUUGGUCGAUGAACUGAAUGAUGUAUCAAACCUUUUGUCAAACCUUCAAGGGAUUUUAAAAUGAAUUAGUUUUAUUUUUCUGAUUUUUUUGAUAUAUAAUUGUAUUUUUAAGAUUUUAAAAUGAAUUAGUUUUAUUUUUCUAAUUUUUUUGAUAUAUUAUUUGUAUUUUUAAGAAUUUAAAAUGAAUUAGUUUUAUUUUCUGAUUUUUUUGAUAUAUAAUUGUAUUUUUAAGAUUUUAAAAUGAAUUAGAAACAAAAUAAUAUAAACUUUAAUAAAUUUUAAUAACAUAAAUAAAAUUGAUUCAACUAAAAUUAUCGAAGUAUUUUCUGUUCAAAAUCAUUGAAAGCUAAAAGAAUUUUCAUAAAGAACUUUUUUUGUUAGAAACUUUAAUAGCAAAAAUAAUUAUCAUAAAGUAAAAUAAAUAAGUAAUUAGAAACAAAAUAAAAUAAAAUAAAUAAGUUUUUUGUUUUAAGUAGAAACAAAACAAAAUAAAUAAAGCAAAAAAUAAAACAAAAAACAGGCAAAAAAUAAAAAAUAUGCCUCCUACUGGGCCACCACGGCCUGAAUACGACUAGAAACCCAUCAAUGGGCCAGGAUUCAGGCCCGCAGAAGGCCCAGUAGGCCCACAAGCACAUAGUGACAGAAUAGGCCCGUAAGCCUGCAUUUCAGAGGAGCUCGAAGUGGUGAGCGCAGCCGCGCUUAUAAACCACUGUCGAAGCCUCUCGGCUAGCAAGGUGGGACUAAACAUCCCACCGCACCGCGCCAGUUCCAGCACAGACCCUUUAGUCCCGGUUGGGGAGGCGGACCGCGACUAAAGGGUACCCUUUAGUCGCGGUUGUUGUCCCCAACCGCGACUAAAGGGUCUUUCUGCGCGGGAACGAAAGCGGCGCCAAAACCCUUUAGUCCCGGUUGGGGAGGCGGACCGCGACUAAAGGGUACCCUUUAGUCGCGGUUGGUGUGGCCAGCCGCGACUAAAGGGUACCUUUAGUCGNNNNNNNNNNNNNNNNNNNNNNNNNNNNNNNNNNNNNNNNNNNNNNNNNNNNNNNNNNNNNNNNNNNNNNNNNNNNNNNNNNNNNNNNNNNNNNNNNNNNNNNNNNNNNNNNNNNNNNNNNNNNNNNNNNNNNNNNNNNNNNNNNNNNNNNNNNNNNNNNNNNNNNNNNNNNNNNNNNNNNNNNNNNNNNNNNNNNNNNNNNNNNNNNNNNNNNNNNNNNNNNNNNNNNNNNNNNNNNNNNNNNNNNNNNNNNNNNNNNNNNNNNNNNNNNNNNNNNNNNNNNNNNNNNNNNNNNNNNNNNNNNNNNNNNNNNNNNNNNNNNNNNNNNNNNNNNNNNNNNNNNNNNNNNNNNNNNNNNNNNNNNNNNNNNNNNNNNNNNNNNNNNNNNNNNNNNNNNNNNNNNNNNNNNNNNNNNNNNNNNNNNNNNNNNNNNNNNNNNNNNNNNNNNNNNNNNNNNNNNNNNNNNNNNNNNNNNNNNNNNNNNNNNNNNNNNNNNNNNNNNNNNNNNNNNNNNNNNNNNNNNNNNNNNNNNNNNNNNNNNNNNNNNNNNNNNNNNNNNNNNNNNNNNNNNNNNNNNNNNNNNNNNNNNNNNNNNNNNNNNNNNNNNNNNNNNNNNNNNNNNNNNNNNNNNNNNNNNNNNNNNNNNNNNNNNNNNNNNNNNNNNNNNNNNNNNNNNNNNNNNNNNNNNNNNNNNNNNNNNNNNNNNNNNNNNNNNNNNNNNNNNNNNNNNNNNNNNNNNNNNNNNNNNNNNNNNNNNNNNNNNNNNNNNNUCUCUUCUUUUCUGAACCUUGACGGUGGAACAGAGAUUGUCGAUGAUCAAGAAGGUGAAGGAACGGACAUUGUCGACGGAGGUCAACCGUCAACAACCGACGAUCUCGAAUUGCAAGUAGCAACCACCUCCGGCGAGGUAUAUAUAUACAUUGAGCCUCUCGUGAUACAAACUUACUGAAAUGUGAAUACAUAUGUAUUAACGCGCGCGACUCUCUUUCUUUUUUUAGCCCUCCGGAUCGAGUACGACAAAGCGUGGCAAAUCCAAGGCGAUGAAAACAGGAGAAACAUAUGCCAUUGAGUUUGUCAGUGAAACCGGCAAGCCCCUACAGCACACCUCAAAGUUUAUCAACCAAUGCGGAGUCGUUGUUAGAGACAACGUCCCGAUCACCGUCCAGGAAUGGAAGGAGCCAAAGAAGGCACGUCUUGGUUUCAGUUUUGUCGACAAGAGAACGAAAAAGGAUUGCUAGAGAAAGCUUAUGGAACAUUUCAUUCUACCUCCGGAAUACAACAAAGUCGAUGAAUUCGGUAACGAGGUUCCGGGUGGACGUCAGAGGAGGAGGCUAGUUAAAGAGUUCGCUUUUCAGAAGAUGGGCGAAGCAUUCCGGAACUUCAAGAAAAAUUUAACCCGUGACUAUGUCAACAAGGGCAAGACUCCGGAUUUCAAUGGACAACAUGAGAAACUGAAAGAUGAUUGGCCAGAAUUUGUGAGGCAAAAGCAAUCGGAGCAUUUCAAGGAAAUAUAAAAAAAAUAAGGAUAAUGCGAGUAAGAAAAAGUUCCAUCAUAUUAUGGGGCCAGGAGGAUACCGCCUUUCGGAGCCUAGGUGGCAAAAGAUGGAGGAGGACCUGAGGGUGCGAGGAAUCCCUCUAGGUACAGAGGGAUGGGACCCAAGGGCCAAAAGCUGGUGGUACGGGCAUGGGGGAUCGCUAGACCCGGAGACAGGGGUGUGUGUUCACCGGCAGAGACAGUUUGCUCCCACCCAAGCCCUUAUUGACGCAAUGACCCAAGCUCAAGAGGGCUUGAUCAAGUUCAACAGAGAGAAAGACGCACUGACAACAGCCCUCGGGAAUGAUGAACACGGAGGACGUGUACGAGGCAAAGGCAAAGUUCCGUGGAAAGUAGGGUUUUCCCAGGACAAUGACCCGUACUGUUACAGAAGCCGUAAGAGAAAGACGGACCGGGAUGCAGAUCUUAUGACGAAGUUUGCAUCGGAACUCCAUGAGUUGAAGCAGACCGUGCAUGAACUAGUGAAAGAAAAAUCGGCUGCAGGGCCGCAUGAAGAUCAUGAAGCGGAUCGCGGAAGCCAGCAGCGGAGAAGCAGCGUGGCUUCCACGGAUGCCCCGCCUGGUGCUAGUGCACCGAUGAUCGAGAUUCGUGCACCAGAGCCUCACUACCCCGUGGAUGAUGUAAAGGAGAUGAAAGAAUGUGAUCUGCAUUAUCCCGUGGGGAACGUUUCCACGAAGGUAGCUAGCGGCAGUGCUUUACCCUGUACACCUGGGGCACUCCACCACAACAACCCCAUUGCAUAUGGCUAUGCUCGUGUCACGGUGGAAGACAUAGUCCAAGGGUUUGAGGACCUGGAGAUUGACAAACCUACACCCGAAGGGGAGAGAAGACUUGGAGAUGUCAAGCGCCAGUACAUUCUAUGGAAAAAGAAGUACAUAGUGUUUCCAGGCGAGGCGCCAAGGCUAGCAAGUCCACCCCCCUCCGAUGGUGGUGGUGGUGGUGGUGGCGGUGGUGGCGGUGGUGGUGGUCGUGGUGGUUCACCUACACCUCCUUCACGCCAUUCGACGCCGUCCCCCGAUCCACAACCUCCGGCGGGUACGACGCCCCCCAAUCCUCCUCCGGCGGGUACGACGCCCCCCAAUCCACCUCCGGCGAAGAAGCAGAAGCAGGCGGACAGCAAGGAAACCCACUCCUGGACUAUUAACCCGGACCCUUAUGUACCUAAGACCACAAGGGUACCGGAGCCAUCACUGAAGCCUCUCCUCCCAAGGCCUGGGGAACUUAGUGAAGCUGAAACCAAAUUGGCCGCGUCUGCUGAUUAUGAGAAAUGGAAGGCGGAUAUGAAGGCGAAAAAAGAGCCUGAGCCCAAGCAAGUAUUCACUGAGAAGCAAAAGAAGUGGGCUAAGGAUUUUUUGACGACACCGUCCCAAGCCGAGCUGAAUAUGCCUGACGACUAUGGACAUGAACUUCGUAGGCAAGCAAAAAUAUUGAAGGAGGAGAAAGAAGAAAGUAAAAAAAGCGGGAAACAAGUUGACCAGCUCGGGAUGCAGAAGAAACAAUCGAUCCCCCCGCUCAUAGUGAAAGCCGGUCCGGAAGAGGACCCCGAGAUCAUAGCAGCUGCGGCAGCACUUGGAUUGACUGUAGCGAGUGCCAUGAAACAAGCGUCCGAGAUGGGUUUGACUCUUCGUGCCUUCUUAGGCCUUGAGGAUGCGCCAGUAUGUGAGAUAGCAUUACAAUAUGUGCGGAAUGGGCCUCUCGUCGAGCCUGCGCGGGAAAAGAGUCUACCACCACAAAUGCGAAAUCUGCUACGUUGGUACAAACAAUUCAUAACAUGGGCCGACAAAGAAUAUAUUUAUGCGGAUGUUACAGAUGAGCAUCACACCAAACGGUACUCUGUAGAAGUUCAUAUGAGUGAAUUGUUCCAGUUGUUCAAUCUGCGCGACCUCGACAAAUCUAUGCUGAGUUACUACGUUCUGUAAGUGAUUUAUUUCUACCUCAUCUCGUUCUUCAUUGCCUGCACUAUAUAUAUAUAUAUAUUGUCCUAACUAUAUUGUUGCGUACGCUAUUAUGCAGAUUGAAGAUUUGGGAAUGCAAAAUAAGAAACAUCCAUGAUGUUGGGUUCAUUGACCCACAUAUCGUUAAUGGACAUGUGUUACAACAUCACCCCGAAGACGUGGAGAAAGACUUGUACAAGUUUCUCAGAAAGCAUCAACUCAAAAGUCAUAUUCUAUUUCCUUACCAUUUGGGUGAGUGUUUCUCUCUUGUGCCCAUUCUCUUUUGUUUACUCCAUGCAUGGUAUGUCUAAUCGAUGAGUUAUGCAUGACUGUGCAUGUAACGUGUCCGCAGGUUCCACUGGAUUCUGCUAAAUAUUGAACUUCACACCUUCAGAGUUCUAAUCAUGGACUCUAUGGAUUCGGAUCCAAAGCGUUGGGCCGACAUGAGAAAAAUGCUGCAAAAGUAAUUAUUUUCAAUCAUUUGAGCUCUAUAUCGAUCGGUCUCUUUCGUUCAUUUCCUAAUAUCAAGUAACUAAUAACUCCCUUGUUCAUUUAAUUUUCUUUGCCUUGUAGGGUUUGGAGACGGUUCUCAGAAGAAAUUGUCGGUGAAUUCAAACAUGAGCUAGAUUUCAGAAGGUUAGUUAAUGUGGAUAAGCAGCCACCGGGGACCAAUCUAUGUGGAUACUAUGUUUGUGAGAACAUCCGGAGACACACCUCUGAGCGGAAGGCAUCGGAUAGCGUGCGGAACGCGACGGAUAACUUGCGGAGGAGGCUUAGUCCAGAAGCUCGCUUCCGACCAAUUCAAGAAGAAUUAGCAGGAUUUUUCAUGAGGGAAGUCAUCAAUCCUAAAGGAGAACACUAUACCGAGGACGAAGAAAUUUAUAUGCAUACCCGAGAUUGAAACUUGUACGAAGUUGUAUAUGGUCAUCCAUCCUAAUUGUGUAUGGAAACUUGUUCGAAGUUGUAUAUGGUCACCCGAGAUUGAAUAUAUAUUAUAUAUUCCUCUUGAAUUCUUCUUGUUUGAAAUUUCAUAUGCAUGUAUAUAGUAGCGUAGAAUAUGUGUACUGAAACUUUAUCAAAAUUAAAAUAAAACACAAAAUAUAAUAUAAAAGAAAUAAAACACUCCAAACUAAAAAGAAACCAGGUUUAGGGGGGCUAAAACCCUAAACCUGCGGAGGAGGCCUUUAGUCCCGGUUGGCCACGAGAGCCGGGACUAAAGGUCCUCCGCCCCGACGGACCACGGGCGCCCACGUGGACGGGCCUUUAGUCCCGGUCAGCCACAAGAACCGGGACUAAAGCCUUUAGUCGCGGUCCGUAAGAGGCGCGACUAAGGGGGGGAGGAUCUUUAGUCGCGCAUAUUUAGUCCCGGUUGCACAGCCGGGACUAAAGGCUGUUGCGAACCGGGACUAAAGGGCUUUUUUCUACCAGUGGAGCUCCAUGGAGCUCGGCCUUUGCAACGCCACACUCCUAAAUGGGCCGACUACUAGGGCUGCCAAUUACAGGUAUUCUUUAUUUGUUCAUAAACAUCAAAAACCGUGUAUUCAUUUUUUACACACUGAAAACUAUGAUUACAAAUAAAUUGAUAAUGGAAACUGUUUGCUUAUUAUGGAAUAGUGUCGUGCAUUUAAAAGUUGAUGUUCAUGAGUUUAAAAAGAAAUGUUCACGUACUUCAAAAAGUAUUUACAUAACUCGAAGGAGAUGUUCAUGUAUUCAAAUAAAAAUGUCCAUACAUAUGAAAUAAAUCCUUAUGACUUAAAUAAAUCACGUUUUAAAAGUAAAUGUUCACAUACUACCAAAAUGUUCAACUGUUUGUAAAAAAAGAUGUAAAUAAUAAAUAAUAGUGAACUUUUAAAAAUAGAAACAACAAAAAGUAAUCCCUGAUCAUGGGCAGUAUGAUUUGAUCUAUACUCUUUGCAAUGAGUGUAUGAUAGGGUUCACUCAUAAAACUUACACCUCGCGUAUUGCGAAAUAUAGCAAGCACUUGCCAAUGUGCGCGUGCACAUUUACCACAGCCCAGCACAACUUGUUUUGGUUUUUAUUGUUUGUUGUUUGUUUAAAUUUCCGUUAUUUCUUUCCGUUUUGUGUCUCUUAUAAUUUCUAUUUUUUUUUGUUACUUUUUCUUAUUUCUUGUAUUUAAUUUCUCGCAUUUUUACUCCUCUUUCCUUUUUUUUCUUCUGUUUGACCAUUUCUUUUUAUUUUUGGUAUAUCAUAUUUUUUUGGUUACGUAUAUUAACACUACAUUUUAAGAAAAAUCGUACUUUUAAAAACAUACAAACAUUUUAUGAAAAAGGUUAACACUUUAAGAAAACAAAUGAAUUUCACAAAAAUAUUUGAAUAAUUUUGAAUUAAUUAUAUAUUUUUCCAAAAAUCAGAAUUUUAAAAAAAUUACAUGAACAUUUUGGAAGAGCUCUGCUUUUUGUAAUGCUGCAUUAUUUUUCGGUAAAAGUAUGUGAACAUUUAUUUAUUUAGAUAAACAUGUCUAAAAAGUGUGUGAAAAUGUUUUUAUGUACAUUAAUACUUUCUAAAAUAUGUUAACACUGUUUCAGUUAGAUGAGAAUUUUUAAAUACGUAAAUACUUUUUGGUUACAUGAAUGUUGUUUAAAAAGUACGUGUAUAUUUAAUGCAGUAUGCAAACAGUUUUUAGAAGUACAUGAAUUAUUUAUUUGUUUAGACGUGCAUGUAUGUUUUACAACAAAUGAUGUUUUACCUACCAAUCGUGGACAUAAGGCUAUUGGGUUGGCCAUCUUGGCGUGUCCCAUUAACAGGUAUUUCUUCUUUUUUUUGAUAAAUUGUGAAAGUAUAUUUAUCUUGCUAAUAUUCAUGCACUUUCAAAAAUGUUUACUGAAUUUCCAAAAAAGCCAAAAAGUCAAAAAAAUAAAAUGAAAAGGAUAAGUAGAAAAAAUGCCGAACCCGUGGGGAAAAAUAGAAAAGACUCGCAAUGAAAAUCAGUAGAACCAACUAUAGCUACAGUUACCGCUCUUGUAUGUAGCCUGCCACUAUGACGCUCUCGUCUGUGUGUUUCAGCGACAAUUUGUGGCAACGGGCAAAGAAUAUGAAAUUCCCUUUGUUAUGGGCUUUGUGUACACGCCACGCCCCUAAGCCUAAGGAAAACAUUUUGGCCCGUGAGAGAUUACCUCAGGAGAUGUAUGUAUUUUUUACAUGGCUCGAACAAGGUUCAAGUGACGCAAGUGUCCGAUGGAAGUAGAUGAAGCUCCCAGUUUCUUGUUAUCGCAUGUACUACUCGAUGUAACUCUGUCAAACAGAGAGUGGGACCCAGCUAACAGCGGAUGAGUAGUGCUGAUUGGGCCCUACUCUGGGACUCAGGUUCCCGCGUAAUAUGAUGCCAUAUAGCUGCAUUUUCUGAACCGUUAGCGGCACAAUUUUUAAGAUGAUUAUCAAACCAAACGCCCCUAAGCCUAAGGAAAACAUUUGUGUUCUGCGAUCAGCGCCUAAUUCUUACAAUGGUCAGAACACGUGGUAUUUAAGAUGUAUGGUGGAAGAAGACCCUUAGAUGGCUAGAGAGCCUUGACUAUGGUGCUGUCCAUGGUCCCUUUUGUUGCUUGACGAGCCUGCGCGCUCUGUACGGGCUAUGCCCUGUAAUUUGUCUUCGGUUCGGUUGAGUCGCGCAUGAAACUUUCGAUGAUCCUUUUGCGCUGGCCGGGUAGGCCUGUGGGGUUGUAAUAUGACUUGUUCACGCUGCCGCUGUGGCUUUAUUAAUUUAAAGCCGGACGCGUUCGUGCGUCUUCGUUCUAAAAAAAAGACCAUUAGAUCGAAGUAAAGCAUCACAAGAACAAUAUUAUCAUAGAAAACAACAUCACAAAAGAUACAACAAGGCCAACAGUAGGUGGAGGCGUAUGCACUUGAGAAAGGAUGCGUGUGUGCUGAUAUCUCUACCUCAACUGAUCAAGAUUACAACAAAUUCAGCACACAUGCAUGCGUUACUGUCCACCCUAGACUACUCUAGAAGCCCAUGGUGUACACACCAUAUGUCUGCUUGUACAAAUUCCAACACUUUUUGUCAAUCGCUACUUUAUCAAGUUGAGAAAUGUGCCCCUUUGGCCAUAACAAAGCUUUGCUUUUGGGUCUGUAUCAAACCGCUUUAUUUGUUUUGUACUACUUUUUGUUGUAAACGCUUUUAAGGGCUUCAGUUCGCUAAAGCCAGGCAAGCGCCUCCUUUCUAAAAGAUUGUUCCUAAAGUUAUCUAGUUUUGCCUGUUAGAUAAUCGCUUUGGAAACACAUGUACAACUUGUGCCGGGAUGCGUGCGUGUUGAUAUAAGGUGCCGGUUUGGCUAGAUUACAGAGGAGUUCGGUUGAGACGUGGAUUGGAUCCCAAGUUAGCUAUAUAGAUAAGGAUCCUUUCUCUCUCCCAACCAGAUCUGCAUCAGGCGUGUGUGGUAAACAAAACCAAAAUCAGUUCAGAAAGCGCCAUUUCUGACUGGACAAGCUUAUUUCUGACAUAUCUGAUUGCAAAAGCUAGGUUCACUGGCCUAGCUAACGGCAGAGACAUCUUUUUCAUAGUAUAAAUAGACCCCUUAAUUAAGCUCAUGGCCAUAUCCAACAAACCAUUUGUUGUAGAACAUCAUCCAUAGCCAGCAGCCACAAUGGAAGCGAGCGCGCAACAAGGCAACUAUGUCCAAGUCUACGUCAUGCUCCCUGUAAGCACCAUCCAUUCAACUCAAUCUCUACGCACCAUGCACUACAACUAUUUCAAGGAUCUAAUUGACACAUGCAAUGCUGUACAUAUAAUACCGUUAUUCGUAACACUCUAGUUUAAAGGGUGAAGUUAACAAGAUCUGAGGCCUCAAAUGAGCAUUUUUUUGGUACUAACCUUGACUUCGUUUUCGUUGUGGAAAUAAAUAGCUGGACAUCGUGAGCGUGAACAACAGGUUCGAGAAGGGUGACGAGCUCAGGGGGCAACUGAAGAGGCUGGUAGAGGCCGGUGUGGAUGGUGUCAUGGUAGACGUCUGGUGGGGCUUGGUGGAGGGCAAGGGCCCCAGGGUGUACGACUGGUCCGCCUACAAGCAAUUGUUUGAGCUGGUGCAUGAGGCUGGACUGAAGUUACAAGCCAUCAUGUCAUUCCACCAGUGUGGUGGCAACGUCGGUGACGUCGUCAACAUCCCGAUCCCGCAGUGGGUGCGUAAUGUCGGAGUGAGUGAUCCGGACAUUUUCUACACCGACCAGCACGGGACUAGGAACAUUGAGUACCUCACCCUUGGAGUUGAUGACCAGCCUCUCUUCCAUGGAAGAUCUGCCGUCCAGGUUAAUUUUAAACCACCACUCUAGUUCUCUCGUACUUAUUUUUUUUCACUCAAAUGUGUGAUGUUUUGUGUAUAUUAGAGAGAAAAUUUCAAGAUGAAUCCAAAUACAAGCAAAAGGCCAAAAGGUGGCAAAAAUAUAUAACAAAAGAAACGAAAUCUAGCCAGUGAAAAGAAUAUAGAGCCUAACCAACAACAACAUCGAGAAGGUUACUAGAGAGGAUGAGUCUUGACAACACUUCAGCUCUCAUGCAUUUUUUUGGGGGGUGUGAAAAACACCGACCUCUGAAUCGAUUGAUGCAGACAAUAUUCUAUUGUAAGCUAUUAGGAAGAACAAAUAGUUGUGAUUUUGAUAGGUACAAUGUGCUGAUGAUAGAAUGCUUUGAUUCUUCUUCGUGGCUGUGACAGAUGUACGCCGAUUACAUGGCAAGCUUCAGGGACAACAUGAAAGAGUUCUUGGAUGCCGGUCUUAUUGUAGACAUUGAAGUCGGACUUGGCCCAGCUGGAGAGUUGAGGUACCCAUCCUAUCCUCAGAGCCACGGAUGGUCAUUCCCAGGCAUCGGAGAAUUCAUCGUGAGUGUUUUCUUCUCGAAUAAAAAUGCUUCCUCUUCUGUUCCGACCAAUAUAUACUUUUGCAUGUAACAUGUGAUGACCAAAUGCGGUUUAGUAUCGUCCAAGUGACAAUCUACAUUGGAAAAGUUUUUUCAACAAACCAACACCCAAAUGAAAAGUGAUUCUUAUGAAAAAUGCAAGGAUAAAAUGGCAAUUUCAGAUCAGAACAAGGCAUGGCUAAACCCGACUUCAUCAGUUCUGCUAUCCCAUAUACCCCUGUCCCAAUUUUCUCUUUUUUAUUUCUCCUAUAUAAGACAUCAUACAAACUUGAUACAUUCGAACUACAAUAUGAGAAAAAUAUAGGAUUCAUUUGUGCAACAUAAAUACAUAAACUGAUAUUUUUAUUGGGAAAAGACAGAUUUCAUAUAUUUAUGCUACACCAAAAAAAUAAUCCAAAAUGGCUUUCUGCACAUUAUAGUCCAUAUUUCAAGUUCAUAUAUUAUUUUUUGGAAGAAACAAAAAAUAAGUAUCUGUAUGGUGAGAAUAGUGGGGGAGGGGGGGGUGUUGCACCUGAAUCCAAGUUUAGGAAGGUUACCAUUACUUUUGGCUUCCGAGAGACAAGUAUCAUAAGCAAAGACAAGGCCAUCUAAAAAUAGAUGAUAGGAAAUAAUUAAAACAAAUGUAAAAUAAUCUAUACCAUCACCAUUAAAGACAAAAUGACUCCAUUUAUUAACUGUUUUAACUAAUAGUACAAAUAAAAAAAAAUCUGCAGUGCUAUGAUAAGUACCUGCAAGCAGACUUCAAAGCAGCAGCAGCGAUGGUUGGCCAUCCUGAGUGGGAAUUUCCUCGCGAUGCCGGGACGUACAAUGACACUCCCCAGAGAACUCGAUUCUUCGUGGACAACGGAACAUAUCUCACUGAGCAGGGGAGGUUUUUCCUUGCAUGGUACUCCAAUAACCUGAUCAAGCAUGGUGACAAGAUCUUGGACGAAGCAAACAAGGUCUUCUUGGGACACACAGUGCAACUGGCAAUCAAAGUAAGUACCAUCAUCCUAAAGAUCUCAGUUUAUUACAAUAGUAGAUAGGAUUUGAGAACCCAUGAUUCAGUUGAGAAGUAGUGUAUGAUAAACUACAAAAAAUACACAAAUUCAUUAUAACACUCUAGGCUAAAGGAACUUGCAUUUUCUUAAUCUAGAAUGUAAAUGAGACAUGGCCAAAUCUUUGGUUACAGAUCUCUGGCAUUCACUGGUGGUACAAGGUUCCAAGCCAUGCAGCCGAGGUCACAGCUGGGUACUACAACUUACAUGAUAGAGACGGCUACAGACCCAUAGCACGCAUGCUCAAAAGGCACCAUGCUAGUCUUAACUUCACUUGCGCCGAGAUGAGGGACUCGGAGCAAAGCUCACAGGCGAUGAGCGCACCGGAAGAACUAGUCCAACAGGUAGGUACCUUGUGCCUCCAGAUUUUACGCUUAGACAUCUCUGAUAGACACAUCUCACGUACUUGUCGUCGAAAUUCUCAGGUGUUGAGCGCUGGAUGGAGAGAGGGCCUAAAUAUGGCAUGCGAAAAUGCACUUCCUCGAUAUGAUCCAACUGCUUACAACACCAUACUCAGGAAUGCGAGGCCUCAUGGCAUCAACAAGAGCGGCCCUCCUGAGCACAAGCUGUUUGGAUUCACCUACCUUCGGCUGUCGAAUCAGUUGGUGGAGGGACAAAACUAUGUCAAUUUCAAGACCUUUGUUGACAGAAUGCAUGCCAACCUGGUUAGUGCCACAACCACUUAUUCACGCAUGUAAAAAAUAAAACAGAGGAAUCAUAAAUUUGUUGAUUUGCAUCGGCCUAUAAUAAUAAUGUAAUUUGAUCCUUUUCAGCCUCAUGACCCAUGUGUUGAUCCAGUGGCGCCUUUGCAAAGAUCAGGGCCAGAACUGACGAUUGAAAUGAUCCUACAAGCAGCGCAGCCAAAACUGGAGCCAUUCCCCUUUGAAGAGCACACCGACCUGCCAGUUCAAGGCCUCGGUGGCAUCGGUGGUGGGGAGGUUGAAGACCCCACUGGUGGCAUGGGUGGGGAGGUUCAACAAGACCCCACUGGUGGCAUGGGUGGGGAGGUUCAACAAGACCCCACUGGUGGCAUGGGUGGGGAGGUUGAAGACCCUACCGGUGGCAUGGGUGGGGAGCUCCCUCCCACCGUGUAGUGAAACCUUUACUAUCUACAAUACCUUUUAUGUUGUGUGUCACAGAGAAACCUUUCUCUGCCUUAUUAACAAUAAAUAAAGCACAUUACUUGUGCGUGUUCUGGAAGAAAAAUCUCAGCGUUGUAGUCUACGAGAAGGGUUAAUCGUCUCUUUGUGAGAAUUGACGCGCCCUAAAAGUAAGCCGAUGAGGAUAAAUAAGAUGUGGUGCUACGGUACAUCAUGAGGAUUACUCAUCAAUAUUGGAUUAGUCAUCAGAAGGAUGCUUUUCCGACGAGCUGUAGUACAUCAGACCUUACAUACCUCCAUUAUGUGCAUAUGAGUGAAUGAAUAAAGUAUAUUGUGCUCAUUUAGUGAUUGUAUAUGGGUCCAUCAUUUUGGAUUUUGUCGUGGUCUUGGAAUACGGUGGGAAGGAUAUCUAGUGCAUGUUCACGAUUACCACUCGCAUGGUUUUGACUUCACCUGGCAUUGUCUACCUUCCUGCAGAAUGUUACGUGGUAAACUACUAAGUGUCCAAUCUACUUCGAUGGAUCUUUUGACCAUUUUGGAUGAAGAGUUUUAGAAAAAAGUUUCAUCUUUGUAAUCAAGCCGUAAAUUUUGUUUGUAGUUUGGUCGGAGUUUACAAAGCUACUCAAGAUGAUCAUAAACUAUCUUUUCUUCGUGAACCGGUCAAUCUUACUAAAGAAAACCUAUAUUCAAUAUUCAUUGUUCAUGGGUGGGGAAUUCAACAUCCUAUGGUUUCAGCAACGAUAAAAAAUAAUUAGUUUGACAGUACUUUCUUAUUCAGCAUUGCCAUUGACAAUUUGGAUCUACCUGAGAUAUUUCUGGACACCAAUUUACCUGGGCUAAUAACCGGCUAGAGUCGACAUUUGAAAAUAUGGGUCACGUGCCAAUGGAUGCUGGUUGGGAAUUGAAAUUUCUUUUGGUAACAAUCCAUGCUUUGGAACGUAUCAAAGCACUGCAAAACACCGCUCAGUCAAGUUCGAAUGGUUUGUUGGAUGGUCGAUGAUGGGUGGAUCGCCUUCCCAAGGGUUAAAAUCAAAAAAUCCGCACUUUGCAACAGCUCCUCGCAUGAUAGGAAUUAAACACCGCGGCAUAUACUAUGAAAAACGCUCAUAUCCGACCGGGUCUUUUAACUAUGGCACAGCCCAUUAGCACAUACUUUUAUAGUAUGUAUUUUUUAUCUUCUAUGUGUUCCAAAAAUAUUAUUAUAAAUAAAUUAUAACAAAAAGUGUUUGUGUACUGGGAACAAGUGUUGCGUGUUUUAAAAUAAAUGUGCAUGACGUCAAAAACAAAUGUUUACAUAGAUCGCGAGGGAUAUUUAUGUAUUCGUGAACAAAAUGUUAAUAUGUAUAAAAAAGGUUAAUGACUUCAAAAACAGUUUUACGAACUUAAAAAUAUUUUUUCUUGUAUACCUUUCUUUGCAAUGAAUGUGGAAUACGGUUGAGGGAGAGUUUCCAUAUGACGGCCUUAAGCGGGAACUGUUGGAGUGAAUGUCGAAAGGAAAUCAUAAUGGGCUGGGCNNNNNNNNNNNNNNNNNNNNNNNNNNNNNNNNNNNNNNNNNNNNNNNNNNNNNNNNNNNNNNNNNNNNNNNNNNNNNNNNNNNNNNNNNNNNNNNNNNNNNNNNNNNNNNNNNNNNNNNNNNNNNNNNNNNNNNNNNNNNNNNNNNNNNNNNNNNNNNNNNNNNNNNNNNNNNNNNNNNNNGAGAAAACAUUCACUUAUUUCAAGCCAGGAUGGACAUGGUAUGGAAAUGUCACAUAAAGCAAUGUUCAUGUAAAAGAAAACUUGUCCUCAUAUAUACUGUGCACCUCCUUUUUUGUUAAGGUAUCGUGAGCUAUGCGUAUAGGAAUUUGCUGAGUUUACGGGCUGGCCGUUUGUUCUGCUCCUAUUUUUUUUUGGCACAGUACAAUAAAAGUCGCCCACAUACACGAGUAUAGACCUACGCCUAUGAACGCACACCCUAUCCCUAUAAGCACCUUGAAAGACUGAGCCGGCAUAACAUCUUAAGAUUUUACGUAGUCACCACGGACGCCUCGCAGUCGACGGGAAUGUUUCCUCCGGGUUUACGGGCUGGCCGUUUGUUCUGCUCGAGUAAUGCUACAUGGAUGAUUACGGGGGUUUUACAGGUUCGUUAUGACUUGGCAAAUGGUUAUUGGGUUAAAGGGGGGGAGGGGCCCCACCCACCUGAACCUCCCUGUAAUCAUCCGUGAAUGUAGCAUUUUUAGUUCUGCUCCUAGUUUUGGGCUGUCAGUACUGGCUCGUACGAGUUUAUCGGUCCCUGUACGUGGGCCCGAACAAGGUGCAUUUUUUUCGUGUGGUACAGUGAAAACGUACGUUCCAUGCUGUACACGGCGCCAGAUAUGGUCACGUGAGGUCCAGGUCGUAACAAGAAACGGAAACAUGAGGAGACGAUCGCGUUUGGAAGGGUGCGCAUGAAUGGACUCGUCUGCUAGCUUUCGCCUACCGCCCACCGAUCGAGCGGCGAGAGCGCAACCAACAUCGACCAACUACCCAGCUAGCUGACCUCUACCGACCGGACUUGAAUGCAGUACCUACGUGCUACGUCGGCGGCGAUGGCCGCGUACGCUGGCUACGUGCCGCAUGCAUGGCGAGCUCGGACCGUGCGUGGCCAGCUAUAGAUACGUACGUACCCCAUGAGCCCCUAGAAACACCUGCCACUGCGAGAGCGAGCGUGUGAGCAGAUCGACGACGACGACAGCCAUGGCGAUGAUGAGGAAGGAGGCAGUGGUGGCGCUGAUGCUGGCGCUGGUGCUGCUGGCGGAAGUGCCUGGCUGGGCACGCGCGGAGUGCCAGGUGACGCAGCUGGCGGUGUGCGCGUCGGCGAUCCUGGGCGGGACGAAGCCCAGCGGCGAGUGCUGCGGCAACCUCCGGGCGCAGCAGGGGUGCUUCUGCCAGUACGUCAAGGACCCCAACUACGGGCACUACGUCAACAGCCCCCACGCCCGCGAGACACUCCAGACCUGCGGCAUCGCCCUCCCGCACUGCUAGGCCUCCUAGCCGACCGAGUCUACUCUGCUACGCUAGUUACUCUAGCUGAGUAAGUGCUGUGGUACGCAAGUAUAUGUUGGUAUGUUGGAAUAAAACGAUGGUGAUCUACGGCGUCAGGCUGCUGGCCGGUGAACUUGUGUUGGGGCUUGCAUAGGAUCCAUUGAUUUGUCUCACUAUCACUGCUCAGAUUGUCUACAGUCAGAUUUGGAAAUCCACCCCGUUCCCCUAAAUGUCCGCCGACGCGUUCGGACGUUGUCUCUGGAUAACGCCAGACGACCCCUCAUGUGUCCUUCCCGAGAGGCACUGUCCUUAUAUCUAAACCCUCAAAUUCAUCUAAUCUAUGCACGUGGAUCAUAUAGUAUAAAUUGUUCACCAAUUCAACAAUGUAACAAAGCAAAAUAAACCACAAUUCAACAAUCCGGACAUGGCAAAAAUAAAAUUCAACGUCCGAGCCACGACUGGACAAUCUGAUGAAUCACUCGUUGGAUGUCAUCCGUGUCGUGUGAUCUGCCGCCAUUCGUGGCUCAUGCGCUGCCUCGUAAUCUCUAUGCAUGUUGAUCUCCUUCUUCCUCUCCUCAAGCCACUUCUUGCCUUCCGCACCCAACAGGCCUGCGUCCGCCAACAUUAUCAUAAAAUUCUUGGUGUCUCGAGCAAAUUGCAACCUCUCCUCAAUCUCUAUUGAUCAAAAGUCCAGGCCUUCUCGAACUCCCAUUUGGGACACGCCUCCUUCUCCAACUAUCUUCUCCCUCUCAAUUUCCAACUUGUUGCUUUCAAUUUGCAACUUAUUCACUACUAGGGAAAAGCUUAUAGGCAGACGCUUACUAGUAGCGUGGAUUUAUACCCCUCGCUAUUGCUACUUACUAGUAGCGCGAGUUUAUAACCCCCGCUACUGCUAAGUCGAUAGUAGUAGCGCGGGUUUAUAACCCUCGCUACUACUAAGUGGUCUCUGCCAUGCCCCCCGACAUACCAUAGUAGCAGCAAGGGGUAUAAACCCGCGCUACUGCUAAGUUGAUAGUGGUAGCGCGGGUUUAUAACCCUCGCUACUACUAAGUGGUCUCCACCGUGCGCCACCCGGGACAUGCCAUAGUAGUAGCGAGGGGUAUAAACCCGCGCUACUACUAUCGACCCACCAAGACAUGUGUACACAUAGCGUGCGGAGGCCCAAAUCCAAACCCACACUCUUCUGAUUCCCCUUCUCUUCCCACCCGCGAUUCCCUUGCUCACCCACCGCCACUACCGGCCUCGCACCUCGGCGCCACUCACAAAUCUGACGACCUCCUCUCGCACUGCAGACCCCUCCCCCUCCAUCAUCCUUCUUCUCCGCUGUUGGAAGGAGAGGGAAACCAGCAGAGCGUCGUCCAUGGUGGCGGCCAGAUCCGCCAUGGACGUAGCCACUUACACCUCCUCGCCGGGUCAAGGGUCCCACGACAAGCAGCAGCAGGUCACCAGGCUUCAUCUAGGGUUUCGGGUGUCGGCUCCAACUCCGGCGGCCACCGGUGAGUUCCUCCUCCUACUGCUCUCUAUCUCUCUCUUCCUCUUUCUAAUAAUUUUCUCUUCUUUUAUAGCAGCAGUAGAAGAGAGGUGCGGGCACAAGUUGGGUGGGGAAGCACCAUCACCAUGGACAACUUCAUCCCCUCCAGGACCGGUAGCAGCCAUGGAUGGAGAGGACGAUGACGCCCAACAGAAGCAGCCUCCAUGGAUGGAAUUUUUUUUUAAUUCUCAAUUAGUUAGUAGUACCGCGGGGCCUUGACCCGCGCUACAACUAAGUAGCAGUAGCGCGGGUGGCAAUCGUGCUACUACCACUAGAAGUAGCAGUAGCGCGGGUACCACCCGCGCUACUGCUAAAAGUUAGUUGUAGCGCCCUAGCUGUAGCGCAGCCCCCGCGCUACUGCUAGGGAAUUACCCCCGCGCUACUACUAGGGUUUUCCCUAGUAGUGAUUGUUCAUCUUCUCCCGGUUCCAAUCCAUCCUCUCUUUCUACAGAUUCAAUAUGCGCUUGUACCCAUCCUCUUUCUUGUCAAUCCUUAUGGAAAAAUGCAUGUCCAUGUGGUGGACAUUUUUUACGUCGCAGCAUCACGAAUGAUCCUACCCUUAUCUCACUUGUUUCACUUUACUUGCCGGUUAUUCAUUGCCACGGUGACUCUUUCAUUACCCAAUGGAACUUCUUCCUCUUCCUUAUGCAAUCCAAUGGACUGGUGGGAGCUUGAGCCAUCAUUUGUCUUUAAUUUCUUGUUGCCUUUCUUGAGGUCAUCCACUACUUUUAUCCACUUUGUUUGGCCAUUAAAUUUUAUCAAAAAUGGCUAAAAUUGAAUGGCUUCUUCUCUGUUUGUUGGUACAAAGUGGCCGCCAACACCAUCUAUAUAAAAAAGUUAUCAUGAUAACCCGACAUAAAAAAAUAGCAAUGCAAAUUGUGACAAAGAAAAUCAAUUCAACUCACAUGACUUUGGACUCCAAUCGCACUUUGAUUCCGGCCACGCACAGAAGCAUAGUGGCCAACAAACUUGUUGACGUGAUCUUCGAUGGUGGACCUUCUAUGUUGGAGAGACGACACAUUACAGGUGGUAUUGUUAGGAUUCGGCUCCACGUAUUCCUUGUGUUCAUUAUAGUGCUUGUGGAUUUUCUCCCAAUACUUGUUAGCCUUCUGCUCUUUGCCACUUAUGGGGUCCAAGCUUAUCGCCAACCAAGAUUUAACCAACAGAACAACCUCAAUUGUUGUGAAUGUCGUACCUAUUGCCUUGCUUUUCUUUGCCCUUUUCUUCUUAGUGCUCGAUGUGCCCCAACAUAAAAAGUAGGAUAAUUUGGAUCCCACAAGGCACAUACUCCAUAGGGUCCGUAGGCUCUUGCCCCUCAUUGAUCAUGUUUGACAUGAAGUUUUCCUAAAAUAAUCAUGAUUCCAAAUAAACUAACGUAAUAUGCAACUACUUGAUUCAAUGGGAUAUGCAACUAACUAAUCCACAACAUCAUAGUUAAUAUAACGAAUGAACCAGUAGAAAAUGGAGCAAAAUUUGUACUGUCUCCUGACGGAUCAUUUCGUCCAACAGGAACCGGGCAGAUUAGGCAUUCUGUCUCCAUGGACGAAUUUUUCUAUGAUCUUUGUUGAGAUCAAAGUUUAUGUUAAUUCCCAUCGUAUCGCGACAACUGCUUAGCGGGGCCGGUAUGGUCCACCAAUAACGGAGUCACAUCCGGCAGAUCUCGGGUAGCGAGUCCCGAGCUAAGUGUGGCCCACCAAUGACAGACUAAAAUCCAGUAGAUCUCGGGUAGGGGGUCCUAAGCUAAGUGUCUCAACGCGGUGGUAAUGUGUGCACGGGUUUUCGCACAGGUUCGGGCUCUCCUAAGAGAUAAAUCCCUACGUCUUGUUGUACUACUUUGGGAUGAAUUACAAGGUUUCGGUGAUCUACCUUGACAUUGUUGUGUGUUUCUAGAUUUGAUGAUGUAAGUUGCGUUCUAUUGUCUAGCCCAGCCUCGGCUUAUAUACGAAUAUCGGAUGACUAGGAUUAGAGGAGUCCAAAUCGCCUAUGUUGUUGGAGAAGAGUCCUCCACGGAUAAGGAGUGCUUGAACGACAAGACUUCUUGAUUUUCCUUGGAGAUCGCCAUGGGCCGCCCAAAGUGGCCCAGGACAGAACCGACAAGGGGGUCCUUAGCGAGGCUCACCUGGCCGGGAGUCAUCAUGGUGAGAGGCCCUCUAGCCAGGACACCGUCACUCAGGGCGUAUGUGUUGGGAAAAGUAGUAGAAAAAAAGAAGAUGUGUCGGUGUAGAUCGCACUGGGAGUUCCUCGGUCCCUUCAAGGGAAGACCGAAAGCGCGACCUCUCUACAAGUUACAAGUGUACAGUCUUCACGAUCCAGCAUCGCUUUGCCAUCUAGAGCUAAUUGUCGCCGGAGAAUUAGAGGAAGGAGAUUAGAACCACAUUGGGCUUCUAAUUAUAAGGAUUAGAGGAUCUAGCUCUAGCUCUAAUUGAUCAACUAGGACCAACUAGAAGUAGAACUAGAGAAUUAGAGGAGGCUCUAAAACUUGUCUCUCUCAAUGGGGAAAAUCCUCUAGUAUAUAUAGGUUUGAGGGGAGAGGAGGGGCGCCAUACAUGGGUGAAAGGGCUCCCCCCUUGUGCUGGCCUAGAGGGGGAGGAGGAGUCCUCCCCCUAGUCCAAUUCGGCCUCCCCAAAUGGGAAAGGGGGCGCCUCCCCAUUUGGGCCCUUGUGGCCCGAUCCUCCUUCCACUUCUUGGCCUUUUAAUACCUGUAAAAGCCUCCUAGUAAUUACUAGAGCCUUUUAUUAUUAAUUUAACAUCUCUGGAAACAUUUUUCCACCUAUAUAUUAUUUAUCGGUAAUACCCGGUAUUGCCCGAUAAACUCUGAAAUCCUUUCGGUGACUCUAAAACUCUUCCGGUACCUCUCGAAACUAUUUCUAAUACUAAGAAACUAUUUUAAGAAUAAAUCCUCGAUACUCAAGUCCUACUAACACUCUGCAAAUCGUAAUUACAUUAAGCGUGUGACCCUGUAGGUUUGGUUAAACAUAUACAUGAACAAAAACCCCUUUGUUCAAAGACCGAUAGCGGAAACAUGGGCGUAUGUAUCGAUUCCUAUGAGUACAUGAAUGAUAUUCGAGCGAACCUUUGGUUAUCAUGUGUUAUUCCUUUUGCUUCGCAACAAUGUACAAAACCCGAGAUGUAUCUGUAUCUUCUUGAGUCAUACACGUGCUCACUAUACCGAUCUUCUCGUUACCAGUUUUCUUCUUCUUUCUCAUUAAUAUGUUCCAGCAUCCCUGUGACAUAGUCACCUGUGUCUGACCAAACGAUGAUAUAUGCCAUCACACCGAGAGGGACCUAAGAAUUUAUCUCCGUCAUCGAAGGAGAAAAUUCCACUCACGAGUUAUCUAGUCCCUUGUCAAACUUUCAGAUGAACAUGUAAGUUUUUGUGAUGAUCAUCGACGUUUGAGCAAUCCCAAAGUCCGCCCUACGGUAAGAAGUGACUACGAUUAUCUCAUGGUCUAAGGAACUAAAACACAUGUUAACACUUCAUGUUAUAAUAAUUGCUUUCAGAACAUAUCAACUCAAAGUAUAACAAACAAGUUUGGGUCGAUUCAACAUGGUCGUUCUUCUAACGUCAUACUCUGUUUUUUUAGGACUAUCGUUACACUUAACGAUAUCCUAAGAUCUGGAAAACAUGAUCACCAACAACACUUGAGCUAGUCUUAGAGGCGAGAUUAGGAAUCUUAUUUUACCUUUUGUCAUUCCACACGUGCAUAUUAGUUUUUCACUGGAUCGCACAUUUCAGGAUCAUCACAGUUAUAGCGUAGAAUAUAAACUCUUAAUCAUGAAUAUGAAAAUACAAUAUUAUUGCUUCUAGUGCAUAGUUCCAACACCAGUAGGCCUCGUGGCGGCCUUGUCACAGCGGUCGGUGCAAGGACCCAUCUUGAAGAUAAAUUAUAAUCUUGGCAUGCAAGCCAAGAACCCUCAUGGCAAGGUCGGUUAGGAUUCCUAUAAAACCUAGCUCUUGCUGCCCAUUCAUAAGGCGAGACUAGGGUUAGUUCGAGGCAUUUGUUCCAUUCUACAGACCUCGAUAGUACUCAUCAUCCUCCACGUGUAACCCCCUCGCACGAGGUGCUCCCACAUAUCAAUCCAAAACAAACUAGGAGUAGAAUAUUACCUUGAUCAUGAAGGCCUGAACCUGGGUAAAACGACCCAUGCAAACUCCCUUCUAGUACUUCCGGCUACGCUCUCCAGCCUACUGAGGGCACUGGCGGUUUUCUGCACCAUCAAUUAAUUAAACAUACAAAAGUAAUUACCAUAAAAAUGGUGUAAAUGUUUCAUUGUGAAUGGAACUUAAUUCGUUGAUAUGAUGGACACCAUAAGUUUUGUAAAAUGUAGAAGUUAAUUACUUAGUUUUGAAGCAUCGUCGACAUCUGGCAAUCUUAAAAUUGCUAAUCACAUAUGUUGAUUCAAUCAUGUGCCUUACAAUAAAACAUAUACCAACAAAAACUGCAUACCUAAAAGCUAAAACAAAAAAACCAUUUGGGCCAAAAUAAGCCCAAUGGAAGUGGCACAGUCCACUUCCUUUUUCGUUUUUCUAAUUUUUGGGGAAAGGGGGGACGUGGGCUGCAACCCACUUGAUCUUAUCACCCGGGUUGUUAGGGUUGGGGUUGCCAAACACUUGUACCGAUGAGGGGUCCUAGUCUGCGAUUUCAGUAUUGGGAACUCUCUUGGCGCCCACCACUGCUCUUUUCGCUUGUUCCCACAUGUCAUAUGUCGUUCGAUCCAGUUUUUUAUCUGCUCGAUUUUCUUCUCCCUGCUCUCUUACAUUUCAUGAACUUCAAAAAAUAUGAAAAAUAAAAAAAUGAAUUAGAAAUAGUUCAGAGGGUAGAUUAUUGACCAGCUGACCGUUAACCUUUCAUCUCUGACCAGAUCCUUUGUCCGUAGUUUUUUUUGGAAAAAAUCAUGUAUAUGAGAAAAAUAUCACAAAAAUUGACAAAAGAUCAUAAGUUUGAAAGAAGUUUGUAAAAUUUAAAAAAUCCAUGAUUCUAGUUUGGAAUUUUUUCAUAGAUUUGAAAUUGUUCAUAAAGUUAAGAAAAAUUUCACGGGUUUAAAAAUAAAGUUCAUCAAUUUGGAAAAAAAUAUUGAUUCGGAAUUGGAGAAAACAUCAUGAAUUCAAAUAAUGUUCACAAACUUGUGAAAAAUAUCUUGAAUUUGAAAAAAUUUCAUAGGUUCAAGGAAAGUUCACGAAUUUGAAAAGAAAAGUUCAAGAAUUUUGAAAGAAUCCCAAUUUGGGAAAGUUUAUGAAUUUAUUUUUUCUAUUUUCUUAAAAGUUCAUGCAUCUGAAAAAAUGAAAAAUGAAAACAGAAAAACCGUAAAAAUGGUCCAAAGCUUGAAAAAGCUUCCAAAAACCGGGACGAGUGACUCCCGCAAAAGUGCAUUACGUGGGCUGGCCGAACUGCUUGGGUAGUGAGCGUCGCAUAUGAACAGAACAUUAUCUGGUACGUUAAGCGUCAUAUAGGAUUUGUGUCUCCCGAUCCCCUUCUCCCUAUUGUUCGCCAUUAAGAUUUGUUUCAUAUGAGUUACCAAAGAGGCAACGAGACAAUAAUCAUUGUAAGUUGUACACCAUAUUCUCAUUAUUUCUUCACAAGGCUUUUGAGGGUGUUUCGGCUACUUAUCAAAUAUAUUUUUUCUCACAUUUUUCCUAUGGUUUUUUGGGUGAAAUUCUGAUAAUUAUACAAACGAUUCGAGAUAGUACAUAAAAACAAGAAUAUUCGUUGUAUAGGGAGGAGCUAGUGUGAAUUGUACGAUUCUUGGUUACAUCGCAUUGCACACNNNNNNNNNNNNNNNNNNNNNNNNNNNNNNNNNNNNNNNNNNNNNNNNNNNNNNNNNNNNNNNNNNNNNNNNNNNNNNNNNNNNNNNNNNNNNNNNNNNNNNNNNNNNNNNNNNNNNNNNNNNNNNNNNNNNNNNNNNNNNNNNNNNNNNNNNNNNNNNNNNNNNNNNNNNNNNNNNNNNNNNNNNNNNNNNNNNNNNNNNNNNNNNNNNNNNNNNNNNNNNNNNNNNNNNNNNNNNNNNNNNNNNNNNNNNNNNNNNNNNNNNNNNNNNNNNNNNNNNNNNNNNNNNNNNACUAAUGGCACAACCACAAGAUGGCAUAAACAUGAUGCCCAGAGUAGAGAGGAAUGUGACGCUUGGUAAAACAGAAGCUGCAACACUGCGCAAAACUACCCAAGCAAAGAACAUGUCCCAAAUAUCAAAAUCUAUCGCUGGGCAUGCCACGAGCAAUCAAGACGAUGCCUUCAUGAAGAAAAACAAUGCCGUGACACACAAGCUUUGCAUAUUUAUGAAAAAUGUAUAUGGUUAAGUGCUCUUUUUUUGCUUAUAUUGCUUAAGCAACAGUAUGUGUAGUUCAACCCAGGUGUAUAUGUAUAUCCCGCCAAUUAUAUCGUCAAUAACGAUUAUGAAUCCAUCCAUUCAUCUAUCUCUCACACUCUUUAGUUUUCGCUUGUAACACGACCGAAGAGACUAGCGCACCACAACCAUAAACCAAUGUUGGCCUCUUGUGACCUUUCGAUUGCGCCCCGCAAUGCAGGUGGUGUUGCUGCGUUAUGCUGUCUCAAAUGUGCGGAGCCUUUCGAUUGUGUCGAUGGUGCAGUGUCAUGGUCUUGUCUGCUAGGCGAUGCCGACUUCGCCCGUGGCACACAGGCGCCGUGGCGUCGUCUCGGCCUCGCGUGACCUUUCGUAUGCACCCUCGGCACAGGUGGUGUCGUGGCGUUGUGCAGUCUUUGAUGUGUGAAGCCUUUUGAAUGCGUCGAUGGUGCGGUGUCCUGGCUUGCUCGGCUGGCCAAUGCCGUUCGAUCACAUUGGUGGUGCUCUGUGUUGUGUUGGGUUGUGUCUUCCCUCUUUGUUGGUAUGUUGUGGUGUGUGUUGUUUUUGCUUUAUCUCUCCUCCUCCUGUUCCCCUGUAAUUCUGCUGCACUUGAACCUAAAAGGCAGUGGGGCGGUCACCUACCUUUGGAUGCCUCGCAUGAAUUCAAUGAACUCGUCCGCUAGCUUCCGCGUACCACCCACCGAGCAGAGCCAGCGAGCAACCAACACCGGCCAACUACCCACUGGAGUUGAAUGCAGGACGUCCAAAGUAAUGCAGGACGUCCAAAGUGUGCCCGUAAACCAUUCUGCUGACCGUAGUCAUGGCGAGCUGGUGCAAUUCAGUGCAUGCUCUAGCUGUAGGGUAGAGUGUUCAACUGAUUGUUACAGCGGCCGUGGGCGAUUCAUUAGACGGCUCCCGGCAGGUGAGUGGUUCGUUUGCAGUGAUGGACGUCCUCGCAUUUCACUUAUUGCCCCUGCAUCUUUCUUUAAUCGCUCACCUGCUCCGUCGGCGGCGAUGGCCGCGUACGCUCCCUACGUGUCGCCGCAUGGCAUGCACAUGGCCGGCUCGGGCCACGGCGAUGCGUGGCUAGCUAUAAAUAGCCCAGCCGGGAGCUCCUAGAUCGAUCUCCACACAACUACCAGUACACUCCACUCCCAUCACACACACGGACACACCUGCGAGAGCGUGAGCCAUGGCGUCCAUGGGGAAGAAGCAGGUGGUGGCGGCGCUGAUGCUGGUGCUGGUGGUGCUGGCGGCGGCGCCGGGCGGGGCGCACGCGGCGUGCCAGGCGUCACAGCUGGCGGUGUGCGCUUCGGCGAUCCUGUCCGGGGCCAAGCCGAGCGGCGAGUGCUGCGGCAACCUGCGGGCGCAGCAGCCGUGCUUCUGCCAGUACGCCAAGGACCCCACCUACGGGCAGUACAUCCGCAGCCCCCACGCGCGCGACACCCUCCAGUCCUGCGGCCUCGCCGUCCCGCACUGCUAGGCGCCGGCAGGCCCCUGGCGCACAUGGCAAGCUAGCUGCCUCAGUGACCAUGAGAGCGUCAGACUAUAGCUAGCCUAUCUGAGUGCCUACGUGUUGCGUCCAUGAAAGCAUCUUCCUGUCAACCAUGUGGUUCGACUUUGAUGAUGCUGGAAUAAAAAUAUAAAAUGUUGGGUGAUGAUCUACGGCAGCCAUGUUGCUUCUUGGCUGCUGCUGCUGGUAAUAAAAUUUGUGUUGCAACUUGAUGAGAUCGGCUGAGUUGUGUUCAGUGACCAAACCAAACUGCCCCUAUCAUAGAAUUGGUAAAUCUAGUGGUGCGGUAUGUAACGGCGAAGAAUCAACCGUUAGUGUUAUGGUCAAGAAUGGUGCAGUGACUAGGUACAAGAGGUUUGAAUGGAAUACAUAGAAAUGCUUGUGGGCCCUCUGCAUGCACCAUAACUUUUUUCAAGUCACAGUGAAGGGGGGAAUGAUUGCAUGUAUGCUAAGUAUUCUUUCUCUCUAUCCUGUACAACAUACUUUUAUUUUAUUUUUUAAACGAAUUUCUUAUAGAUCUUCCCUAAAUCAAAAGAAUGUUCUCAUUUUUUAGUAAUAUUUCAAUUCACAGCGAGAAGAUCUUCGAAACAAAACAAAUCAUUGAUAAAAACAUGAACCAGUUUUUAUUUUAUUGUUGCUAUCCCAUUUGAACUAGUUUUAGUAAUUUACUCUUUCAAUUGUAUUUGAAAUCAUUGUCACAUAUUUAAAAAACCAUUUCAUAGAUUAAAAAUUAUUAGUUUCACACACUGAAAUAAACAUUUUAGGAAAAUAUAAGUAAGUUUCAAACAAAAAAAUAUGUUUUAUAUAUUAAAUUAUAAGUUCAAAUACUGAAAUAAGAAACUUCAGAAAAUACAAAUAUUUUUCUCAUUAUAUAGUUAUUUACAGCUAGCUAGCAGAACAACUAGAACCCUAGCUGGGCAUAUUGGUUGGCUUCGGUGUGCUCUGCCUACGGCACAAAAGUUGGCGAUCAGCACUUGGAUGCGCGCAAAAUGCUGGACUUGCAUAAAAUUUUGUAUGGGUUCGACCUUGAAUCUACAAAGGGUGUGUCGUCACAUAUAUCCUCCCCCACACCCCACCCCGCCAACAAAAAAGUCAUAUUUCGCGCAUAUAGGCAAACUAGAUGAUAUCCCGCGCGUUGCUGCGGGAAUCAGUUGCAACAUAUAUCAAUAGAAUAUAGCUACAUGAAACAUUAAUAUUUAGAUUAAUUAUAUGAGAACUAAAACUGAAUUAAUAUAAGUAAUCUUUUCCCAUGCACUGUUGCAUGUACAUGUUGCACUUUACCCAUGCAUGAUUGCACAUUAAGGUGGCAUAGUUGCAUGUUGAGAGAAAUAUAUUAGUGGGAUCACCUACUUAGUUAUAGUAGUAUAUAACAUUAGUAUCCAUAUAAUAUAGAUUUUGAAACCAAAUGGUAAUAUCACUCAACUGUUAGAAAUGUUGAUUGAAAAAUGAUAAAUCGAUAGCAUGUAAUGGACAAAUGCAGAAAUUAAUAUAUAUUCUAUUUAGCACGUGAACAGCUUGAUUGAUUGACAUUUGCAGAUGUGUAGAAAAAGGUAAUAUUGAUAAGUUGGUCAAAUCUGGCAGUCUACCAGUGUAGCACAAACUAAUUCGUGCACAUUGCCCUGUUUGGUCCACAUCGAUAAUUAACCAAUCUAGGCGACAUAAUUAUUUUUUAAUUGGUCUUGCAAUAAUACUACCCAAUCAGAUACACAAAUUAAAUAAAAUUGCAUGCAUAUACUUUUGUUUCUAGUAUAACCAUCUCACUCAAGUAAAAAAAAAAUACCAAACUUGUCUCAUUAGGCAGGCCGCAUGCCAUCGAAUGGGUGUAGUGCAACAACAUAUGGAUUAAUCAUGGAGUGGCAAGCUUAAAAAAAGGUACAAAAAGACCAAUUAGGCAGCAGCAAAAAUUCGUCGCCUAGAGGUAGCAACGCAUUAGGAGUCUGAUCCAUGCAAACUGUAGUGAUUCAAUACAGAAAAGGAAACAGUCAGGCCGAGAUAAAUUGAAUGAGUAACUGAACAAAAAAAGGAUGUGUUUUUACCUAGUACUUGUACCACGUAUUAGAAGGGGAGCAAACGCCAUGGCCAUCAACAAAUGUUACGGUUUAAAAAGCACGCAUGUGUUUUGCAGGUCCACAUUAUCCCAAUAAUUUAUAGAGAAAACAGAUAUGAGGGAAACCUUUUGAUCUGACGUAGAGCGACCAUGACAGCUAUAGCACCAGAGUAGUGGCCACUGUAUGUCUCCAUUGCCAACGACCAGGAUCUGAAGGGGAUGCAAGCACACAGUGAAUCCAGAAGCGAGUAACGAUUCAAUGCCAAGACGAAUUACCUGAGGGGAAGUUAGGGGGUAAACAUGUUAGAGAAUUCACAUCUGAUCUUUUGAAGCCGGAGUAGAAGUUUGCCAGCAUCACCUGCGGCGCACAGAACAUGGGAAGGGAAGUGCCUCGGUGUUGAUCACAUAUGAGGAAGAUCCAUAGAGGGGUUCGCUAGGCUUGUGGACGGUGGCGAACCGGCGGCUGACCGCUCCACUACCUUGUUGCUUUCAUGGCUGCAUGUGAUGUACUUAUGGGAGGACGAAACGGCUGGGGGAUUGAUGGGAUAGUGAAACCACAGGCUGCUAAAAUUCUUUGGGACCAUAAAUGUCACGGUUAACUAUUGGAUUUCGGAGCAAAUCUAGUGCGCUCCAGUAAUCAGAAGCUGAAAGGAAGUUGUAUUUUCACCACUACUAGAAAAAAGGCUGUUAGUGGCGCAUCAGUUUUUUCUAUUAAUGGCGCACUAUAGGUGCGUCAUUAUUAACAAAUAGUAAUGGCGCACCAGAAGUGCGCCGUUACUAUCACAGAUACUAAUGGCACACCUAUAAUGCAUCAUUACAGUGCCUAGAAGUGCGCCAUUACUAUCUGACUUAGUAAUGGCGCACCACAUAGAAGUGCACCAUUACUAACAAAUUUUUUUCAAAUUUUUUUUAGGAAAAAAAUUUUCAACUUUUUUUCAGAAUUUUUUUUUUUCGUUUUUUUCUUAAUCUCGGGUCACUAUGGCUUAAUCUCAGGUCAAUAUGCUUAAUUUCAAGUCAAAUCGCACUCCGUGGUCAAACUUCCCGGAAAGUCACCCAUCCUCACAUUACUCCAGCCCGAGCACACUUAACUUUAGAGUUCUAUCCAACCCCAGCAUCAGCUCACUUAACAGGCACUUGUUGAUAUAUCUAUCAUAUCAAUCCUAUUAAACCUUUUUUGACAUUUCCAUCAUUUUCUUUUAUUUUUUCUAAAACUGAAAAGGCGGUCCAGGGGGUGUGUGUGUGUGCAUUUGGUGAAAUUUUCGGCCACCUAGAAAGUUAGUAAUGGCGCACCUUCGCAAAGUGCGCCAUUACUAUGUGUAUGACUUGGGCAAACCUUGGUCAAAGUUGGUAAUGGCGCACUUUGUGUAGGUGCGCCAUUACUAAGUUUGACAUAGUAAUGGCGCACCUAUGCAAAGUGCGCCAUUACUAAGUUUGACCAAGGUUUGACCCAGUCAUACACNNNNNNNNNNNNNNNNNNNNNNNNNNNNNNNNNNNNNNNNNNNNNNNNNNNNNNNNNNNNNNNNNNNNNNNNNNNNNNNNNNNNNNNNNNNNNNNNNNNNNNNNNNNNNNNNNNNNNNNNNNNNNNNNNNNNNNNNNNNNNNNNNNNNNNNNNNNNNNNNNNNNNNNNNNNNNNNNNNNNNNNNNNNNNNNNNNNNNNNNNNNNNNNNNNNNNNNNNNNNNNNNNNNNNNNNNNNNNNNNNNNNNNNNNNNNNNNNNNNNNNNNNNNNNNNNNNNNNNNNNNNNNNNNNNNNNNNNNNNNNNNNNNNNNNNNNNNNNNNNNNNNNNNNNNNNNNNNNNNNNNNNNNNNNNNNNNNNNNNNNNNNNNNNNNNNNNNNNNNNNNNNNNNNNNNNNNNNNNNNNNNNNNNNNNNNNNNNNNNNNNNNNNNNNNNNNNNNNNNNNNNNNNNNNNNNNNNNNNNNNNNNNNUGUGAAGGUGCGCCAUUACUAUGUCAACUUAGUAAUGGCGCACCUAUACAAAGUGCGCCAUUACUAUGUGUAUGACUGGGUCAAACCUUGGUCAAACUUAGUAAUGGCGCACUUUUCACCUGGUGCGCCAUUAGUAAUAUGGCCAUUAAUGGCGUACCUAUAUCUGGUGCGCUACUGCUAUAUAGCAGUGGCGCACCACAUACAUGGUGCGCCAUUAAUGUUCAUAUUAGCUAUAGCCGUUUUUCUAGUAGUGCACCGUGGGAACACUUCAUGACAUGGCUUGAUGUGGUGUUAUGCAUGUGCAAAAUUAGUGGUCGAACUGAACUGAUGAUGUGGAGGGCCUGCAUGUCAAGAGAAAUGAGGUACUGGGGAGCUCCUAUUUAGAUAUAGUAGAUUGGAACAGAGCAUUAUGGUUGGGUAUAACUUGCGAAUGAAAACUGCGUUUCAUUAAAAGUGACAUGGCGGGAGAGAACUACACGACCUGUGGGUAGAUGUAGGCAGCGAUAGUCUUUGUGGGAGUCAGAAUAAGCGAGAAAGACACACAACAAGGUUCUGGGGGAGAGUUUGUUAUCAGAACUUGCGGCUAGAUUUGGGAAACACGGACAGCCAAAAAUACGUAGAUCGGCGUAGGUUAGCUGAGCGAGGAAGAGGGACUGCAAGGGGAGAAACGCGGGCAAGUUUUUGUGGGCCAAAUAUUUAGUAAAUAGGUGGCAUAGCGAAGGGCUUCAACUUAAUAUUGAGGAGGCAUGGAGGCUUGAAGCAGAAGAAUGCGGAGAAUAUUGUUGAUAGAGCGAAGAGAACGUUCAGCUUUUUCGUUUUGGGGCGAGGUAUAGGGGUAAGAGAAUCGUAGAAGAAUACCAUGGUGAAGGAAGAAAUCACGGUUGCGUGAGUUAUCGAACUCACUGCCAGUGUCGCAUUGUAGGGAACGAAUAGGGAGAGAGAAGUGAGCUGACACGCGACAUUGAAAAUUAGCAAACAAACUAUGAACAUCCAAUUUUGCACGAAGAGGAAAGGUUUAUAUGAAGUCAGAGUAAUCAUCUAAAACAACAAGAUAAUAUUUGAAACCGGAAACACUAAGGGUAGGUGACCUCCUGGGUGGUAAGGGAGUUCAUUGCAGCAUGAAAGCAGCCUCAUCCCAAGUCGGCGCGGUUAAAGUCGAUGCAUAUGUAGUGGACUGGACGGCUGAGGAGAUGGUGUCGCUGCCUGUGCCGCUUGCUCCCAGGAUGGCGGUGGAGGUACAUGGACGAUGCCAUCGCAGCCGCAGCAGCCUAGUAGAGGGGUGCAUAGGCAGUGUAGGCAUGUGGCGGAGGAGGGGAGCCAAGGAGACCAAGAGCACCGAUGGAUGGGCGAAGCCCGGGCACCCAGGUGCCACUGCACGCCGGAGGAGCGCCGUAGGGUGAAGGCGUUGUCCAGGGCAUGGGGCCUGCAUAAGCCCCGUCCAUGGAUCAUGCUGAGGGCGCCAUGAGGAGAGCAUCGGUGAGGAGGGCACCGGAGCUCUCGCUGCGGGCGUGGACAUUGGUGUCGAAGCCGACGAGGAGGAUGGCGAUUCGUGCUUGGGCAGUCGGUAGAUUGGGUUUUUGCCCUUGUAGUUGGGGCUCGGUUGCCAGCCGGGCGGCGAGUCAGGGCCGGAUGUCGCCGGCGGUGGAGCCGGAGGAGAUGGAGCAGGGCGGGCCGCGGUGUCGAAGAGGUGCGGGGUACUGGCCUUGCGCGCCUGAUUCUGCUCCUCCAUUCGGAGAAUGGAGCGGGCCUCGGCAAGUGUCGGCAAAUGACAGAGGAGCGGGAUGAAGGUCGCCUGCCGGGCGUACCGGUUGUCGAGGCCGCCCAUGAGUGCUGAAGAAAGCAACCACCUCACCGAGUUCGCGGAGCUCGUCCCCGAUAGCCUUGAUGCAUUGGCAGAAGACACCAACAGGGCAAUCACCCUGUGUAAUGGUGCGGAGCUUGGUGUUGAGAGAGGAGACACGGGCAUCACAGUUGUCCUGAAACACCAGCCGUAGUUCGAUCCAAAUGUCGUGAGUAGUCGCGCCGUCGGUGACCACGAGGUUAAAGAGCUCGGUGGAUAUGCGUGUGUACAACCACUGGAUAAGAGCAAGAUCAUCGAGCACCUAGGGUUGUGCGGGGCUGGUUGUGAGUCGCCAGAUAUGUGGUGAAGGAGAGAACAACGGCCCAGGUGAAUCUCAAAUAGAUGUUGCGAGUGGUAAUAUUCAUGGCUAUGGAGAUCCAGAACGAUCGGGAUGAAGGGGUGAUGCCAAUAGUGUCGCUGAAAGAGAGGGAGGAGGGAAUGGUGAGAGUGGCCGGUGGCGGAGGGGGCGGUGCACUGUAGUUGGUGGGAAGAGUUGGCUGGCCGCCGGUGGUGGUGGGAAUAGUUGGCUGGCUGCCGGUGGUGGUGGGAAGGGUUGGUUGUCCACCUGUGUUGGUCAUGGCGACCGUGGGAGGGAAGGAGAGAACCAGGUGUCUGAUACCGUGAAGAUUGAAAGAUUCAAGGCUUAGUUUGGCAGCAUAGUUUUUGAAAAGCCAAAGUAUUCUAAAACCACAGUAUUUUGAUGUGUGGGAUGUGUGGGUAACAAAUACUUUGGUUUCUUAAAAACGUAGUUUCUCUCAGUUUUGUCCAGUUCACCGAAGUGUCUGGGUGGUAUUGUUUUGCUGCAGUUUUUACUACAUUGCCAAAUCAGCAUGUGCUAACUCUGCUACACCUAAAGAGCAACACGACCGGAUUAGUCAGCAAGUGCUAACAGCUGCCAGCUGCAUGUAGCCUUGCCAUGCACGAGGUCUUCCAGACCUCCUGUUUGCGAGUGUGCGCUUCAAUGGCCAACAAUCUACUCCAUGAGCUAGCUUGGCUCGAGACGUGCGGCACUGCCAGAACCCAGAAAGUAAUCGGCAACCAGUGAAUUGUUUAAAUAAGAAGUAGGAGUAACAGACAGAGGAGUCGAAGGCAGCGAUUAGAUUUUCUGAUGUGUACGUCAACAGGCUGAGUGCUCUCCCCGACAACUUCUCUAGGUUCGGUUUAGAAAAAAGUGGCCGCGACCUCUUUUUUAAACAGUAUGAGAGAUACCAGAGUAUCUUAAACCACAUUAUUUUUUUAAGCCAAAAACCUCAAAGCAUUUAAAUACCAAAGUUUUUUCAGAAACCACGGUAUUCCUAAAAAAACUCCGUAAAUGGUUCACUCCCAAACGCACCCUUGUGUUCUGUAUUGCAUUCCAAAAUACAGGUGAGCAGAUACAUAUAGGGUGCUGGGUGCAACCGCAGUAGCAGAGACGUAUAGCCGAUCGGUGUGCUGAUCGUGGGAGUAUAGGAGUGGACGAAGUCCACGCACUAACAGAGAGGAGGGAGGCACGUUGGCUCAGCGGCGCUCUGGGGAGAGUGCGGCGGCGGUAGUGGUGGGUAGGAUCGGGGAAGAAGGUCGCCGGGUCACGGUCGUGAUUUCGGCUGGGCUUAUUUUCCGCGUACCGAAUUGGGAAGUUGUGACUCGCAGGAUCCAAGAUAGACGGCAUCCACUGCGUUUGGCAGUUUUGCAAAUAAAAAAUAAAAUUGGCGUGCCAAAUACAUAUCUCAAUAGAUAAAUAGAUAGAUAGACACAUACAUGUCGCCUAAAAAAACAUACAUACAUACAUACAUACAUACAUACAUACAUACAAGGUAUUAACUAGUUAUUCAUAUAUUAAUCAACUUUCGUAAAUCAGUACGUGUGGGAAUUUUUCUUAUAGAUCCGUCUUUGCAAAACUUGAGAUGUGAAUCAGAACCACUUAGAGAUCGAUCUUGUUUCCAAGAAACAAAAGAUGGUAAAAGUUCAAAUGCAAUUUGCCAAACCAAAUACUACGUAGGAACAGUUGCUACAUUAUUAAUAGUUACUCUUAUUGCACACAACAGACAUUAGUAUUUCUUGCACAAGCAAAUCUGCUGUAAGCAAAUUCAAAAAAUUAAGGAGCAUGUACAGGAGGAGGGGAUGUCAUCGCCACUAGUAUGUCUUGUGAAGACGAUGGGUUUUUGCAAUCUGACUUGCAGUUAUCCAUAGAUUUUGAAGCAAGGAGAAAGCAAUCCGGAAAGAAAAGCACCAAUUCAUGUGUAGGAAGCAUCGAUUUAUAUGGAAGCAAGCUACAUACUACUAUACUAAAGACCUAUGUUAAAAGGACUAGCAAUCAACCUGCUGAAAUCCAGCGGCGGAAUCAGAGGUAACCAUCAUUAACUAGUUUCAGUUUUGGGAACACUCAACGGGGGAAGGUGCCUUGCUUAUCCAACGGGUGCAUGGGAUCCAAUCCGACGCCUCUCUACUGGUCUGAUAGAAUGCUAGGCAUCAGCAGUCUAAUGCCUAGCGGUUCCCUUUCCUAAUACACCCCAUAUCAACAUCUUCCGGGAGAGGAUUGACUAUCAGCAAGCUUUUUCAUAACUCGUUCUUUCAACUUAUGCCAUGGGUUUCGAGCUCUUCGGAGUCCAUAAGAUGUUACUCAAAGUACCCACUAGGCAAUGAAGCCUGGCGUUAUCAGCCGCUACCACUGAUGUUUAUGAGCAUCCGUUACCACAGUAAUGGAUACAAAUUAUUAUACAUUAAGGGACAUGUAACAUAGCUAGCUUAGGGGGACAUGGGGUAGGGUACAUCAAACUCUAUAAAAGCCUACCCCGCUUCCGCCCGGCUACAGGCUCGGAACUCAUGUAUUCUCAAACUCAUACACACUAACACCCUCUGCGAGAUAGGACUAGAGUUGUUGCGAGAUAGGACUAGAGUUAUUACCUCCAUCGUCGAGGGGCCUGAACUCAUGUAUUCCCCAUGAUGUAGUUGCGGCACGGCGACAUGUCGAUCUGCGUCUGCAUGCACCCGCUCGUCGUCGACUUCGCUGAGGCCAGGAUCGCCACAACGAUGAGCACCGCUGCGGCGAGCAUGGACGCCGCCCUCGCUGCCAUUCUUGCUCCCCUUCCUUGCUUGAACACCACCGGCCGUCUCUCUCCCUCUCUCUAGGUACCGUAGUGGUUGCCUUGCCUUGGUUUGUGCCUAGCUCUUCUCUUGCUUUAUAUAUAGGCGGAGAAGGUGGCAGCAGGAACAAGACACGACCGAGAUCGAGGGUGGUUUGGCACCACGACAUGAAUGUCUGGUGUUCCUCGCGGAUAUUGAUUGUUUUCUCUUCUAGAGAAUUAAUUAUACCAAACACCCCAAAUCAACCUCUUCCGAGAGAGGAUUGACUAUCACCAAGCUGCCCCAUAACUAGUUCUUUCAACUUAUGCCACGGGUUUCUAGCUCUUCGGAGUCCAUAAGGUGUUACUCGAACUACUGAAGCCUGGCGUUAUCAGCCACUACCACGGAUGUUUAUGAGCGUCCGUUACCACAAUAAUGGAUACAAAUUAUUAUACAUUAAGGCACAUGUAACAUAGCUAGCUUAGGGGGGCAUGGGGUAGGGUACAUCAAUCAAACUCUAUAAAAGCCUACCCUGUAUUCUCAAACUCAUACGCAAUAACACCCUCUGCGAGAUAGGACUAGAGUUGUUGCGAGAACCUCCACCGUUGAGGGGUCUGGAUCUGUAUACAUCUUUCCAUCCCACAUUCUAUCUUGAUAGAUCAAGCUCUUUUCCUCUAUCCCUCUUACUGUCAGAUUUAGCACCACGACAUUUUUUUCUUCUAUCAAAAAGGUGGUUAGACCCCCGGCCUCUGCAUCAAUCGAUGCAUACAGUCAUCUUUAUUAGUUAUUCAACAAAGGUCUGACAAGAACAUACAUCAAGCAACCCGAAACCACCACCCACACCUACAGACUCGAUAAUAUGGAGUGCUCUCACCCUUCAUAUCUAAAACCAGUGUCAUCGCCGAUCCAUCCACAUAACGUAUCGGAACCAACAGCCGGUGCAGAAGACCUAAAGCGCACAUCACAUGCACACGUUUUAGAAGCCGUCAUCAUCAUCGUGCCACUGACCCAUCUUCAGGAUAGAGAUCCGCAUCAUCCUUACCAGUCCAGACAACCGUCGACGUCACCACGCCGCGGCGCCACCGCCCUGCGUGUCCAUCUAGACGCGAAGACUCUGAAAGAUCUGUCGUGCGUAGCACCUGCCGACCAGGCAUGACACAACGUAGCACCUGUCGGCCAGGCAUGACUUGGCAUCUCCACCGAAGCUCCGUGCAAGACUAAGCCGCUCCACCUCCUGCCUCUGUCUUCCAGCGCUGCUCCACAAACGGUGCUCCCAAAAGAGGAACGACACCGUAGUACCGUCAUCGUCCGAUCUGGAUUACCAGAUCUUAGAGUUUCCCCCGAAGCAGCACGAGUGAGUCGACAUAUAUUACACGACGAUGCCUUCAUGAAGGUAACGACGCAAGACGCCGCCAUCGCCCCGCCAUCGGCUUGGUUUUCACCGGAAACUCUGUUUUCCCAACUCACAACCGGGACUAGAUGACGGAUCUGGAGAUCCGACCACCCAGCCUCAGGCUGACCAUCUCUGACGGAGGAGGUGGCCACCACCGCCACACCCAGGGCCGCAGCCCCCGCCGACGUCCUCGAGUUGCGGGUCGAUCCCAGGGACAGCAAGCCAUUGACGGAACGGUAGACGAGGUUGCGGCCCGCCGAAGCCCAUCUAGGCCCAGAUCAGGCACCGUCGCUGGACCUGCCGUCGUACGCCGUGGCCGUCCCGCACACACUGCCGUAGAUCCGGCCAUCACGGGCCGCCGCCGUCCGGACCGAAGCGCGGGCUGAGGAGAAACGCCGCCGCCGCUGCAGCACACAGGCUUUUCCUGCGACGCCCCCGGCGGCGGCGGCGGCGGCGGGAGGAGGCGCUGGAGUGAACGGGGGGAGGCGGAGGAGGCGCCGCACGGGAGCAGGAUAGGGUUAGGUGCGGGAGCGGGAUAAUGUUCCUCUUUCUCAAACGAUUCUUCUAAGGUAGCACCACGACAUGCAGCUUGGUCUUCUCCACACCCAACCACAAGCAUGAAUCUGCUCAGCUAUCCUAGCGAGCAUGGCUCAGCUAGAUCUGCCUGAGGACUAGCUCGCCUAGCUGCAGAGUGCGUGAUGCGUCCAUGCACGCACGCAUGCAUGUUCAUGUCACCUGUGUGGCUCAAGGAUGACGAUGGAAUAGAAUGUUGGGUGAUGAUGCUGAAAUAAAAAGACUUUUCCUGCCUUCUCCCGUGUUUCCAAUCUCCGUCACUUGCUAUAACUUUUUCAACCAAAAUAGCGUAGGGAAACCAUCGGAAAAAAAAAACUUACGAAAUAACUACGAAUUUUUUAGACACAAAUAAGCCGCUGAUCAGGCUGCACAUUACAGCAGGACACAUGACAUGCUCUACAAGCUAGUAAUUUCCUGGUACUGUUGCUUUCGACGAGAUUGAGUGGACUAUCACCCCAGAGGGACACAUAUAUUUGUUACUCGUGAGCGUUGAAUUCAUUCAUCAACCUUUAGUUUGCCGAUUUACCUCCCAAUUCAAGCCGGCACUGUGUUUGGGAAAUGCUACUCCCUGGCCUCUGCUUAUCAUGCCCAAUUCAUGGGGCCAUGACCACUUCAUGGGGCCUGCCAUUUGAAAAUUUCGGGCUCCUAAAAAAUGUAUUCAAAACUGGGUAUGGUUAACAGGAUCGUUUUGCCAAGUGUGGAUGGUCAAAUUGUGGGCUUCACCCAUUGUGGAACAAAAUUAUUGCAUGGCUUUGAUGACGCCAAGCCUCGUGGAUAGAGGUGGUGCACGACGGGCACAAACCAUGAAAGGCGGUGGCAUCACUCAUCAAACUUGUCUCUUGGAGGUAUGGAAUGAGCGCGAUGCAAGGGUCUUCAACAAUGCUUCUCGGUUCCUCAAUCAUCAUCUCCAAUAUACGAAAUGAGACGAGCAAUUGGGUUUAUGCCUGCUCGAAACACUAGUGUAAUUUAAUGCUAGAAAAGUAGCUUUUUAUUCCUUCAGGCUUUCAAACUUUAAUCUGAACUCUCUUUAGUUAGGACACUCGAGUAGGAUGAUGCGCGACCCAUCAUGCAUCGUUAACAUCAUGGUGCAUGAUUUUUUUUUUCAAAAUUUCCAAAAAUUUCAAAAUUGUGAACAAUUUUUAAAUUCACAUCUUUUUUCAAUUUCACAAACCAUUUUCAAAUCCAUGAUUAUUUUUUCUUCCCAUUUUCAAAUCCUUGGCAGCACCAAGCGGGCUGCCAACAUGGACGAACUACUCGGCUGACCUCUACCGAGUGGAUUUGAAUGCACUAGGUACGUCCAUACGUCCAUAAGUGUAGCCAUGCAUGCAUCAACCUUUUUGCUGACCCUAGUCAUGCCGAACUACGUACUGCAGUUCAGUAACUAGCCGGGUCGCGGCAUGUGGGGCGUUAAUUAGCUACUAAGGCUGCCAGCCAUCGAGCUCGGAGUCUCGGACCGUGCGUGUCCGCCUAUAAAUACACCGGUGUUGGCGACCACAUGCAACCACGUGACCACGUGCUGUUGUCGACGCCUCUCGCAGCGCCCCUUCCUCAGCUUUGCUGAGAGGUUCUUCCCUUAGGUGCACACAUGCACUACAUUUUCUGCCCAGCCCUCACGGCCUCCUUCUUUUUGUUAACUCAACUCAAUGCAGAUGGUCGCGGUCCCGCUGCCUAGCAAGCGGAUGCCAUUGCUGCAAGAAUGCACGAAAAUUGAAGAACGAGUCAGAAGCCUGUCAGGGAAAAAUCCACUCAAUCACCAUUUUAUUGCGCAUAGUCCAAAGGGUCCACGUCAGCGCCGCAAAGAUAAGCCAGAACAAGCGGCGAUUGCGUCCCCUCUGGGUGGCCCUAGAUUGCAGUAACUCUGCCAAAUCUAGGGCCUCCCAGUCUGACCCAAGGGCCUCGUGCACAAAGGACCAAAGUGCUUGGGCCGCGAGACAAGAGAACAUAAUAUGGGUUCCUGUCUCUGGGACGUGACAUAGGGGAUAAAUACCAUCAUCCGGGCUGUGCCGCUUAAGAACCUCUGUUCCAGAGGGAAAGCGGUCACGCAGAGGCUCUUCCCUUGGUGCGCACAUGCGCUACAUUUUUUGCCCAACCCUCAUGGCCUCUUUUUUAUUAACUCAAUGCAGUACAUAUAUAUGCACCAGGGGUCGGACACACCCACAAACCCGGCCACCACGUUGGCCACUAACCCAACUAAUUAGCUCCAUGCACUAACUACCCAUGGCCAUGUCCAGUGCGUGCGCAUCAUUGACUCAACUCUACACGACCCAUGAAUGCACGCGAACGGACUAACUAGUACACCGAUUCUCUUGGCUCCAGUCCAGCUAACCCAUUCAACCAGUCUAGCUCCAGCGCGCCUGGCCGCUUCACGCGACCGUGCCGCAUCCCAUAGCACCGCAGGCAACUCCUAACCAAUUCUACCUGCAUAACAAAAACAAACAUGCUCAUACACAUACAGGGCCGGCCCUAGAAUUAAGAAGGCCCUAGUGCAAAUGAGGUAUUAGAGGGUAACAUAAAUAAUUUCACCGGUAUAUACUACAUAUCAUGAAAAUUAUUAUAAAAAUAUAAAAAUCAAAAAUACAGUUUAUUAGCAAAUAAAGUCUUACUACACCAUAUAUAUAUGUGAUUACAUUAAAUAAUAAUUAUAAGAUACAUGUACUUAGACAUAAACAACUUACCGAAUAAAUACGAUGUGGAGAAGUGUAGGGGGGCAAAUGCCCCCGUCCACGGACAACAGUUUUGAAUAUAUGUUUCGCAAACCACAUUUUUUCUAGUUUUAUUUAGGUAUGUAUAUAUAGUGGGCCCUUAUUUGAGAUGGGCCCUAGGCCGCCGCACCUUUUGCCAUGGCCUAGGGCCGGCCCUGUACACAUAUCAAGAUUAGUGCAAACCAACUUGUGGUUGGAUAGAUAGAGGGACAGUGGUAACCCCAGCUCACCAGGGUUUAAAUCCAGCUGGGGUUUAAAUCCUGAUGCUCGCAUAAUUCCUAGAUUUAUUUCAUGAUUUCCGGCGAUGCGCUUUUAAUGGGAGAAGACGUUCGUAAAUCUCAAGAUGAUAUGUCGGCUUAGUCUCUCGAAGGUGCUCAUAGAGAUAUGAUGUGUGUGUGUGCAUUAAUAGGGAUGAGUGUAUGCGCGUAUGUAUGAGCGCUUGCGUCUGUACUGUGUUAAAAAAAAUUAGUGCUAACACCUAUUUCUAUUUUAUUUCUGGACGCACCACAGCUCAACUCAUGGAUACAACUCACGCCACAAACACACGUCCAUCAAGUACUCCUUGAAAGCUCUCCAUGACCUAGCUACACAACUAACAGACAUGCAUGCACUAACAAUCCAUCUCUGAACUAACUUCCGUCCGGUUGAUCAGGCUUCAACCCCACACGCACCUUCUGUUCGACGCGGCCGUAUGCUUCUGCUGUGCCUCUGAUGAGCCAGGUCUCCUGCUCAGACGAGCGUUCUAAUUAUCCGUAUGAAACGGUCACAAAUGCUCAAUCCGACGAAGACAAAAUCCACAAACUCGGCAUGGAAUACACCUCGUCCGAAUACAUCAUGUUUGCUUCAAAGUAUACAAAUGUAACAUCCUUUGAGUUAAACGUGUUUGGGAAUUUUUACUGUUAACAUGGCAUGCCUCGUUCACUACUGCCGGAUUACUGUUUCCGGUGAAAAGAUUGAUAAAUCUCCCACAUACCUAUAAGGAACACGGUACUAGCUCUGCCAACUCUAAGGAUGUUACUGUCCUCACGCGUGAUCACUGGAAAGUGAAUAUUAACUAGUUUUAGCCACUUGCACUCUUAUUCUUUGGAUAAUUACCAGUCAGUAAGAGCCCUACUCUCUUCCCAGGAUCUCCAAGACUAUUUCCACUUAACCUCUCAGAGGAAGCUUUUUUUCAAUGCAACCUUAUGCGCAUGUCUUGUGAAAUGAUUUCUCCCUUUCUGAUCAGCCAGAAAUAUGUCGUUUCCAUGGCCUGCAAUUACAUUUCAAUGUAUAUCAAGCCUAUAGUUUGUUAAUUGGAAAUCACCCAACUAUCGCGGCAGUGCAUUUGGCAAAACAUGGUGUCAGAGUAAACAUAAAGAUUUUUGUGGUUGUUUAUCAACAAUGGAGUCAACAUCAGAGAAUUAUACCACAGAAAAAAAAUUAUUCAUCCCUCACUAAAGCUAUGUCAUGCGUCGGGAAUGGAGUAAAGGUUGUUGUCAAAGCCAUAUGGGUCUUACCUCUGCUUCUAUGUGGGGGUUUAUAUUAGAACUUAGUACUCCCUCCGUAAAGAAAUAUAAGAGUGUUUAGAUCACUAUUUUAAUGAUCUAAACACUCUUAUAUUUCUUUACAAAGGGAGUAUAUAUUUGUUAUUAUGUUUCGGCCUUAUGCAAGAACAUAAUGAUACAUCCCGCUCAAAUAGUUGUAGUAAACGAUGGUCAUCGGAUCACGAUAUCAAGAGCGUAUUGGUGCUGAGACAGGCACAAUUCAGCUGAGCCGCGGUGAACGUUGACACCCAGCGAGGAACUUUGUAAAUGGGGAACGAAAGCACACCUCUGUGCCAACAAAGAAUUUGUACUUUGUACAAGAUGCCAGCUGGUGGCCAGACAUGAUCGCGCCGGGCUGCGGGUCGGAACAAAAUACGGAACGAAUUAGCUACUUAUCAGUCGACUGAUUUUUCAGUUUGGGGUAAGUCAAUUUUUGAACGAAGGAAAGACCUCGCCGGAGAUAAGGAAAGACCUCGCCGGAGAUAAGGAAGGGACUCGCAUGAUUCUGGAAUAAAAUGUUGGGUCAUGAACUCAUGAUCGGUGCUGGAAUAAAAUGAGUUUUCCUACCUUCUCCUCCGUUUCCUCCCUCUGUCACUUGCUGCAAUCUUUUCAACGAAAACCACGUACAAGAAUUGGCAACCGUCCGAAAUACGCCCGAAGUUACGAUGAGUCACUCACAAAUAAGCCGCAGGACGCUGCACAUUGCAGCAGAAAACAUGAGAUGCUCUACAAGCUAGUAAUUGCUUUGCUGUACUGUUGGUUCCAUCGGGAUUGAGCACAAGAAGGCACACCUUUGAUUACUUGUACGAUGUGUGGCUUUAAACACUAUGUCACCUGCUCAUUAACUCGUGUGCAUUGAAUUCAUUUAUCAACCUUUAGUUUGGUGGUAUACAUUCCAAGUUCAGCUCCAUAUAAUCAAGCCCGCACUUUUUUUUGGAAGGGCAAAAGAUUUGACACAUUUAUUAAUUAAGAAUGAGCUUAACAAAGUCACUAACCCGAAGGCGAAAGAAAUGCCUACUCUCCAGACAUAAUAUCACUCAAGUGCCGAGCCCCGGCUAACACCCACUUGCACGUUUCAUCUCGGAUCUUGUCGAUGACUCUCAAGAUGUUGUUGAAGACUCUCGGGUUGCCUCAUUCCAAAUUACCCAUGGACGUUACUCCAUGGCCUCUGCUUAUCAUGCACAACUAAUGGGGGCACGGUCACUUCGUUUUAGUCUACCAUUUAUAAAAUUUGGGCUCUUGAAAGUUUUUGGGCAUGGCACUAUUCACAUCUCGACUUGUCUUUUUUGUUUCUCUUUGUAUAUUUCGGAUUUUGAUCUGAAUUUUUAGGGGUUGUAGACACAUGUGUUCUGAAACUUCACAAAAAUAUUACACAUCUAAAAUUGAAAUUUUCAAACUGGUAUCAUGGGAGCACUUACAAUACUGGAAAAACUGUCUACGCUGAGUUAUUUCAGCUAAGCCGAGAGCCAAAGUGCUGGCUCUCGGCAAAUUGGAUGAAUACCUUACUUCUAGUAUCUUUCCGGCAUUGGUGGAACAUAAUUCAGAUCCGUAUCACACUGAAACUAGUUGAAGUCAUCCUUGUCAUGAAGGAGAAUGUAGUUAUGCAGUGUCAUAAUUGCCGCAACAAUCAAUUUCUGUGUUUCAAUCAAUCUUGAGCAGUAUUUUCCAUUUCAUUUUCAGAACACCAAAGGCCCUCUCUAUGCAAUUGCAUCCGCUUGGAGGAGUGGAUCUUUUUUAACUUCUCCAUAGGAUUAGUAGGGGGUGCACCUCUCCGCAUGGUGCUUUUCCUGAAAGUCACAUCCCCGUUCGGUAUCCCGCAACUUGAGUUUCGAAAAUAUGUUGUGAUCACCUUUUAGCUUGUCCUAUUUGAUUUUAAAUCAGACAUGUUUGUAGUCGAGCCCGAUUCACAUCUUGAAUUUCCUUCACACCUCCUCAAAUACAUUUGGCAUCAAAUAAUUGUUUGGCCUAUUUGCAUCCUUCACUUGCUCCACAAACAACUCAGUGAGAAUCCUAGUAUUUUCGUCAUAGGUCCAUUCGGUGGCCAUGCUCAACAAUUGUCUGAGAAAAUGCUCACAUGUCCUAGGAAAAUACACAUGGAUUGGAGCGAAGGUGCUUCUGUGUAUAGCCAAACUCUUGUAAUAUAAAUUGAUGAUGCCCGGCCUGUUGUUGGGGGAAGCUUGUUAAAUAAAUGCAUUCAUAGUUGCUAAGACAGUCUGAUGAAAAGCAAAUGUAAGCUUAUAAAACUAUAGAAACUGAGAACUGUGUAAAAAGAUAAAAAAUAAAUUCAGUUAAAAGAAUGCUAUUUCUAACAAAAACAUGAAGGAUGAACUACAUAGGUAUGCUGCAAUCGCCUAACACAUAUAUUGUCAAUAAAAAGUCUAGUGUAGAAAAUUAACUUAUGACCAACAUGUAUUAAUUGAUGAUGUGGCAAUGUUGUGUGCAUAGAUUAGUGCAAAAAAAUAACUUAUGACUUACAUGCAUGCCUUGCUUAUGUGGCAUGGUGGCAUGACUAAGAAAAAUAGGUAAUGGUUUGUAGCUAUUUAGGAAUAGAGGGUGCGUUCAAUUUUUUUAUUGUGUCCAUAUGCGCAUCUGCCCAUUAUUUGCACACAUAUAAACGCAUCCCAGUAUACUUGGCACACUUCAAAUUAAGGAGCUAGGGUACAUUUGCACACGUUGCACAAAAAUCACUACACAUCAUACAUUCAAAGAUAGCACCACAAGAAAGUAAAAUACCCAUCACCAUACCUGCCACAGGCAGAGCUUGGGGAAGUAGUACAAGGGGAGCUCACCACGGGUUUGAGCGAGGACUACCGUCUGGGUCAGCCCGGAAAGGAUGGCAAGCUUAGAGGUGCGGGGCAAAUGGGUAAGCGUCAGUGGGGAAGCUCGACAGUCGGCGAUGGGGUAGUUGUGUGCCUAGGGUUUGCAUCACAAGGUCGAANNNNNNNNNNNNNNNNNNNNNNNNNNNNNNNNNNNNNNNNNNNNNNNNNNNNNNNNNNNNNNNNNNNNNNNNNNNNNNNNNNNNNNNNNNNNNNNNNNNNNNNNNNNNNNNNNNNNNNNNNNNNNNNNNNNNNNNNNNNNNNNNNNNNNNNNNNNNNNNNNNNNNNNNNNNNNNNNNNNNNNNNNNNNNNNNNNNNNNNNNNNNNNNNNNNNNNNNNNNNNNNNNNNNNGGCAGAGGGGGAAUCUACUCAAUCCUACCUAACCUACCUAACUAAAUACCCCUGAAUUUCACUAUCAUGAUGUGGAUCCCCAGCGAGGCAUUACAGGCGCGGCCACCACUGCAAUGGGUGGGUGGCGGUGCUUGCGGUCCUCUCACUGACGUUCUUCCAAAAGUGGCGACAAUGUUGCUCUGUCAUAAUACCAAUCUUGAUCUACUUAUCAUCACAAGAAACACCUAUGCAGCGAAGGUGAAGAUUUUAACCAUGGGGCGGCAUCACCCUAGGUUGAUACUCUAGAAGAAGGCCGCAAUAGAGAAACACCAGACGAGGGCAAAGCAGAGAAGCAAAGGAUGGAGAGGCGAUGGUGGCACCGUCCUUGCCCCAAACGUAGUUGUGUUCGCCUCGCUUUGUCGCCUUCAGGAAAAGCAAGUACACCCUUAUGUUUUUUCCUAUUAAGUAUUUUCUCAUCUUAGUUAUGAAAGAGAGAAUACUAAUUGCAUGUUGUAUACCAUCUUCUCAAUUUUUCCAAGAGUUUAGAAGGAAUUGCAACAACAUAUCAAGUGUUACUGUCCUUUGGCUGUUUACGGUGGUGUGUACGAGUUUGGAGCAUAUGUUGCUAGUGAUGUUUUUGUCCACAUGGGUGGCGGCAUAAUGUAUGUACUCCCUCCAUCGAAAUAUAUAUGGCCUAAUACAUUUUUCGAGGUUGCCUUUGACCAUUGAUAAAAUUGUUAAUAUAAGAGAUGUACGAUAUAAAUUAAGAACACAUUUCACAUACGAAUUUGACGGUAUGCUUCGUGUAGCAUGCAUGCCAUAUAUUAUUGAUCUAACAUGUGGUAAAACUUAACCUUGAAAACUUAUUAUGCCCUAUAUUUUUUAUUGGAGGGAGUAUAGGCUUUCCACUCCAUACAUCUAGGCAUAGUCACGGUCUUGUUUGACUUUGCUUUUACCGGCAUAGUACUUUGUGCGAGUUUGCAUUGGUUGUGUGUAUUCUGGUUAUGUAGAGGUGUGGGUAUAAACUCAUUAGCUUGUAUCACCUUGAUGCCAUAUUAUGUGUCAAUAAACACCCUUAUUUAUCAAAAAGAACUCUCCUCACAUCUUCCCACAUAACUUUUGGGAUAUUCUCAGAAUUAUACAAGGGGAGAUGUUGUACCACGGGUAGUGUUAAGAGUAUGAUUAGCUGAUUAUUGUUAAUUAGGUUGCUUAUUGCUACUCAAUAAAGACUAGUUAGAUGCAUUUAUUUGUCUAUCUGUCUCGUUCUUUACUUUAACACAACCAAAGGAAAUGGAUGUGGAUGGAAGUACUACACGGAGCGAGCCAGCAGGCAGCCAUCAUUGACGAACUACCCCGCUGACCCUCUACCCACUGGGUUUCAAUGCAGAACGUCCCUAGGUGUAGCCAUGCAUGCAUGAAUGCAUCAACCUUUUUGCUGACCGUAGUCAGGUCGAACUAGUAGUGCAAGUGCAAUUCAGUACCAGGGUGUUCAACUGAUAAUUGCACAGGACGAGAGCGAUUGAUAAUGCGGGAUUGUUCUACUGUCUUAAUCAACCACCUGCUCCGUCGGCGGCCAUGGCCACGUAUUCGGACGGUGCAUGGCCAGGCCAGCUAUAAAUACCCCAGGAGUUCCAGCACCCCUCUCCUCACCACCAUCUCUCCCAUUCCCAUCACACAAGACACAACGUACACCUCUGCGACCGCGAUAGCGAGAGUGGAAGAGUAGAUCGACGGGCAUGGCGAUAUGAGGAAGGAGGUCCUCCUGGCGGCCAUGAUGCUGGCGCUGGUGGUGGCGGCGCCGGGCGGGGCGCGUGCCGCGUGCGUGGUGGGGCAGCUGACGGUGUGCAUGCCGGCGAUCACCACCGGUGCCAAGCCGAGCGGCGCGUGCUGCGCCAACCUGCGCGCGCAGCAGGCGUGCUUCUGCCAGUACGCCAAGGACCCCUCCCUCGGCGCCUACAUCCGCAGCCCCCACGCGCGCGAGACCCUCGUCACCUGCGGCCUCGCCGUCCCGCACAGCUAGGCGCCAGGCCGCCUAGCGAGUAUGUAUGGCUCAGCUAUAGCUGCCUCCGCCGUCCAUCAGAUGAGAGAUGAGACUAUAGCUAGCCUAGCUGGUGAGUGCGCGAUGCGUCCAUGCCGCAUGCAUCCAUGUUCCUGUUCGAUGGAUGAUGAUGGAAUAAAAUAAAAGAUGUUGGGUGAUGAUGCUGGAAUAAAAUGACCGACUUUUGUUAACUUCAUUCUCCUCUGCUUCCUAUGUCCGUGGUUACUUGCUGUAAGAUUUCAACCAAAAUUACUACGAUCGGGUUUUGUACUUGUAGACACAAGUAAGCCACUGGUGAUUGCCUGAUACUCCUACAUUGCAACAGCUAACAUGAGAUGCUCUACAAGCUAGUAACUGCCUGCUGCUACUACUGUCGCUUUCAACGGGAUUGCUUGUGUGUAUAUGCGAUGUGUGGUGUGACUUUAAACACUGUGGCGCGUACUCAUGUGCGUUGAAUUCAUUUAUCAGCCAGCAAUCAAGUUCAGCUCCAUACAAUCAAGCCGGCACUAUUUUUUUUCCGCAAAGGGCAAAACAUUU